rnacentral:lncRNA from 1 species
AAUGAUUCUUCUGGGAGCAAAUGUGGAAGUCAAGGCUGUCAUGUAUGGGCUUCUCAGGCCCUGCCCACGAAAUUGCAUAGGAGGCACCGUGUACAAGAUCUAUAAUGAACGAAGACCUACACAGACUGCACCAAUUGUUGCGUCUCCGACGGCUACACUCUUUACUUUGAGGAUGGAAGUUCACUAUACUGUGAUUGGCCUUAUGCUAAAUAUUAAUUCCAUGAUUAAUUGCAUAUACAACAGACCAAGUCAACUUCCGCUUGAGGUUGGCUAGGAGAGAUCAUUUUUGGAGAGCCCUGCUUUCCUAAGGUCAGUGAGCCUUUGGCUGGAGUUGCUACAGAUGUUACCCCUUUAGAUGGCUUGAUGGAGGGAAAUAUGCAUCGAACAGUAACUUAAAUAUAAAAAAAAAAAAAGCAAACCCCAAAAUAUUUUUCAAAUAUCCCUUAAAUAUUCCUCCAUCUCAAGGCAAUUAAAAUAUGGAAUGGCUACUGUUACGCUUGUCAGUCAGCCAACACAGGUCUAAGGUUCAAGUCUAUACGAGUCAGAGCAACCAAACCUUAGUUUAAUAGGCUGGCCUCUAUACAAAAGAUGUUGACCCUUAGACUCAUUCACCUGAAGAAAAAACAGAAACAACUGUAAAUCCAGAGUCCAUGCCAGCAAAAUGGAAAUAGAAAAUAAGAAAUAAAAUUUUCACUCAAUUCAUUGGACCCAAACAUGAUUGUUGAACAAUAGUUAAACCCUAGGCAACCACUGUUAUACCUUCAACACAGAAGAUGUUGAUCCAAAAACAUCGCUCUUUUUUACAUUCUCCACAAGAAUAUCCUCAAUAACAAGAUGUAAAAUUGUUGUAAAAUAUAUAUAGUAUUUCAAAAAUAUUCUUUGUCCCACAUCGAAAAUGAGAAGUAUUGCUUUCUCUGUCCCACAUUGAGAAGUGAGAAGAGUUGCAGUUUUUGUCCCACAUCGGAAGUGAGAAGGGUUGCACCUCAUUCUGAAAUCUAUAAGUAGGGUCCAUUCCCUCCUCAGAAAAUCACCCCAGCAGCUUCAGUUGAUAUCUUUCUGAUAGCUGCUCUAUUUCUCUCUCUCUUUUAUUUCUCUCUUUUAUCUCUAUAUCUGCUAGUUUUAAUUUGCUAGUUCUGGUCCUUCUAGUUUGCAACAAGAAGAAAGCUUGUCUUUCUUGUUCGCAACAAAUACAAGAAGACUUGUUUAAUCCUGGGGAGACAUUUCAAUUUCAUGAAAUAGUUUCUUAGGACAGUGCUACGCACGACUCAAGCAGAUAGUGUUAACAUUGUUGUGGCCGUUUCGACAACAAUCUAAGAAACUAUGGCCUCUGACAGUGUUAACACCCCACAACCAUCCUCCGCAGCCGUCGCAGUCGCACUACUUUUUGUGAAACCAUUUCCUGAUGUCUCUAGAAUUGAGGUUUUUGUUAACGAAAACUUCAAAAGGUGGCAGUAACGUGUCUACUCUCUACUCGACAUUCAUGGAGUGGCCUAUGCACUGACAGAAUCUCAACCUGCUGCCACCAUAGAUGUCAAGAUACAAGAGUCGUGACAAUGUCAAUAAGGUAUGUCGACAUACAAUUUUACAAACGCUUUCUAAUGAGUUAUUUGACGUAUUUUGUAGCUGCAAAGAAGCCAAGCAAAUUUGGGAAGCGUUGGUAACGAAGUUUACCGCUGAAGACACAACCAAACAAAAAUUUGUUGUGAAAAAGUACAAUCAAUGGCAGAUGACUGACGACAAAGAAAUGAUAGCUCGGGUCACAGAAUACCAAAUGUUACUUGUGGAGUUGAAAAAUGAAGAGAUCAAGCUGCCCGAGAAAUUUGCUGCAGGCAUGCUAAUUGAAAAGCUACUCGAGUCAUGGGGUGACUACAAAAAUAACCUGAAGCACAAAGAAGAAAAUUACACAAUUGAUGAACUCGUGAAACACAUCCUGAUUGAAGAUUCACAUAGGAAGGAGUUGAGAGCUGCCAAAAUAAAGGAGAUGGCAUUUAAAGCUAAUCUGAUACAAAGCAACAACAAAAGGUACGCCAAUAAGUCCCAAAGUAACAAGUCUUGGAAUCCCAAACCAAAGAAUCCCAAUUUUAAGAAAAAGAAAGGCAAUUGCUACAGUUGUAGAAAACCAGGUAACCAUGCUGCUCAGUGCAGAUAUAAUAAAGGUGACAAAGCAACUGGUAAUCCUCCUAAGGCUAAUUUAGUCGAAGGAGAUGAAAUAAUUAUUGCAGUUAUCUUACAAGUAAACAUUGUAGCCAAUGUGAAAGAGUGGGUAGUAGACUCUGGAGCUAUUCGGCACAUAUGUGCAAAUCGAGAAGCGUUUUCCUCCUAUUCUCCAAUAGAGAAUGAUGGAGAGGCAGUCUACCUUGGAGACUCACAAACUGCUAAAGUUCUUGGUAAGGGCAAAGUGUUCUUGAAACUCAUUUCAGGAAAAACUCUGGCCCUUAAUGAUGUGCUGCAUGUUCCAAAUAUUCGGGCAAAUCUUGUUUCUGUGGCUUUGCUUGGAAAAGUUGGGGUGAAAGUGUCAUUCGAAUCUGAUAAGAUUGUAAUGACAAGAAAUAAUAUGUUUGUAGGGAAAGGCUAUUGUAACCAGGAACUUUUUGUAUUUAACAUUUCCAAUGUGAUCAAUGAGAAUGCUUCUUCUUCUGCUUAUAUUGUUGAUCCAAUUUCGUUAUGGCAUGCAAGAUUAGGACAUGUUAAUAUGAGUUAUAUGAAAAAAAUGCAAUCUUGUGAUCUAAUUUCUGGUAUUAAUGAAAAAAUGGACAAAUGUGAGAUAUGUGCAAAAACUAAAAUGACAAAGAAGGCUUGUAUAACUGUUCAAAGAGAAACUGAACUAUUAAAUUUAAUUCAUACAGAUUUAGGUGAUUUAAAACAAACUAUGACUAGAGGAGGCAAAAAAUAUUAUGUUACUUUUAUAGACGACUACUCUAGAUAUACUAAACUUUAUUUACUUAGAAAUAAAGAUGAUACUCAUAAUGCCUUUUUAUCUUAUAAGUCUGAGGUAGAAAAUCAACUUAAUAAGAAGAUAAAAAGAAUUAGAUCUGAUAGAGGAGGUGAAUAUUUAGUCUUAGAUAAAUUUUGUGAAUAUGAAGGCAUAAUACACCAAAUAACACCUUCUUAUUCACCCGAAUCUAAUGGAGUAGCUGAAAGGAAAAAUAAAACACUAAAAAAAAUGAUGAAUUAUAUGUUAGUUAGUUCUCAUGUUCCUGAUAAUUUAUGAGAAGAAGCUAUCUGCAUGUCACUUACAAAAUAGGAUACCUCAUAAAAAAACUGGCAAAACCCCUUAUGAGUUAUGAAAAAAUUAUAAACCUAAUUUGAAAUAUUUGAAAGUAUGGGGGUGUCUUGCUAAAGUAUUGUUGCCUGAACCUAAGAAAAGAAAAUUAGGUUCUAAAACUUCUGAUUGUAUGUUUAUUGGAUAUGCUGAACAUAGUGCUGCAUACAGAUUUUUUGUUUUAAGAAGUGAUGUGCUGGAUUGUAAUACAAUUAUUGAGACAAAGAAUGCUGAAUUUUUUGAACAUAUUUUUCCACUGUCUAGUAAAAUUUCUCAUGCACCUGUUGAAAUAAAUAAGAAAAUUAUUCCAAUUGAGAAAUUAAGAAGGAGCAAAAGGCCAAGAAAAGAAUUUUCAUAUGGAAAUGAUUUCCAAACUUUUCUUAUUGAUAAUGAUCCUUUAACAUACUCCGAUGCUAUUUCUUCUCCUGAUUGUAAAUUUUGGAAAGAAACAAUUAAAUCUGAAAUUGAUUCUAUAUUGACAAAUAAAACUUGAAUUUUGGUAGACUUAUCUCUUGGUGCAAAGCCUAUUGGUUGCAAGUGGAUUUUCAAAAGAAAAUAUAACUCUGAUGGCUCUAUAGAAAAGUACAAAACUCGUUUAGUAGCAAGCGGGUUUUCUCAAAAAUAAAAUAUUGACUAUUUUGAUAUAUUUGCAUCAGUAACUAGAAUUGUGUCUAUUCGAGUUUUAUUUGCUUUAGCUUCUAUCCAUAAAUUUGUUAUUAAUCAAAUGGAUGUCAAAACAACCUUUUUAAAUGGUGAUUUAGAAGAAGAAAUUUAUAUGUUUCAACCUGAGAGAUGUAUUGUAUCUGGACAAGAAAAUAAGGUUUGUAAACUAAUUAAAUCUCUUUAUGGUCUAAAACAAGCUCUUAAACAGUGGCAUGAGAAAUUUGAUCAAGUAUUGAUAAAAGAUGGAUUCUCAUAUGUAGAAAUGGAUAAAUGUGUAUAUGUCAAAAUUAUAAAUGAUUAACAUGUCAUAAUUAGUUUGUAUGUGAAUGACAUGCUUAUAUUUGGUAUUAGUCUAGAUAUUGUAAAUAGUACUAAAUAUUUUUUGUCUUCUAAUUUUGAUAUGAAAGAUAUGGUUGAAGCCAAAAUGAUAUUGGGUGUUAAAAUCAUAAGGAGAGGUGAUGGUAUAAUGUUGUCACAAGAACAUUAUACAGAGAAACUUCUUAGGAAAUUUGAAAAUUACGAUGUGACACCUGUUAGUACUCCUUAUGACACUAACACUCAGUUAAAGAAAACUAAUGGUGAUCCAAUUGCUCAGUCUAAAUAUACUCAGAUUAUUGGGAGUCUGAUGCAUCUGAUGAAUUUCACUAGAUCGGAUAUAGCUUAUGUUGUAUGUAGAUUGAGUAGAUAUACUUACAAUCCCAAUCGUGAGCAUUGGUUUGCAUUAGUCAGACUAAUGAAAUAUUUGAGAGGUACCAUGAAUUUUGGUAUCUUGUAUAGUGGAUUUUCCACUGUAUUAGAGGGUUGCAGUGAUGCUAAUUGGAUCUUUGAUUCAAAUGAUACAAAAUUCACUAGUGAUUAUGUGUUCACCCUUAGUAGUGGUGCAGUAGCAUGGAAGUCAGCCAGACAGACAAUCAUUGCUCGGUCAACUAUGGAAUCGGAGUUCAUAGCUCUGGAGUUGACUGGUUCUGAGGCAGGUUAGUUAAGAAAUUUCUUAACCAAUAUUUCUCCUAUUAAGGAUCAGUUGCCUCCUGUGUCUGUACACUGUGACUGUCAAGCGGCUAUUGCUAUUGUAAAAAAAUAAAUCUUAUAAUUGUAAAAGUCGACACAUGAGAUUGAGACAUGAUUUCGUAAAGCAGCUGUUUAGAGAUGGAAUUAUUUCCAUUGACUAUGUAAAGUCAGAGUUGAAUUUGACCGAUCCUCUGACUAAACCCGUAGGAAGAAAAUUGAUUCUUCAAACUACAAAAGAAAUGGGACUUCGACCAACAAGUUGUCAAUAGAGACAGUAACCCAACCUAUGUGAUUGGUGAUCCCAUGAAGUAGGUUCAUAUGGGUAAUAACAAGUCAAUAUUGAUGGUAAAACACUUCAUUUAAGUCCCUCUAGAGAUAAGUGCUUUGAGUAAUUGUGAGGAUGAGUUAAAACUCUUAAUGAAUUCAUAUCCCAUUAGGGAGGUGUAGUUAAAGCAAUAUACACUUGAUGAACUCACCAAUAUGAGAGUGGAGUGGGGCCGCUCCUAUAAGAUUCAUUGAUCAAAACUUUAGAGCUCUCAUGAAAUAACCAGGCAGGCGCACGGCUUAAAAGCGCAAAAUCGCGUUAACAGCAAAUUAUGGGUUGCAAUGUGAUUGAUAAAAUCUCUGUCAUACAUCAAGAGUUAUUGGUUCAUAGAAAUUUAUAUUUCACCAAUAAUUCUGUAGAUCAUGUUUUAUCAAUCUAUGUUUGGUUUAUAGUCCAAAAGACACCAAUCUAAUUACAUUUCAACCAAAUCCAACAGAGUACUUUUAAAAUUCUUCCUUUAUCCAAAGAAUUUUUUUGAAAUAGGAAGGAGAUUGUUGUAAAAUAUAUAUAGUAUUUCAAAAAUAUUCUUUGUCCCACAUUGAAAAUGAGAAAUAUUGCUUUCUUUGUCCCACAUUGAGAAGUGAGAAGAGUUGCAGUCUUUGUCCCACAUCGGAAGUGAGAAGGGUUGCACCUCAUUCUGAAAUCUAUAAGUAGGAUUCAUUCCCUUCUCAGAAAAUCACCCCAGCAGCUUCAGUUGAUAUCUUUCUGAUAGCUGCUCUAUCUCUCUCUCUCUUUUAUCUCUAUAUCUGCUGGUUUUAAUAUGCUAGUUCUGAUCCUUCUAGUUUGCAACAAGAAGAAAGCUUGUCUUUCUUGUUCGCAACAAAUAGAAGAAGGCUUGUUUAAUCCUGGGGAGACAUUUCAAUUUCAUGAAAUAGUUUCUUAGGACAGUGCUACGCACGACUUAAGCAGAUAGUGUUAACAUUGUUAUGGCUGUUUCAACAACAACAUGAUUGUUGAACAAUAGUUAAACCAUAGGCAACCGCUGUUAUACCUUCAACAUAGAAGAUGUUGAUUCAAAAACAUCGCUCUUUUUUACAUCCUCCACAAGAAUAUCCUCAAUAACAAGAUGACGCAGCACACGGGAUGCUUCACCCUUGAGAAGAUGUUUUCCAGCUCCAUGCAGGCUCAAGGUCUCAAUGCAUGAGAUUUAGAUGUAUCUUUUAUAUUUAUUUGUUUCCUAUUUUCACACGAAGUAUCUGGUCACAUGAGAUUUAUCUGUAAUCUAUUUUCUAAGAUUCACCAGUUUCUCGGUUGUUUACUUGAUAUUUUAUCGAGCAGGUUAUGGGCAACAAAUCCAUAACAAAAUAGUUACAUGAAUCAAUUAGACAACCGAGAGGAAUAAAGCUGAACAACAAGUGCACUCAAAUCAUAAACUAUUACUACAUCCAUUUCAACCUCAAAUAGAUGGGACUAAUUUCAAAUGUAAUCAAUUUAGGCAAACUUUAAAACUUAACCCUCACAAUUCAACACAAUAUAGUACAUAACUUCAAGAAUAGCUAAUAAUGUCCAAUAAAAUCCCACGAAAAAAAGGGAACAACUUGAAGAAUGGACAGCUUCUUUAUGGUGACAUUUAGCAACAACAUUAUCUAAUUGCUCACAAAAUAAAAAAAAAAUUUACCAUGCAAUUACAUACCUUCAACGGGAAAGCAAGGAAAGUUUGUUUGCUGGGAGAUUCAGCAGAAAAAAACUCCAAGUGUUUUGGCUGAGAGAUAAUUUGCCGAGGAUAGUUUUUUGCAGAAAGAGUGUUUCUUGUGAGAGAGAUAAGAAGAAAUAAAAUUUGACUAAGUGCUUUGGCCGGCAAAAUAAAAGUUUUGAGCAAAUGAAUCUUCCGCCAAUUCACUACAAUGUCGUUUUGUGCCUUUUCUUCUUUUUUUGGUAUAUCUCACAUUUUCUCAAGUUUCAUGAUAGGUAGUCUAAAGGCACAUUAUUAUUCUUAUAUUAGAUAAAAUAAAAAAAUAAAGUAUAUAUUAUUGAGUUAAUAAUAAGUGUUAUAAUAGAAGUACUAUAAUGACACAAAUCAGCAAGUGUCCUUAUAGGCAUGUCGGGAAAAGCUAUUUUUGUUGUAGUAUGACAACCGUUUAGAACAAUGUAAUACUUUUUAAAUAAGUUGUAAUUGUUUCUUAACAACUUAUACACAUUUACAACAGAAGUGUGAUAUUUUAUUACUAUUCAUGUAGAUCCCAUAUAUAAUAAUUGUAUGUUUUGUUAUAAGAUUUUAUAAGUAAUUCACAUAAAAUUAUAAAGUAUUUAAAAAAGGUUACAUCAUUCCGUUCCAUGCCUGGAGUCCAUCAAAUUGACACUAACAUCAUCGUACCCCACUAAUGUGAUUAUUCUUACAUUGUUUCAUAGAAUUUUGGGAUCGAUCCUUCGUAAAUUACCUUUAAAAAAAAGCCCCUUGUAAUUAUUGGACUGGCAUGAGUCCCUCAAAUUGACAUCAACGUCACCGUGCCCCACGAAUGUAAUUAUUCUUACCUAGUUUCAUAGAAUUUUGGGACUAGACCAUCCUAAAUAUUGUACCUCCAAAGAAUUGUAAAUCACUCAUCUUGAUUUUAAACUUUUUAAGUUUACACCAUAAAAAAUGGACUAUUUUUAUUCACAAAAACAUUUCAAUGGUAGCUUUGGUCAAUGCGGUCUGCAAACAUCUUUUUUCAAGGGAAAUAUUUUUUUAUAGUUAAGAUAUUUAUAAGGGAAAAUUUGCUAUAUAAUUGGCGAAAGAUUUGAUAUUCAAGGAUGGAGUAAAAUUUUGUCCAAAGUCAUAAGUAGGGAGUUUGGAUUCUUUUAAUAGGAAUCAAGCUAAAAUGAUAGAUUUGCCCAUAGAUAGUUUUGCAUGAAUUUAGGACCUCAAUUGACCACGUUAUGUCCGUAGACAGUUUUGUAAAGUUUUGACCAAUGCAACUGUGUCGGGAUAGGUGAUUAUUUGAAAUAAUUUUUUCAAAAAAAAAAAUAGUGUAGCACUUUUCAAUGAAAAUAUAUUCCUUUUUGGCCGAUGUGACUUUGUUUGGAUAGGAGAUUAUUUGCGAUAAAUUUUUUAAAAAAUAGUGCAGCACUUUUCUAAUGUGACGUCCGUGUGAUAAAAAAAAGUGAUUAAAAAUAUAUAUAUGAUACAAACAGAUAAAUUUGUGUAAAUAAUUUACUAUCCAAACUAAUUCGUUGUGAGGGCCCGAGUUAGAUAUGUAUCCAUAUCAACAUUAAUCAAGCAAUCAAUACAUAAAAACUGAACCGUCAUGUUGUACUGCAUUAAACACGUAGGAAGACAACAUUAAUUUCUUGCUUGCAUGCUUUGCUAGAUUUUUGUUAUGAAAUAAUUUAAAGUAUGGAUGUCCCUUUGUAUUCCCAAGAGGAUUAAUUCUUGAUUUAUGACUACAUUAUGUAUAGAAGUUACAAUCCAUAAAUCUAUUCAUAUAGUGGAAGAACCGUUUCAUAGUUUUCUUCAUAUUCUUGUAGUAAUGGGUGUUUAAUAGGAUUAAUGUACCUUUAAUCUUGUAGUACCUAUAUAUAGAGGUACAUUGACACCCUUUGUGAAGACUUUUGUAUUAGUUGGAAUCAUAAGAAUAAUCACUCUCCAUUCCUCUACUUUUUUCUCUAAUAUUUCAAUUCCUAUUAUAAUAGUUUAUUUUAUUAGUUUUACAACACGUUAUCAGCACGAGUUUCUACUUCUGCCCGUAUUUUUUCGACAACUUCUAUCUACUUAUUGAGGUAAAUUUUUGACACAUAAAUUUAUUUCAAUUUCUUAUGGCUAACAUUUGAAUGAUCGAAAAAUACAAGUGCCUAUUGCUGAGCAACCAUUAAACACAAAUAUAUACUGUUUGACAUCUUUGAGGUAAUAUUUCUCCUUUUAAUUCUACUUAUUUAUCUUUAGUAUUAUUUAUUAUAAAUACUUAUAUUCUGAUGCAUUGAGUUUUAGAGAUGCUAUUAUAGAAAAUCAAUUAUGCUUGAGGAUCCACUUGUUCUUUGAAAUAUUUAAAAAAAAAAGAUUCGAUCACCUGAAGAUGGUCGUUCUUUAACCAAAAGAUUUGGCCACCAGAAGAUGGUCAUUAUUUCAAAAGUUUGGUAUGAUAAAUUUACCUACGGCUACAAGAACAUAAUUAUGCAAUUUUCAGAAUUACUUCUUAGUUGAAAUUGUGUCGAGAAAAUUUUACUCAUAAGAUAUAUUGAAAAUGAUAUUCUCUACAAUUGAUUUCUCGAAUAUGCUCCUGUAAUAACAAUAUUGAGAGAAAUUUUGAGAAGUAUUCUGUACUUAUUGUAUGCUAGUUCUAGUCCGUUCCCAGAAGUGAAUGUGACUAAAUUUCAAUUUAUUAGUUAUGGUUGUUGCCAUGACUAUGAUUUUGGUAAAUAUAUAUUUUACCAUGACAAGAGAAAAAAUUACCACUUGAAGUGGGAUAAUAAUGAUGAGGACAAGAAAGUAAGGAUCCUAAAGAUAAAUGUCUCGAAGUACAUAUGAGGAAUCAAAAUUAUAAUAGCAUCUUCACAUGAUCAAUUUCUUUAAACACCCUGAAGGUGUAUGAUGCUUGAUUUAAUUUAUGAUAGUAAUUGACUUUUCUUCCUGAAGAAGAAAUAGAUGUUAAAUAUUUGGGAUCAAAGGAUUAUGGUGAUGAUAUUUGUCCCAUAAGAAUUAUGGUGACAAUGAUAUGUGUCUUAUUAAUAAGUGUUACUAUAUACACUAUAUUCCAAUGAGAGAGACAAACACAAUCAGUUGUAGUGUUUAAGUGAUUGAAAACUCCAGAAGAAUCACUACUAUAUUUCUCCCUGUAGGAGAAAAAUUUAUCAUAAAUAAAACACUACUUUUUACCAUGUCUCGAAAGAAUUAUUAAAUUUGAAUAUCCGUUAAAAUGGAUAUCAAAUUGAGACACUAAAUGAGACAAUAAUAGAGAUCAUGUUUAGAAAUCAAAUAAGAUAAAGGUUAACUAUAUCAUAAUAACCAUUUGAGAGAGAAAUAGCUAUGGAUAUAGUUGUCUUCAUUCUCAUUUGAUUUAUAAUCAUCACCUGCAGUAAAUCAGAAGUUUACUGAUCCCAAUGGAUAUAUGAUUUGGCAAAAGUGAGAAUAUUUGAGAGUCUACAAGUAUUUAUACAUACUCCCUUUAUAUUAUAUAUGGUUCCAAAAGAAAUUUAAAAUUUAUGUCGAGUAUGAAUCACCUUUUAUGAUUAAAUAUUGUAAAAUAUUGAUAGGUGAUCUAUUGAAUGAUUUAUUUAUUUUCGAUGAACUACGAUUCCCGACAUUAGGAGGAGGAAAAAAUCAACUGAAAGGAAAUCACCUGAAAAAUUGGAUUUCCUCGAUCCUCAUACAAAAAAAUAUGAACUAAAAGUUCAAGAAAUUCUUCAUUUGUAGAUAGUUAUAUUUAUCGACUUCAGAAGAGUUAUUAAAUCAACUAUUCCUGCAGGAAAUAUUCUGAUUAAAAUGCAUGUCCCUGAAGGACAUGCACAAGUGCUACAAAUAAAUUUAAGACCGGCCUACCUAAAUUAGGUAUAAAUUGAUUUCAAAUAUCUUUGGAGAUUAAAUAAAUGUCAUGACAAAAUUCAACCUCUUGAAGAGGUCGCUCCUGAAGAGCCAACUCCUGAAGAGAAUGAAAUCAUAGAAAAUUUAAUUGAAACCUAAUGAAAUGUAGCACUUGAUAUUAUAGAAGUUGAUGAGAAUCAUGAAUCUAUAUCGGUUGAUGAAUGUCGGUAUAGAAAUGAUUGUUCAAAGUGGAAAGAUACGAUACAAUCUGAAUUGGAUUUAUUGGUUAAAAGAAAAGUUUUUGGACUUGUAGUCCAAACACCUGAAGGUGUAAAGCAAGUAGCCCAAGAAUUUUCACAAAUAUUUGGAUACCAACGAUCCAAUAUGUCAAUGUGUUUUUAUCAUGAAAAAUGGAUCAAAUUUUAUGAUAAUUGCUGUAUAUGUUGAUGAUCUAAAUUUGAUUGGAAACCCUGAAGAGAUUCAAAAUAGUGUUGAAUAUUUGAAGAAAGAAUUUGAGAUCAAAAAUUUUGGAAAGACAAAAUUCUGCAUUGAUUUACAAAUUAAGCAUUUGAAAAGUGAAAUUUUUAUCCACCAAACUGCAUAUACCCGGAAGGUAUUAAAGCGGUUUUAUAUGGAUGAGGCACAUAUAUUAAGUACUUCAAUGGUCGUCAGAUCAUUAGAUCCUAAUAAGGAUCCUUUUAGAUCGUGAGAUGAAGAUGAACAAAUACUUGGUCCUGAAGUACCAUAUCUCAGUGCAAUUGACGAAGAAUAUUGGAACGCGACAACUAAAAGAUCUCAAAUAAUGUUUGCAUCAGGGGGAGAAAUUAAUACACAAGAAUAGUGUACUCUUUUUCCUUCACUAAGGUUUUUGUCCCGAUGGAUUUUUCCCUGAUAAGGUUUUAAUGAGGCAUAUUCUUUGUGUAAUGGACAUCCAAGGGGGAGUGUUAUGAAACAAUUAAAAGUAUGGAUGCCCCUUUGUAUUCCCAAGAGGAUUAAUUCUUGAUUUAUGACUACAUUAUGUAUAGAAGUUACAAUCCAUAAAUCUAUUCAUGUAGUGGAAGAACCGUUUCAUAGUUUUCUUCAUAUUCUUAUAGUAGUGGGUGUUUAAUAGGAUUAAUGUACCUUUAAUCUUGUAGUACCUAUAUAUAGAGGUACAUUAACACCCUUUGUGAAGACUUUUGUAUUAGUUGGAAUCAUAAGAAUAAUCACUCUCCAUUCCUCUACUUCUUUCUCUAAUAUUUUAAUUCCUAUUAUAGUAGUUUAUUUUAUUAGUUUUACAACAAUUUCAAAUUUUUCUUUCAUAUUGUUGAUUAUGUACCACAUAUAUAUAGUAUCAAUAAGGGUAGCUCUUGAGACGACCACAGCGAAAGAACCUUUUUCUUUGUUAAAUAUACAACUUUUGCGAAUUCCCGUUGAUGGUUUUAAUCUUGCAUGUAAAUUUCUAUACAAAAAGCAGUAUAUGUCGCUUGUGAAUUAGUACUUUAGGUUUGAGUAUUCAGCAUAUGGGUGCACCAAACUCAAUAAAAAAUAGUUGUCAAGUAUUUUAAAAUUCCAUUAAAUUUUUGGAGGAGUUUGUUUGUAGAGUUUGAUGUCAGUAGUUUGUCUUUUGGAUUUUAAUUUAGAUUGAUAUUGAUAUUCUACGCUUUCUAAUGGGAUUGAAAAUCAUUUAAAGUUUGUAUUUUUUAUAUGUUUUGUUGAAGGAGAAUAUUAUUUUAAUACGACACUUUAAAGACUUAAUAUCUCUAUUAUUUGUAGUAGUCACGAGAAAAAAACUUUGCGACUAAAUAUCACAAAAAGUAAUACAAACAACAUGCAACGUAUGCUCUCUUAUACUAGUUAAAAUAUAGGACAAAAGAACAUGAUUUUUAUUUAGUACUCUAAGUUUGGGUUCAAAAUAUUUUUGGACGCGUUCUGAAAUCACCAUUGCCUGGAAUACAGCAUGUACGUGAUCCCCUUGAUAAUCAAAUUCAGUGAAGAAGUAAUUGAUUUUCUUUAAAUGAACUAUUAGAGGCCUAUUUGGUAAACAAGCUUUUGGUCAAAUUUGCCUGUUACAAAUUUUUUAACAAUUUUAAUUAUAAUAAUUUCAAAAAAAAUUUCAAAGCUUUUAACUAUACACUUUAAAAUAUUAAAAAAUUUACAUCAAAAAAUUUUUCUACAACUUUUACAGUAAUUUACAGUAAAAUUUUAGACAAAUAUCUAAAAAACUCAUUUGCCAAUCAAGCCUAGAUUCUUUUGUUAAAGAAUAAGAGACUCAACAAACAUCUUAGUUAAGAGACUUGGCAAACAUCUUAGUUAUGCACAGUUUCUUUUCUUCUCGCUAGAUUCCUUCUUUUUCUCCUUCGAAUAGUGACUCAAAUUGACAUUAACGUCACCGUACACCCCGAAACUGACUACUCAUACCUUGUUUCCAUCGAAUUUUGGGACCGAGCCAUCCUUAAUUAUUGUGCUUCCACAGAAUUUUGGGACCAGACCAUCCUUUGUGCUUCCUGGUCCAUCCUAAACUAAUGUGCAUCAACAGAAUAUUGGCUUCCUGGUCCAUCCUAAACUAAUGUGCAUCAACAGAAUAUUGGGACUAGUCCUUUGUAAAUUAUUGGAAGCCAGUCCUUCCUAUGCGUUCCACGUUUUUUUACAAAUGUCCAUGCAAAAUUAGUUACGUUUUGAUUUCCUCAAUUUGUUCUCCACUAGCAAGCCUUUCAUUCAUGAUGCCCGUCCAUUAUUCGGCCUCUGUGGAUAUGAGGCUGUCAGCCAUCAAUCAUCAUCGUUCAUUGCAUGGAAUGGUGCUUUUCAAUGAACAUAUUUUCUUAGGUGUGAUAGAGUUUAUUGUACAAUUAAUCAGUUUUGGUAGCUCUUUAGUAAUUUGACAAUGGUGCUACCAGCCAGCUUGACUUCUCUUGCUUUUGUCAAUAAUAACUAUGUUGACAAGUGAUCAAGUCUUAGAUAAUUUGGGUACUAUAAUUCCACUGCUAUGUUUGAUAUACAGAAGUAGAAGACAUACAGCUUGGUAAAAUGAAGUUGAAUGGUGGUGCUAGCUCAAAUUCUUUUGCCCAUAAAAUUAAUAGGCUCAUAAAAUUGGGAGCUUGCAUCGGAUGAUCGGAAUCUGGAUUUGAUCAGCGUUGCUUGGUUAAUUGUUUGGUAGUGAAUGUUUCAAAAAAGAUGUUAAUGAACAAGAUCUGCCUCUAUUUAACGACAACAUUUUACAUUUUGUCCAAGCAGGACCCGACCUUAUUGAAGUGUCAAAACGUGAAUGUUUCAAUACCCAUUCCGAUUGUGUAGUGCUAGAAAUUGUGAAAUUGCCUUCAUCAGUUGCAAGUUUGGGUGUUUGUUUAGGCUGAGAAAUGUUGUUCUAGGCCUGCUCAUGAGCUUGCUCAAAUGUACUAGCCUUAUUGCUCAUACUGAAUUCUGGCAGAAUAACCCAGAUUGGUCACAAAACAAUUCAGAUUAAGGAUUUCUAUGCAAAAGCAAUUGUUGCCAGACAAUUAGCGGCCCCAGUAGGUUUUCACAGUACAGUUGUCCCUAUCCUCUGUUUGUUUUUGGCCUAAACUUAAAAAAUCGUUAGCUCUUCUUCACUUAGUGGCCCUAAUAGGUAUUCAUAGUAAAAUCACGUACGUUCGUUCCCAUCAUCUGUUUAUUUUAUGUCAAAAUUUAAGAAAAAAAAUCGUUGUCUCAUGUUCAAUUUAAGGGUGCCCACAUUUUAUUAAAAUUGACAUUCCCCAGCAAAAUAAUUUUUGUUCUUAAAUCUGCCUUUACAGUUUGGUGGAUUGUAGAAUCUGCUAUCUAAAAUAGGAUUUUGCCCACUAAAUUUUGUAGCCACUUGAGAAAGAAUCCUUGCAGUCAUCUGUUAGAAUAUGAUACAAACAUCUCAUAAUGGUCAUUAUUUAGUCUCUUUAGUAAGAAGAAAUAUUUGCAUUGUUUCCUUGUAUGGUCAGUGCUCUUGGAUGUAUGUUUAUACCGAUUCUUUAUUCCUUGUCUACGGUUGUUGAGUUAAUUUGUUCGAAAUACAACAUCAUUAAGGAAGAAUAUUCUAAAAUAAUUCCGGUUUUUUUACCCUAUUAUUGUUGUUUUUAUGUCACCAAUUCCUUUGUUUUCAACCUUUUUCGUGCAACAACAAUAUUUUUUUUAGCCAUGAACAAAAUUGUAAAGAAAGCUUGGCGGAGGCACAACUUAAGCUAUUUAGGUGCAUGAUUUGGUUUUGCUGAUUUUAAUAUAAUGCCUAAAGUCAUGAUUUGGUUAGCCAUUAACGUCUUGGCUUGUUGUAGCUAUAAGAUUGAAUUAUUAAAUUAAAGCUAUUGUGUUUUUAGAUAAGAUUGAUAAAAUUUGUUAGCUAUUAUUAGCUAUAAGAUUGAGCUCAACCUCUCUCGAUUAUUCAAUUAAAACUACUCAAUUAUUCAAUUAAAGCUAUUGUGUUUUUAGAUAAGAUUGAUAAAAUUUGUUAGCUAUUGUUAGCUAUAAAAUUGAAUGUCAUAACAUAUAUGUGCUCAAUACAAAAUGAUAAUUAGUUGUCUGCCUUAUUAAAUCCAUUAAAUUAAACUCUUUCGAUUAUUAAAUUAAAACUACUCAUUAGAUCUUACGUGGUUCUUGUCUGUUACUUCCACAUUACGUGGCGCAAUUCUCCUUUGACUCUCAAACUUUGCCUUACGUGUUGCAUGCUUACAAAUUACACAGUCAAAUUUUGCCUUACGUGUUGCAUGCUUACAGAUUACACCUUGCAGAUUACAUUGGGUCAAACUUCAUCUUACGUGCUUCUAGCUUACGCAUUACAGCUAUAUUUGGUUCGUUCGGUGAUUAUAGAUAUAGAUAUGCUUGCUUUGUUUGAUUCUUUUAUCAUAGUGGACUUGCAAUCAUUACGUGGAUUUAAUGCAUGCAUGUGCUUGCUUUUACCAAAGCACAGGCUCUUUGUAUAGUUAAGCACUCUGUGUGCUAUAUCUACAUUAGCUUUUCCACCAUCGGUUUCUUUGCUUUGACUUCCUCUACGUGCAUACCAGCAACUAUGAUAAUGUUUUAGAGAUGUUUCUCUUUUGUCCUGCGUCUUUCUGUUAAGCCUCGAUCUUGUGCCAGCUUUUGGUGAUUUUUGUUUCCAAUUUCCUCGUUCUCGCUUGCUUCAAUCAGGUGCUGCUUGUUUUCCUUUACUGUAUUUCUCCACUUUUGCGCCUAAUAUAGCUGUUUAUUACGUUCUUCCUUCGGUGAACUUUUUGCUCUUUCACUGUGUUUGCUUAUUUUUGUUUUGUAUGCUUCAAGUUAUGCUUCUAUCAUUUUCUUUUCCCCAUCAUUUCCAUUUCUUUGUUGCAAGUUUUUAGUUUGCAUGGACUCUGACUUGUCUUCUGUUAGCUACUUCAAUGAUUUUUGCCAAAAAACUUACUACUUCGCACAGAAUUAUUUUUCUUUCUUGCAGCUUUUUUGUCUGCAUUAACUCUGAAUUUUCUUGCGUUAGGUCACUCCAUAAACUAUUACCAAAUUUAAAAAAUCUGCUUACUUUUUCCUUUUUUGUGUAUUUUGCUCAUGCUCACUAUGUGUCCUUUUUCCAUGAUCAUAGCAGUUCAUUCAAUACGCCCCAGUUUUCCACCAUCCUAUUCGACGUUUAUUGUUCAGGUAAAGCAAUCCUUUCUUCACUUAAUUGCUUCUCAUCUGCUUACUAUGUAGUCUAUUCUACUUUGUUGUUUUUUAUCUUGCAAAUCAUGUUUGUUAUUUCUUUGCCUAUUGAAUAGCAAUCAUCUUUCUCAUGCACACUUAUUCUGCUUGCUUGAACAAACUCCAGAUGGUUUGUCAUUAUUAUUGUUGCACAUUAUGGAUAACAGAAUUCUAUUGGUUUUAGCUGCAAUUGCAUAUGGGUCGCAAGCGUAAAUUUUCAUCAGAGGAUGAAUAUCGUUUAGAAAAAAGUCGCCGUGAUCGUGAAAGACAUAUCAAGAAAAUAGUUCAGCGUAAAAGAAGCCAAAAUGCAGAAACACAGACUACUAUUCCUGAAACAACUGAGCACAACCUUUUUGAUGUUCCUAUUCAUGAUGAUUUGCCGCCUAAACAUACAGUCGGUUGUUUCUGUUUGGAUUUGCCUGUGUUUUCGCUUUCAGAUAAAACAGAUAUUCCAUCUACAUCAGCUGUCUCUGCCAUUGAUUCAUGUAUUAUUCUUCUCUUAUUCAUAUAUGGUCUUAGCUUUGUCUUCUUUUUCUCCUGAGCUAUAUCAAAUGUAAUCAUUGUGCUAAUCUUUUAUUCAUAUAGUUUGUUCGCCUAUAAAUGAUGAUUCAGUUUCACAGAGCCUCUUUCAUCCAGCUUCAUCGCAUGUUCAUGUACAUCAAUUUCCUCUUGCUUCUCAUUCAGGUAGCAGUAAUAUCCCUCUUUCACCCAUUGACUAUCACUGUGAAAUCAGAGAAACAUGCUAGCUCUCUCAAUCAGUUCAUUUCUCCAAAAAAUAUUCAGUUUGCAUUCCAAACUUUGAAUUUUCAGCCUCAUCAUCUGCCAUCAAGGAAGGAUUUGAUAUAGCAACAUCCUCAAGAGUUCGAGCGGGUAUCUGAUCAAAUUUUGGAUUCCCCUCCUAUAUUCUAUAUCCUACGCAUACUAGAAAAUACACUUGCAUUUUUAAUAUAACCAAAUAUCGACGUCCAAGAAAUAUACCGCUCAUACAGCAGAUACAAUCAGAGCCAAGUAUAUUGCCAUCUGUUCCAGAUUGUAUUCACUGUCAUGCUAAGCGAUUUUACAUGGAGCCACCUCGAUUUUGCUGUGCUUCUGGAGAAAUCAGAUUAGCACCAACCAAAAUGCCUGAUAAAUUAGUACAGCUUUAUAAAGCAAACACUCCUGAAUCAAAAGAGUUUAGACAAUGCAUUAGGAGUUAUAACAACAUGUUUGCUUUUACAUCUUUGGGGGUCCAUUACAAUAAAGAACUCAGUAAGAGGAAUCAUGGUAUUUAUACGUUUAGAGUGCAAGGACAGAUAUACCAUUUUAUUAACUCAUUAGUCCCUUCUGAAGAUGAAAAGGCAUCGAACUUGCAGCUUUAUUUUUAUGAUACAGAACAUGAAUUAGCAAAUAGAAUGGCUAUCUCAAGCAAAUUCAGAGAGUCUAUUGUAGAACAGCUUAGGUCAAUACUCCAUGAAAAUCCGUAUUCUGCUUUUAUUCGAAGCUUAGCAGAACUUCAGGAUUUAGACAGAUAUCGGAUAUUUCUAAAAUCUGACCCAGGCUUCGACCAACGUGUCUACAACACACCUACAGUAUCUCAAGUUGCAGCCAUUUGGUCUGAAAAUGAUCUGAAUGACACUCAGACUUCGAGAAACAUCGAAAUUUCGACAAAAACAGGCAAUAAGAAAAUAGUUAAGCAAUACUAUGGAUGUUAUGAUGCAUUGCAGUACCCUCUUAUAUAUGCUCGAGGCGAAACAGGUUGGCAUCCAGGAAUUCUACGAAAAACCAAAGCUGAUAUAUUAGACCGACCUGAUCAGACUUGCAGUGAAGAAAAUUUACUGCCUCUUCAUCAAUGUACUAAUAUCGAUCAAAUUAUCGAUGCAGAAGAGAAAGGUAUGACCAUAUAUCUUUGUUCAAUCAUUUUAUCAUUUGAAAAUCUUCUUCUUAAAGUCUUUAAAUUUUUAUUAUUACUGCAGCUGUCAAGCAAAAAAAAAAACGCAGGCCAACUGUUUCAUGCUGAGAAUACUAUGCAUACAAGUUUCAAAUUAGGAAUGGGGAUCAGUCCAAUCUUCUGCAUAUUAAUCGUCUUCUGCAGCAAUACUCUGUUGAUACAUAUGUAAAACUGGAGACUUCAAGAUUGGAAUUCUACAGAAGCAGACAACACAAAUUAAGAACAGAAACAUAUCAAGGAUUGUUAGACACUACCGCAAAUGGUGAAACAAAUGGCGCAAAUGUUGGCAAACGCAUCAUUUUGCCAGCAAGCUUUAUAGGUGGCCCAAGAGAUAUGCGUCGCAGGUACAUGGAUGCAAUGGCAUUGGUGCAACGCUACGGAAAACCUGAUAUUUUCCUUACUAUCACCUGCAAUCCAUCGUGGCCCGAAAUCAAACAGCAUUUGGGGGAAAAUGAUGAAACUCAGAAUAGACCUGACUUGAUUGCUCGUGUCUUCCGUGCAAAAAUAGAACAGUUGAAGGAAGACCUAUUGAAAAAGCAUAUUUUUGGACAAAUAGCAGCAUAUACAUACGUCAUUGAGUUUCAAAAACGAGGUCUACCGCACGCUCACUUUUUGAUCAUCCUUAAAGACAAGUGGAAAAUGUACUCUCCAGAAGAAUAUGAUCGAAUUGUCUCUGCAGAGUUGCCAGAUAGAAUCAGAUCACCAUAUCUAUUCUCUCUUGUCGUAAAGCAUAUGCUUCAUGGUCCGUGCGGCUCUCUGAACCCAAAUAGCCCUUGUAUGCGACAAAAUAAAAAAUGCAAAAACAACUAUCCGAAAGAUUUUUGUGACUUCACCAAGCAUGGAAAAAGCUCAUAUCCAUUGUAUAGAAGGCGUGAUGAUGGAAACAGUGUCAUGAUCAGAGAUCAUCAGUUAGACAAUCGUUGGGUUAUCCCUUAUAAUGCAUAUCUUUUAGCAAAAUAUGAUUGCCACAUCAACGUUGAAGUUUGUUCUGCUAUCGAAGCUGUAAAAAAUAUAUAUAAAUAUAUAUACAAGGGUCAUGACCAAGUUAUAUAUCAGUUGAAUGCAGAACAAGCAGACAAAAUUGUUGAUGAAAUCAAGAAUUUCCAGUCUGCUCGAUAGAUCUGUGCCCCAGAAGCUAUGUGGAGAAUCUUCGCUUUCGAUCUCAGUGUCAUUAAUCCAGCUGUUAUUGUUCUCCAUUUACAUCUACAAGAUUAUCAGCCACUGUCCUUCCAUGAAGAUAGACCAUUGCAAGAUGUGAUUGAAGAUGAAAGACUUCACCGAACAAUGCUUACAGAAUUCUUUGCUAUGAAUCGAACAAAUAAGCAAGCUGAAGAUCUCAAUUUAUUAUAUAAGGAGUUUCCUCAAUAUUUUGUCUGGGAUGAAGAUAAUAGAAUCUGGUAUGCUCGAAAACGUGGACAAGUCAUUGGACGUGUGACCACAGCGCAUCCAAUAGAAGGCGAGAGAUAUUAUCUUAGAAUGCUGCUGAUGCAUGUUCGAAGACCAAAAUCCUUUACUGACCUCAAAACAGUAAAUGGAUUCAUUGCUUGUUCAUUCAAAAGAGCUGCAGAAAUUCGAGGAUUAUUACAGAUUGACAAUGGAGCGGAGCAAUGUCUAUCAGAAGCCGCGCUAUACAAGAUGCCAUCAUCUCUCAGGCAACUGUUUGCUGUUAUUUUGAUAUAUUGUCCACCGAGCAAUCCAAAAAACCUUUGGGACAAAUUUUAUGACUACCUAUUAGAAGACAUAGCAAAUCAGUCAUUCCUAUCAGAAGAACAAACAAAAGCAAAGGUUCUUCAUCUUAUUGAUGAAUAUUUACAAAUAAUGGGAAAGAAUAUAGCAUAUUUUGGCUUCUCACAAUUAACUUCAACAAUGCCUUUCGCUGCUAUCACAAAAGAAAUUGAAGCAGAAUACACAAUUCCUAUUUCUGAAGAAGAUUUAGCAGCUUCAUCGAUACUCAAUCAUGCUCAAAGAGGUACAUUUAACAAAAUAAUGCAAAAAGUCGAUGCCAAUGUUCCAGCUGCAUUCUUCAUUGACGGACCUGGAGGCACUGGGAAGUCCUUUUUAUAUAAGGCUUUGCUUGCAACUGUUAGAUCAAGGGGACAUAUUGCCUUGGCAACAGCAACAUCUGGAGCUGCAGCAUCAAUUCUUCCUGGAGGUCGGACUGCCCAUUCUCGUUUUAAGAUACCUCUUCAGCAAGAAAUUAACAGCACCUGCAACAUUUCCAAACAAAGUGCCAUCGGUAAAUUAAUUCAACUUGCACGGCUAAUAAUCUGGGAUGAAGCAGCAAUGGCCAAAAAAUAUGCCAUUGAAUCCUUUGACAGAUUAUUGAAAGAUUUGCUCAAUUCUGACUCUAUCUUUGGUGGAAAAGUAAUUGUUUUUGGUGGAGACUUUCGGCAAACUUUGCCGGUGGUUAGAAAAGGGCAACGAGAAGAUUACAUCUCUGCAUCCCUUGUCAAUUCUUACCUGUGGCCUCAUCUGGAAAAGAUCCGACUCACUGAAAAUAUGAGAGCACGGUCAGAUCCCUCAUUUUCUGAUUUCUUGUUGAAAAUAGGAGAUGGAACAGAGCCAACUAUCCUAGAUAACAAAAUCAAGUUUCCAUCUUCAAUGCUUAUACCUUUUAUUGAUGAUACAACCUCAUUAAACCUUCUAAUAAAUACUGUGUAUCCAUCCUUGUUUGAGUUUUUAACCAGCAGCUCUGCAGUUACUAACAGAGCUAUUUUGAGUACAACAAAUGAGACUGUUCAAGAAGUCAAUCAAAUUUUGAUUCAAAGAUUUCCAGGACAAGAAACCAGAUACAUCAGUUUUGAUCAAACGCUUGAUCCAACAAAACAAGUUGAUCAUGGAGAUUUCUUAAAUUCCAUUCAGCCUCCUGGAUUGCCCCCACAUGAACUAAUUUUGAAACCAAUGUGCCCAGUAAUCCUUCUUAGAAAUCUUAACCCUGCACAAGGUUUAUGCAAUGGAACACGUCUCAUUUGUUUAAAUUUUGAUAAGAAUGUAAUACAUGCUGAAAUUUCAGUUGGUAUUCAUAUUGGCAAGCAUGUUUUCAUUCCUCGUAUUCCAUUGCACAGUUCGAAUGAUGAAUCUUAUCCAAUACCCUUCAAACGAACUCAGUUUCCAAUUUCAUUAUGCUUUGCUAUGACAAUCAACAAGUCACAGGGACAAACACUUGAUUUUGUUGGAAUAUACUUAAAGGAACCUGUGUUUUCACAUGGACAAUUAUAUGUUGCAUUGUCUAGAGCAAAAACCUCAGCAAAUGUGAAGAUCUUGCUAAGACCCGUUACUGUCCAUUCUACAGAAAGCAGUUAUACUCGAAAUAUUGUUUAUCAUGAAAUCCUAGCUGCUGCUGCUGAUACUUGAGUAAUAAUUAUCUGCAUGGUUAUAUUAUAUAAUUAUGUGUAUGCCUCCUGUCUGCUUCUAUAAGUUAAUCUAUUCAACAGCUGUAAACCUUUUUAUGUUAUACUACAGAUAUGGACGACAGAUGCACACCAAUUAGUGAUCUAACAGAAAAAUCUCAGGAUGGGAUGAUCAAGAUCAUUGUGAUUGAAAAAUCAAAUAUAUUCCCUGCAAAAGACCAAGGCUCUUUGUUCCAGCGUUUCAUGUUUACAAAUGAAAAGGUAAAACACUUAUACUAUUUCCUCUCUCUUAUAAACGGCUUGUAUCUUUUAUCAUAGACUUGCUUAUGUCUUUUGCCAUCUGACUGGUAUACACCAUUUCUCAUACCUAUUAUCUUUGAUUCUUCUAAUUAACUACUUCGUGAAUGUAACUCACUGCUCUUUUUUCCAGAAUGAAACAAUUCAAGCCAUUGCAUUCAAUAGAGAUGUGAGCCAUGCAGACAACAAGCUUCAAUUAUAUCAUGCAUAUUAUAUUGGCAAUGCCGGUAUAUCCCCCAUAACAGAUGCAAGAAAUCAAGCUGGAUCCCUGCCAUAUCAACUCACAGUAACAAAGGCCACCUUCAUUAAAGCAGCAACCAACGCAAAAGAAAUACAAUUUGAAGAUCAUUUCCCCAUUACUUCAUUCUGGCAGCUUGACAAAUACAAAAAUAGUGAUGUUGAUAGAUUUAGUAGUGCUUCCCUUCCUCAACUUACAAUUACAUAUAAAUAGACUAUAUAUUUUCACAUUAACUAUGUUACACAAAUUAUAUUUCACUUACUCAAUAUUUCACUGCAGAUAUCCUCUGCGCUAUUAUACAAGGAUUCCCAGAAACAAUCAUACCAACUGCUAGAGGACCUCGAACAAUUCGGAGAUUUGUUGCUGUAAACCCAGAGUAUGAUUUCCAUUUAAUUUUUUUUGGAAUUUUAUACUCAUCUAAACAGAUAUCAUAUAUUAAAAAUGCAUAUAUUCCUGUAUAUAUAUUUACCUUCAUUAAGAUUAUCAUAUAUAUUAUUGGUGCAGAUGCAGACCAAUGAUUUUCACCAUGUGGGAGCCAUUCGUCUAUAUUGAAGGAAUUCAACUGAUGAACAUGAUUCACACACAUCCAGUGAUACUGAUUAUCAGGCCAAAGAUCACAGCAUUUCAUGGUAAAUCCUCUAUGGCCCAAACAAACAUAUAUUUUUCUUAUCAGAUGCUCAUCUAUAUACAUUGACUCAAUACAUUAUUAAUUUUUACUUUUCACAUACUCAUUUACCUGGAUUAUUGAAGCAAUUGAUAUCACCACAAGACCGAAUACUACCAUAGUUCUUGAUCCCCCACUUCAGCAAGCAGCCACAAUGAAAAUCUGGUAUGAAUAAUUACAGCACCCUCUAGCACUAAGAUUGAUCUACCCAUAAAAAAAUAUCGAUAUAAGUCAAUAUUCUAACUCUUAGCCUAUAUUACAGGAUCGAUGAGAACAGAUCAUACAUUCACAAAGUCAUCAACGAGAAAUUAUAUGAAAAGGACAAGCAGCAGCCAGUUGCACCACUUCAAACCCAAAUACGGCCAAUCUCACAGAUCAUUUCUUCCACACCACAGGUACACCUCAUUUCUCAGUCAAGUUGCAUUUUAAUGCCUGAUCCACAUUGUUCCUAUAACUUCACAAUAUCUCUCAUCUAUCAUUAUAUUUAUUUCUCUCAUACUCAUUACACCUCCAGUAUAUCAAGAUUUCAUAUAACACAUAUUUGUAUUCCCUUUUUACAUUCUUAAAUAUUUCCCUUAUCCUUUAGAAACUUAUGCAUUAUCAUUUCAAACUCCUACGACAACAGAUGAAACAUUUCUGGAUCAAGGGAAUGCCAUUAAUAGUGAAUCUCAACCAACGCUUUUUCUCUCCUACUUGUCCUACUUGCAACAAGUCUACUGGCGCUUUGAUGGAUGUGGAAUUUGAUUGUAACUUUUGUGAUUCCAAAAACAAAAUUCCAAGACCAAAGUAAGUGUUCGAUUUGAUAUAUCUGUACAGUAAUUACAAUUUUUUUGCCAAGUAAAAAUUUUAAACUCUCUGUUCCUAAUACUUCAACAGAGCCAAAGUCCAACUCAAUAUCACGGAUGAUACUGGUUUCCUAUCAAUCACAGCAGAGGACAAGCAUGCAGAAACAUUACUUGGAUUCACUGGUUUAGAAAUCUACGAAAGAUACCUUAAGGUACUGAAUUGAACUUACCUUCAUAGAAAGGUAAUAUAUAAUACAUGCAUAUUCAUAGCUUUUUAACAUUUACUAUGAAUAUAUAUUACAGCAAGAUCCAAUUCCCAUUCAGCGCAUCAAUGAAGAAUUACAGAGGCAAACACUACUUUGCGAAGUCAGAUCAUACUGGCCACCUCAGAGACAAUACAUGCCACUCUACUUUUUAACAGCAUUCAUCCCAGAAGAAUCAGCAAGUGAAACUCUCUCUGAUCAGCUCGCUCAGACCACGCCACCAACACUGCUAACAGGACCAACAUCUGCACUUAGCAAUACAGCCGAGGAAACUGUUUCAGACACAAAUGUCACUGAAAUACCUGCCUCUUCAACCUCACUCUUAGCAGAAAUGUCAUCAUCCGUCAAGCGCAAUCUUGAGCCAGAUUUCUCUCAACUCACAAAACAUCAAAAACUAGACUAAACACUUUACAUUACAGUCAAAUGUAAAAGUAAGAACUACACUUUUUGUUCAACAACCAAGGCAGCUCGUUAGAAUUUUGUUUUGUAAAAAUUGCAACUAACUUUUGUACCAAGCUGCACUCUCCAUUUAGGAUGUAUAUAAAAAAAACGCAUGCUUUUUGCUUUUAUACUCUGAACCUAUUUCAUACCCAAACAUCUUCUUCACAAAUAAAUCAUCAAUUGACACUGUUACACUACAUAAUAUGGGCACCCCGCGACAGCCGCGGGGUCCAAUGCCUAGUGUUGCAUAAGGCCAUUUACAAUCUAUUGAAAAUCCACCAAUAAAGUAAACAGUGCAGCCGUCGGAGAAGCAACAAUUGGUGCAAGAUGUGUAGGUCUUCGUUCCAUUACAGAUCUGGUACACGGUCGGCCCCAUGCAAUUCAAUGGGCAAGGCCUGACUGCCCCGGGCCUGACAAGCACAGGCCUAACAGCCUUGACUUCCACAUUUGCUCCCAGAAGAAUCAUUCCUAUUUUCAGUAUCAAAAUCAUUUUAAAUCAUAUGCAAACCAAAUUCCUUUUAAUUUUUGAAAACUGCUCGAAACUGUUUUUUUUUUUUUUAAAUAGAUCGGAUGAAUAGUCAGGUUUUAACUCGCAUACAAAAGAAUAAAAUUGUACAUACCACAAAAGAGAAUAGCCAUGAUUGCCAUGAUUCCUUGUCUUCCAAAAGUUUUGCUUCGAUUUGAAAUGGCGGAUUCCGAUUGAAAUGACUGAGAAGUGUAAAGAGUGAGAGUAUAUCCAGCUACUAGGUGCAAAUAUUCUGCUUAUUGUGCUUCCACGGAAUUGUCGGAUUAGUCCAUCCUAAAUUAUUGUGCUUCCGAGUCCAUCCAAAAUUAUUGAAUGUGUUUGUAUAGAUGAAUAUUUGGAAUAAAUAUUUUGAAAAAACACUGUAACACUUUCUGUAAUAUGAUGUAUAUGAAAUACAAAGAAAGAUAGAAAAAUAAAAAAAGUACUUGAGAAAUAUGUUUACGAUGCAAUCCAUGUCCAUCCUAAAUUAUUGUGCACCAGUCCUUCGUCAAUUAUUGGGACCAGUCCUUUCCAUACAUUCCGUUCUUCAGUAGAAUUCCCAUGCAAAAUUAGUCACUUGCAUGCCUGUCAAAAUUAGACUGUGUAUUAGAUAGAACAGCACCAAAACUUGCUGUCUAAACUGAUAUAUGGCUUGGCUUUUCUUGAUUAUGUCCGUAGCCAUCAGUUUACUUUUUGUUUCUUUAUCUAUCAAUAGAUUGACUUUAGUUGAACUGUGUAUAGGAAGAUUAACCCUGAAAUUCUGUCAAAAUACAUAUGUGCGGCUUGACAUGUUACAAGAUAAAUACAUUCUUACAAACUCAAUUGAAGACUACAUAUGCAUCACCAUUUGGUGGCCGCCCACAGCCAGUCCCUGCAAGUAGUGAUUCAAAUUGGGACGCGGGGCAUGCACUGACAACCGUUCAAAACAGUAUAAUACUUUUUAAACAAGUUAUAAUUGCUUCUUAAUUACUUGUGCAAACUUACAACAGUAGUGUGAUAUUUUAUUAUUGUUCAUAUAGAUCCCGUACAUAAUAAUUGUGUGUCUUGUUAUAAAAUUUUACAAGUAAUUCACAUAAAGUUACAAAAGUGUUCAAAAAGUGUUACAUCAUUCCGAUCCGUGCGUGGAGUCCCUCAAUUUGACACUAACAUCAUCGUACCCCACAAAUGUGAUUAUUCUUACAUUGUUUCAUAGAAUUUUGGGACCAGUCCAUCCUAAUUAAAUCAUUGUAAUUCCUUGUCCGUCCUAAAUUAUUGUGAUUCAACAUAAUUUUGGGACCAGUACUUCGUAAAUUACCUGAACAAAAAGUCCUUUGUAAUUAUUGGACUGGCACGAGUCCCUCAAAUUGACACCAACGCCAACUUACCCCGCGAAUGUGACUAUUCUUACCCCUUGUUUCAUAGAAUUUUGGGACCAGACCAUCCUAAAUAUUGUACUUCCAAAGAAUUUUAAAUCACUCAUCUUGAUUUUAAACUUUUUAAGUUUACACCAUAAAAAAUGGACUAUUUUAUUCACAAAAACAAUUCAAUGGUAACUUUGGUCAAUGCGGCCUGCAAAUAUUUUUUUUCAAGGGAAAUCUUUUUUUUUUUUAUAUAGUUCGGAUAAUUAUAAGGGAAAAUUUGCUAUAUAAUUGGUGAAAGAUUUGAUAUUCAAGGAUGGAGUAAAAUUUUGUCCGAAGUCAAAAGUAGGGAGUUUGGAUUCUUUUAAUGGGAAUCAAGCUAAAAUGAUAGAUUUGCCCGUAGAUAGUUUUGCAUGAAUUUAGGACCUCAAUUGGCCACGUUAUGUCCGUAGACUGUGUUUGGAUAAGAGAUUUAGGACCUCAACUGGCCUCUCAUCCAACGAAAAUAUGCUUCAUUUAGACCAAUGCAACUGUGUCGGGAUAGGUGAUUAUUUGAAAUAAUUUUUUCAAAAAAAAAAUAGUGUAGCACUUUUCAAUGAAAAUAUAUUCCAUUUUGGCCGAUGUGACUCUGUUUGGAUAGGAGAUUAUUUGCGAUAAUAUUUUUAAAAAAUAAUACAGCACUUUUUUGAUGUGAUGCCAGUGAGAUAAAAAUAUAAUUAAAAAUAUAUUUAUGAUGCAAACAGAUAAUUUUGUGUACAUAAUUUGCUAUCCAAACUAAUUCGUUGUGAGGGCCCGAGUUAGAUAUGUAUCCAUAUCAACAUUAAUCAAGCAAUCAAUACAUAAAAACUGAACCGUCAAGUUGUAUUACAUUAAACACGUAAGAAGACGACAUUAAAUUCUUGCUUGCAUGAUUUGCUAGAUUUCAAAUGAUUCUUUCAUAUUGUUGAUUAUGUACCACAUGUAUAUAGGUAUCGAUAAGGGUACCUCCUGAGAGGACCACAGUGAUAUAUACCUCCUGAGAGGACAAAAGAACACGAUUUUAGUUUAGUACUCUAAAUUUGGGUUCAAAAUGUUUUCGGACGUGUUCAGAAAUCACCAUUGCCUGGAAUACAGCAUGUACAUGAUCUCGUUGAUAAUCAAAUUCAGUGAAGAAGUAAUUGAUGAGAGGAAAAAUCCACUUUUUCUCCCUAAAUUUUGAGUUAGGGACACAUUUCAUUCCCAAACUUUUAGAUGCACCAUAUUUAAUAUAUGAAUUAAUUAUAUUUUGCCACAUUUAGUCCAAAAAUAGUAAAUUGCUUAAUUUGGAUGGAGAAAGUCACGUGUUUGGCAUACGGUUGUUAAGUAAAAAUAAUUUCUCAAUCAAAAUUAACAGUCACGCCAAUCUUCUCCAUCCAAGUUGAAUAUUUUAUCGUUUUUGGUCUAAAUGUGGUCCAAAAUAAUUAAUUCAUGUACUAAAUGUGAUGUGUCUAAAAGUUUGGGAACGAGAUGUGUGCCUAACUCAAAAUUUAAGGACGAAAAGUGGAUUUUUCCUUAAUUGAUAUUCUUAAAAUGAGCUAUUAGAUUCUUUUGUUAAAGAAUAAGAGACUCAACAAACAUCUUAGUUAAGAGACUCGACAAACAUCUUAGUUAUGCACAUUUUCUUUUCGCUAGAUUCCUUUCUUUUCUCCUUCGAAUGGUGACUCAAAUUGACAUUAACAUCACCGUACACCCCAAAUAUGACUAUUCAUACCUGUUUCCAAAGAAUUUUGGGACCGGGCCACCCUUAAUUAUUGUGCUUCCACAGAAUUUUGGGACCAGUCCAUCCUAAUUAAAUUAUUGUGCUUCCUGGUCCUUCCUAAACUAAUGUGCAUCAACAGAAUAUUGGGACUUGUCCUUUGUAAAUUAUUGGAAGCCAGUCCUUCCUAUGCGUUCCACGUUUUAGUACAAAUGUCCAUGCAAAAUUAGUUACGUUUUGAUUUCCUCUACAAUUAUUCGUUUGCUGUAAUUCCUCUACAAUUCCACCGCUAUAUUUGAUAUACAGAACUAGAAGACAUACAACUUGGUAAAAUGAAGUUGAAUGGUGGUGCUGGCUCAAAUUGUUUUGCUCAUAAAAUUAACUAUAACACUCCAUUCUAUCUGGCAAGUAAGGAAUAAACAGAUUUUCCAGCAAAUUCAAACUUCUUGUAUGUGGCAGCUGUUGAAAUGGUUGUCACCGCUAUUCAGAUGAUUCUUGCUUCUUGGCGUGGUGGUGUUCCUCGAGCUAAAGAAAAUUGGGAGCUUGCAUCGGAAUCCAGAUUUGAUCAGCGUUGCUUUAUUAAUUGUUCGGUAGUGAAUGUUUCAAUUUUGAUUCCGAUUGUACAGUGCUAGAAGGAUGCAGUAAAAUUUUGUCCAAAGUCACGAGGAGAGAAUCUGGAUUCUUUCCAUGGGAAUGAAGCUAAAAUGACAGAUUUGCCCAAAGAUAGUUUUGAAUAAAUUUAGGACCUCAAUUGGCCACGCUAUGCCCGUACUACCAUGUCACAUUAUCUAUUGGGAAGGAAAAAAAUGACAUUACAGCUGUGGGUUCCACCACAAUAUCAAUCAUUAUUUGGGCCCCACCCUACCAUGAAGGAUGUCUUUCCUUCCCUCAUUCAAUUUAAGGCCUGUUUGGCAAAUGGGUUUUUACCCAAAUUUGCCUCUUAUCAGUUUUUUUUAUUAAUUUUAAUUACGUUAAUUUUAAAAAUUUCUCAAAAUUUUUUAUCUAUACAUUUCAAAAUAUCCAAAAUACACAAUAAAAAUCCCGUUCUCCCUCUCUUCUUCCAUGUCAACCCACCACCACGGUAGACUGGCUAGUGUCAGCAGAUGCAGCUUUUCUUUUCGCUCUCCCUCUUCUCCCUCUCCCUCUCCCCCCUCCUCCCCUCCCCUUCCCUUCCCCUUCCCCCCGCCACCAGAUCGGAGAGGGGGAUGGCCUUCUCUCCCCUCCUCCCUUCCUCUUCCCUUCCCCCUCCCCCUGGUCCGAUGGGGAUGGCCUUCUCCCCCUUCCUCUCAGGGGGAGGGGGAAGGGAAGGGGAGGGGAGGUGGGGGGGAGAGGGAGCAAAGGGGGAGAGAAAAAGCAAAAAAAAUUCUCAUUUUUGUUGUUACAACUUCCAACAAAGUGAGGGAGAAGUGGCGAGGGAGGGGGAGAAGAGAGAAGAGAGGGAGAGAAAAAGCAAAAAAAAAAAAUCCCGUUUCUAGUGCUGCAACUUUCGACGAAAGGAGGGAGAGGUGGCGGGAAAGUGAGAGAGGGAGAGGGAGAGGGAAAGAGAAAAGGCAAAAAAAUAAAUUUUUUUUUUGCAUCUGCCUCUUCCGGCUGUGAGGGUUGGCGGCCUGGCAAGGGUGGGAGAAGGGAGAAGGGAGAAGAAGAAGAGAGGAAAGAAAAGAAAAAAGAAAGGAAGAAAGAGAAAGAGAAAGAGAAAACGAAAAGAAAUAAAAAGUUUUUUAUUUUAAAAUUUUUUCUACAAUUUCUACGGUAAGUUAUAAUAAAAUUUAGGCAAACAUUUCAAAAGAUUCAUUUGCCAAACGGAUAUUUGAUUAUUAUUUUACUUUAAAACUCUAGAGCAAAAAUUUUACAAUAUUUGAAUUCUUAUUGUUAUUGGUCCAAAGCAGCAAUGUUAGAAUGCGAUAUUCAGCGCUAAUUUGCCAUGUUUCAUCAAUGCUCGAUCACUGAUAAAUCCGGUGAAAAUUAACUCUCAAAUCAGGCUCACAAUUCCCAUGUUUAAAUUGUAAAAUUGAACCUUGACAAUUUGUCCAUCACCAUAAACUAGUAAAACGAAAAUACCCCAAAGCCUGAGAACUAGUGGCGUUUUUUUGUAAGGAAUCAUAGAGACAUGCACAGCGAAUAAUUAAAAAAAUCAAUAAAAGUUUAUCAUGUAAUUAAUAUCUUUUUGUCACACUUAUCUUAUAUUAAUUUUGAAAUAAGUUGUACUUAUUCUAUUAUUUGAUUGAUGUUCAUUUCUUAUACCAAAAGAUGACCCCAAUGAAUAAAUACCUAGAAACACUUUUUAAAACUCUUGCACUUAACGCUAAGAAUUUCGAGCUAUACUUCUUCUGUGAGAAUCUCAAAAUUGCAUUAAUUUCUGAAAAUUAAAAUCAAAAUAUUAUUUAAAUGUUGAAUUUAUUAAAUAAUAUGUAAUUGUAUUUAAAUAUUGUUGUUUACUUAUAUAAAUGUUAUAUUUUAAAUUACAUGAAUUUUAAAAAUUUAUUUGGCGGUUCGUGUUCAGCUAAGCAUUAGGGUGAAUAUUUGCGCACUGACGUGUAAUGUAGCCCUAAGUUGAAAUGUAGGGUAUGUAGAGGUUAUAAAAAAAAAAAUGUACAACUAAACUGAGGAAAUGCUAGAUGAGGAAAUUCUACCAGUAGAUCAAAAUUCCGCGCGUAAACGCGAUUCGAAUUCGAAAUGCCCACCAUUAAUGACAUGCCCAAAAAGUCAACUAGCCUACUCACUAGAUUACCCCAAUUUUCUUCCCAUCUUGUCACCAGCUAUCAACUCUUUUCUUUCCCUCCAAGCUCCCGAUCCUCUGGUGCAAGAAGAAGCAGAAGCCGCUGCCAUUCCAAGCUUCUAACAGCCUUCCAUUCUCAGCCAUUCACACCCCAAUCUUCAAGCUUCCAUUUCCAGCUUCCACCUCCAUUCUUGGCUGCUGUCUCGACCGAGCAAGGAGGAGGAAGAUCGCUGCUGCUGCUGCCGGCGUUGCGUCGGACCAGGGGAGAAGGAGAAACCAGCUGCCAUUUUUCUUUCCUCUAACCACAGAACCUUCCAAGCUGACUCAAAAACCCCAGACCCAAACUUCUCUUCACCUUAACGUUUGCUGCUGUGUUGCUGCUGUGGGUGGUCAGACCGAGAGGGAAACAGAGAGCAAGGGAGCCGGCUGACCCUCUGUGGUUCUAGGAGCAACUUGAGGAACUAGACAAUACCUUUAGCUAGUAAACAACCCACUUGAAGGUAACAAACUCCAGCUUAGCACCUUAGCCAGAAAUUUCAGAUUUUUGCAGCUUUUGGUUCUUGAAAUAUUAGCUUGCGUUGGUGAAACUUGUUGGGUUGCUGAUCCUCUAAGCUAAUAAUUGAUGAAGCUAGAGGUGUUUUAUGUGUUUAUAUGUGUGUUUUGUGGUGGUUAAAUGUUGGGGAAAUUUUAAGAAUGAAAAUGGGGUGCUGGCCGGAUGAGGGAGCAAUUUUCCAGCUUUGUUACCGGUUGUUGUUUUGCAAUUUUUGCUUAGGUAAUGAACUGGAUUGCUUGUUGGGAGGUUAGACUAAUUAGUUGUGAUUGUUAUGGACUUAAAGUAUGAGUUAUAAGUUGAAGAUGGUUGAGCAAAAAGAGGAGAAAAUUCUGCUCUGCUAAACCGAACCAGCAGGCCUGUUUUUCUUCCAUUUUUACCCGAAAUUUUGAGCCGGAUUUUUUGAAGUUAUUGAGCUAUUUAAAUCGUGUAUAUGUUCACCUAUAUGUGUAGAGUAGUUUUGGUGAAAAUGCAGCUUUGGUACAAUGGGAAAUUUCAUUGAAAAAUCAAAGAGAAAAAUGCCCCUUGAGCUGUCCGAAAAAUUCUGGAAAUUUCCAGAUUUUUGGGCGAAUUUGGGGUUUGGUUUUGACAAGUUUUUGAACCAUUUGAGCUGUAAACAUGUUAACCUAUAUGUGAAGUAUUGUUUGGGUAAAAAUGUAGCCUUUGAGUAGUUGAAAAAUUUUGGACAAAUUGAAGAGAAAAUGGACUGCUUGUACCGAAUGCACUUGAAAAUUUUUCCAGCUUUGCAUGAGACACGUUGAAUGAUUUUCACGUUAACAUGAACCCAAUUUGACUUGUGUUUAGUUAAGGGGUGUGUAUAGCUCAAUUUCGGGACAAAAUCUAGUAGAGUUUACGUUCAAAAAGUGGACCAAAAUUUUAUUCUUCACGAGGCUACCCAAAACAGAAAUUUUGUUUGAAAUUAGAAAUGAUUUUGACGUUUGGAUUUCGUUCUGGUUAAAUGUGGACUAAAUCUGUCCCGAAAAUGUUUUCUAGCAUUAACCUUUGUUACUAGGUCCACUUCGAGUCAAUAACCUUGAAUUUUAUUAGACCAAAUGCCCUAUUUCGAGAAAUAUGCCAAAUCUGGAAAUUUUCUUGAAAACUCAAGUUUUUGCCUUCAUAAAAAUCCUGGAACCAAGUUGGUCAAUGGAAUUUGGCAAACUUAAGGAGUUUCUAUUUUAUAGAAAUUCCAACGACUAGUUUUACUUGGUUUAUAUGAUUUCCUCUUAAAGGAAUUCCCCAAGAUAUUUUGGGAAAAAUUAGAAGGGAAAAUUCCUCUAAAUGGUUAAACGUGAUUUUUCUCAACCUGUGACACCAAAGUGGUGUUAAUUUCUUAUAUGACUCUAGAACUUGGUUAUUGGAAUAUUUGACGAAUUUAGCAAGUUUUUGGUUUUAAAGAAACCUCAAAAUUUAAUUUCACUCGAAAUUUGUGGAUUUCACUUUGAGAAAACAAUUAAUACUAGUUUGGGAUUUUUGAGUGAAAUUAAAUGCUAGUUGACUCGAGUUAAAUUUGCCAACUCAAAAGUGGAAAUUUAUGUGAAUUCUUUGUAUGAUUUUAGGAGUUGGUAAAGAGCACAAUCUCGAUCAAAGUUUGGAAUUCUAGACUCUUCACUUGAGGUGAGUGUCUCUUGCAUGAAUCGUGUUUAACUGCUAGUUGAACUACUUAUUAAAAGUACUUGCUAGAGAUAUCAUGAAAUGUUAUAUGCUAUGUGAUUGCGUGAAAUGCCACAAGUACAAGUGUUGCAAGGUCGAUUGGAGCGUGGUCUCGUCGACUAAAUAAACCAAACGGAUGUACGUACCAUGCUCUAUUAGAGUGGGAGGUACCUCUCUGCCGUCUUGGUAAAAGGGCUUGCAAAAUUCUUGUUGGAGUCGGGCUGGAAAAUAAGGGGGAAGUCGUUACUAGGAAACGUGUAGAUUAGGGAAAUGUCUACAUAGAUAUUAGAUAGUGAAAGUUGACGGAGUGUCAACUACUAUAAAUUCCCUGAUCAAGCACGAGGACUUUGGCUCCUGAGAGCCCCGUAUCCUUUUCUUGUCAUGUUACUUCGAUUUCCUAAAUUGUUCAUUGCUUACUUGUCCAUUUGUACUUGUUAAAUUGCCCUAUGUGAAUUGCAUGUUUUGAGACACCAGUGAGUUAUUGGCUCAUCCCUUCCAAUUUGUUUUCCUUGACAGGUUCUGAAUUGUAUGAAGUCUUGGAGAACUAGAAAAGAAAUGUUAUAUUUUGAAUGCCCACUUUUGUAUUUGUACUUUGGGAAAACUUUAGUAUCUUUUGGAUGACUUUGGUGUCUUUGGGAAAAUGUGAAUCCUGUGGUGCUUCUGUGCCCUGGAUUAGGAAUUUUUAAAUUGUAAAUUAAGUUGAAUUUAAGUAUUUUAAGUUCGACAUUUUCUUUGAUGCUUGAAAUUGUACUUUUGGACAGAGUAAGUUGAAUGGUACGGUUUGUUUAAGUACUUGGCUUAUGCGAGAAGUAAAGUUUAUUUACGAAUUAUAUUUGAUGAUGUUAGAUGAUUGAGUGAGUGAGUUCCGACGAGAGCUGGGCAGGUGACUCACCGAACCCUCUGGUUCGCCUUAGGGGGGGUGGGGCUGCCACAUCUUCAAAUUGCCAGACAUGAUAUAACUCCUUUUUCAUCAGAGGUGUUAAAUCCUUAUAAGUUAUUCACCAUCUUUUCAUGCUUUAAGUAUAUACUUAUAAGCUAAUGAUGUAAACAUUCUCUAUUACGGGAGCAAUCAUAUAUCAAAACAAAAUAUAACCUUCCAUACUCAAGAUACCCUAAUAAUCUUAAAUCUAAGAAUUAAUUACACAAAUGUCAUUUAGAGAUUAAUCCUUUGGCACUUAAAGAAUAUCCUUAUACGGAUCAAUCUAGUAAAUUUGAUUAUCCUAUCAAACACUCAUAUACUAGUUUAGGUAUCUCAAACACUAUAGUAGAUGAGAUCGAAUACUUAUUAAAUAGAAGCAGUAUAGUAUGUGUUAGUAUAACCAUAUUAACAGUGUCUUGCCUUGUUAAUACUUUGACUAGAGAUAUUUAAGAAUAAACAUUAUUUAUAAUCGAAUGAAUCUCAUCAUCAUAACUCACAUGAUUUCAUCGAUUAGGUUUACUCUGAGGACUUUAUCAUACUUAUAUAAAUAUAAGCAACCAAUAUUAUAAAGAUGUCACUUAUUAUAACAUAAAUAGUUCAAGUGAAUAUUAAACCCUAGAAGUUGAUUGACUUUAAAGCAUAUACACUUUCAACUCCCACUUACAGUAAAGCCGAUCACUCAUAAGUCAAAGAUCAAAUGAGUCUACAUGACUAUCCUAUUUCCUUUAAAAUAAGUUUUAGUAAAUGGAUCAACUAUGGUGCUAUCCGCAGGUACUCUUUCUAUUUUCACAUUUAUUCCUAUCAAUGAUUUUCACCAAAUCAUGUGGUAGCAGCUUAACAAGUCUAUGGGUAUGUAAUGAGACCUUGGUUCCUUCACUAGAGCAAAUUUUCUUUAUAGUCUCAAUACAGGAUAAAGGAUUUAAAAUGAAAAGAACCAAUCCAAGUUCUAUUUGAACUUAUAGAUCCAAAUGUUUCCCUUUGUCACUUCUCAAGUAAUAACUUGUUACGAUUUAAUUGUAAAAAUUUUAGUUAUGUUUCACUUGAACAUGAUUCACUAUCUCAUGAAUCACUGAUAUACUACAUAGUUACAUUCCACUCUCGUGGGAACUGAAACACAAACUAAAAGGGGCAUAUAUUUUACCCAUUAUUUAGUACUCGUUUAGCCUGAUAUUGGCUGUCUAGAGCACAAGCACUAAUCAUGGAAUUAAUAUUUAGCCCAAGGCCACUCACAAUAUAGUGAACUUCCAUCCCCAAAGUAAAGAGUGCAGCCUUCGUCGAAGCAACAAUUGCCGCAGUCUGUGUAGGUCUUAGUUCCAUUACAGAUCUUGUACACCGGCGUCAGUAUGCAAAUCAGUACGCACGGCCUGAUAGGCCCGGGCCUGACAGCCAUGACUUCCACAUUUGCUCCCAGAAGAAUCAUUCCUGUUUUCAGUACCAAAAUCAUUUUAUAUCGUGUGCAAACCAAAUCCCGUAUAGGGUUUUGAAAAAUGCUCGAAACUUAUUUUUUAUAUAUAUAUACACAUAUGGGAUGAAUAGUUGUCUUUUUAUUUUUAAAAAUUGCCCCAACAGGUUUAACUCGUACACAAAAGAAUAAAAUUGGACAUACCGCAAAACAGAAUAGCCAUUGCACCAAUCUUGCUGAUUGCCAUGAUUCCUUGUCUUCCAAAAGUUUGCCUUCGGUUUGAAAUCGCUUGGGCUUAUACCUGUGUUCUUAUAUAGACGAGAAGAGUAAAGAGUGAAUUCAGAUUUAUUGAGCCCGCCCACCUGCCCUCCUGCUACUGGGUGCAAUUAUUCUGCUCAUUGUGCUUCCACGUAAUCGUGGGACCAGUCCAUCCUAAAUUAUUGUGCUUUUGGAUCCGUCCAAAAUUAUCGAGUAUGUUUAGAUAGGAAAUUAUUUGAAAUAAAUAUAUUAAAAAAUAUUGUCAUACUUUUUGUAAUAUGAUGUUUAUAAAAUAAAAAAAUAGUUAAAAAGAUAAAAAAGUACUUGAGAAAUAUGUUUAUGCUGCAAUCAUAUAAAUUUUUACUAAUAAAAUGAUAUCCAAACAAACCCAAUCCUCCUUCGAAUUUUGGGACUGGUCCAUUCUAAAUUAGGGAAAAUAUCAGAAACCUCCUCUGAGCUUUCUCUUAAUAUCAUCUAUCACUCUUAAGAUAUUAAAAAUAUGACUUGCCUCUUUUACUUUUACUAUUUGUGUGAAAGCCCUAAACUGCCCUUUUGCUUAUUUUGCUAAAUAAAAAUACUCAUAAGCCACUUUGUUUACGCCAAGAAAAAUCAUCACCUAAAAAAUAAUUUCUUGUAAUACCACCAUAUCACAAAACUAUAGUCCAUAAAAAUAUAAAUUUGGAAAAAAAAAAGAUGUUAGUAGAAAUAUAUUAACAGCAAUUUAACUCUAUAUGCUCAAAAUCGAUUUCUUAUGAACUUUAUAUAUUUUUUUCCAACUUCUUCUCAACUCAUGGUCCAAUCCUUUAAAUUGUACUAAUCAUUACAAAAAUCAACUCGAAAUAAACAAAGAAGUCAAACCCCAUUCUAUCAUAAUCACAAGAGGUAAAAGAUAAAUAAAAUUCAAUUUAUUAUAAUUUAAAAAUAAAAAAUUGCAUAGUCAUCCCAAAAAAAUGAGUAAGAGAGGAUGUUGGAGAAAUGAGAAAGAGAAAAAAGUUCUUUUAUUUCUUUUUGUUUCUAUUUUUUUUAGCUCUUUAUUUGAUAUGUAAAUUAUGUAUCAAACGAGGGCUAAUAAAGUCUUUUUGUAAUUAUUAUGAGAAGUAAGUGUUGUUUUUAAAAUCUUAAGGAUACUGAAUAAUAUUAGGAGAAACCUCCAGAGUGGCUUCUGAUAUAAUCCCCCUAAAUUAUUGUGCUUCCAGGUCCAUUCUAAAUUAUUGUGCUUCGACAGAAAUUGGGACCCGUCCUUCGUCAAUUAUUGGAAGCCAGUACUUCCUGUGCAUUCAAUGUUUUACUAGAAUUCCCAAGCAAAAUUAGUCACGUUUUUGCAUGCCUGUCAAUGUCAGUUAAGAUGCGAUGCACCUAUGUUUGAUAUACAGAGGACGUGCGACUUUUUUCAAAACACAUAGGCCCACCAAUUGUUUCUAUUAAAUGAACAGGGCAACGUUGAAAUAGAUUGAAAUGUAUAUAAGGCAUCCUUGCCCGCGCUGCGCUGGGUUGCUCUGCUGAUGAAAAUAAUUUUCUUAGGUGAAUUUUACCUGGAUUCGAUUCCGGACAGCAAUUCAGUUAUUAUCUUCUUCAGUAUUGGUCGGGCCCGUUUUGCUGGAGCGCUGUGAAAUUAGUCGGGUGUAGACUCGGAUACCCACAGUGAUGAAAAAAAAAAAAGUAUAUAAGGCAUCCUUAAUCGUCUUUGAUCAAUGUAUUUGGUUUCAACCUAAUCUGUUGAUAGUUUUGUAGUCAUGCAAAAUUGGCAUCUUCCAAGGAGAGAAUACCUACUUUAGAUUUUUUUUUUUUUUUGGAACUUGAGCUCACAAGGUCAAUUUUUGAAGUGGGAAAUGCAAUCUUUGUCCCCUAUUUUUAUUCCAUCCACCAAAAUGAUCGCAAAUUUUUCACCAAAAAGAAAUCUAGUACCUCCUAAUUAUUCUGAUAUCCACCAAUAAAAUUAUUUCAAUGUCUAAUGGAACGAAACACUUGAAAUUCACUGGAAUUUUUCUAGACGUGCCUAAUUAUCACCAUUGUAUUGAACACAACAUUUAGAUGGUUCUUUUGGUAACCAAAUUGCUUGAUCAAAUGCUAAUUAACUUUUUGGGUGGAUACUAGAUUCUUUAACUAAACAAUGAGAGAGUCCACAAAUAUAUUAAUGUGUUUAAAUUUGUCAACGGGGUUCUUUUCUUCUUUUUGCUUGAAUAAAAUCUUAUCCUUCAUUUUCCUCUUAAUAUUUUUACUUUGAAUAUUCAGGAUAUGGAUGUACCAAACUCAAGAAAAUAGUUGUGAAGACUGUUGAAAUUUCAUUAAAUUUUUUGAGGAGUUUGUUUGGAGAGUUUGAUGAGAGUAGUUUAGCUUCUUAAUUUUAAUUUAUUUGAUAUUAAAAUUCUAUGACUUUCAAUAAGAUUGAGAAUCAAUUAAAGUUUGUAAAAUUUUUUUAUAUUUUUCAUUGAAGGAGAAAAUUAGUCUUAGUAUAACACUUUAAUGCUUAAUAUCUCUUUUUUUGUUUUGGUAUUCAUGAGAAAAAAAAAAACUGUGACUAAGUAUGACAAAAAGUAAUAUGCAUAAUGUACAAUGUACAUUCUCUUAUGCUAGCUGCUCUAAGUAGUGGACAAAAGGAGCAUACUUUUAAAAAGUAGUACGUACAAUGCGCAACACACAUUAUCUUGGUUUUUUUUUAACUAAGUACAUUUUUGGAAUUAAUUUAGUAAGAAGUUAUGCAUGAAUUUGUCAUAUUGAAUAACGCUAAUUUUCUUCCUCAUAUUCUUCUAAUGUUAAUUUAGAGUCAAAAUCAAGUAAAUCUUCCGUAGAGCUGAAAAUGUUUUUUGAUUUUUGAUUUAAAAAAAAUAUCCAGUAUAAAAGGAUACUUCUUUUUGUCUUGGAGAAUUGGUCAAAUUGGUAAGGUGGAAGUGAGAAAAUGUGAGCUGCAUCAGUUGGGGUUGAUUUUGAGUAAUUAAUGCCCAGGUCAAGAGAUUAGAAUGCUGAUCUCAUGAUGGUAUAUAUGAACAUUAUCCAUGACGGGUAUACUCUAAUGUCUCCAUAAUGUUUUUCUGGAUAAUACUGAACAAAUGAUGCACAAGAAGUUGGUGGAUCAAGUAAAAUGAAAGGAUCGUCAAGUUCUUGAAACUAUUAUCCAAAAUGGGUUUCUCGAGUUGAGUUUUAUCCAAUUUAGGUUGGUUGAUAUAAUAUUAAUUGUAAAUUUACUCUAACUUAUUUGUAUGAGUUGACAAAUUUCAAUGUUAGUUUACAGCAUAUAUUGUAACAAUUACAUUAAUUGGACAAAUUUCAAUUGGAGAAGCUGUAGAAUCUUUCUCGCUCCCUCGUAUUUUUGGGAGAAUUGCGUAUAAUUUUUUGAAAUGUAAUUAAUCAUUCCAGAUGACGUGAAAAUCGAGUUACAAAAAGUGAUCUGAGCCGUAUAAAUUUUUUGGCUUAAUCAUGGCCGUGAACCUUCCGGAACGGCUGUCUCUUACAAUCGUUCCAGCCCCUCCUCCAUUAUUGUGGGACCAGUCCAUCCUAAAUUAUUGUGCUUCAACAGAAUUUUGGGACCCGUCCUUUGUAAAUUAUUGGAAGCUAGUCGGCCCAGUCUGCUUUUCAUUCAUGAUACCCAGCCAUUAUUGGUUUCUUUUCAAAUAUUCCUAGCAACUUUUGAAUUCUCAUCACCAAACAAAUGUUUUGUAGAUUUCCUUCUUCAAUGUUUUUAGUUGAUAAAACGUGUCUGUUGACAAAUUGUUCGCUACUGAUAUGCAAUGCGACAAACAAAUCAGGAGUACCAAGAAUGAGAGACGGUCGACCUAAUUUGCCAUAUGUCAGGUAUCUGUUGACAGUCUAAUCUAAUGGAUCACAGUAAAUGCGGUAGGAUCUAAUACAGAAGAACUGCUCCAAGUAUCCUUUUGUAAACGAUGAAUGACUUGCCUUUUGUUAGACUGUGUAUUAGUUAGAACAGCACUAAAACUCCUGUCUAAACUGAUAUAUGGCUUUCUUUUUAUUGAUUAUGUCUGUAGCUAUUAGUUUACUUUUUGUUUCUUUAUAUAUCAAUAGAUUGGCUCGCAAAUAUUUUUUUCAAAGGAAAUCUUUUUAUAGUUCAGAUAUUUAUAAUGGAAAAUUUGCUAUAUAAUUGGCGAAACAUUUGAUAUUCAAGGAUGGAGUAUAAUUUUGUCCAAAGUCAUAAGUAGGGAGUUUGGAUUCUUUUAAUGGGAAUUAAGCUAAAAAGAUAGAUUUGCCCGUAGAUAGUUUUGCAUGAAUUUAGGACCUCAAUUGGCCACGUUAUGUCCGUAGACAUUUUUGUAAAGAUUUACGUGAAUUUUGGACCUCUAUCUUUUGCGCAUAAAGGUAUUCACCAGAGGAACUGGCCUCUCAUCCAAAGAAAAUAUACUCCAUUUUGACCAAUUGCAACUGUUUGGAUUGUAAGUUAUUUGGGAUAUUCUUACUAUAGCACUUUUUGUGAUGUGAUGUAUAUGAGAUAAAAAGGUAAUCGAAAAGAUAAAAAGGUGUAUUGGAAAUUGUAAUGAUGAUGUAAGCAAAUAAAAUUGGAGAAAUAAUGCUCAAUCCAAACAAACUACGAUUAUUUGGAAUAAUUUUUUUUUCAAAAAAACAUAGUGUAGUACUUUUCAAUGAAAAUAGAUUCCAUUUUGGCCGAUGCGAUUGUGUUUAGAUAGGAGAUUAUUUGGGAAAAUUUUUUUAAAAAAAUAGUGCAACACUUUUCUGAUGUGAUGCCUAUGAGAUAAAAAUAUGAUUAAAAAUAUAUUUAUGAUGCAAGCAGAUAAAUAUGUAUAAAUAAUUUGCUAUCCAAACUAAUUCGUUGUGAGGGCCGAGUUAGAUAUGUAUCCAUAUCAACUUUAAUCAAGCAAUCAAUACAUAAAAACUGAACCAUUAAGUUGUAUUACAUUAAACACGUAAGUAGACAACAUUAAUUUCUUUUUUUUUUGGGGUAGGUGACGACAUUAAUUUCUUGCACAUAUGAUUUCAAAUGAUUCUUUCAUAUUGUUGAUUAUGUACCACAUUUAUAUUGUAUCGAUAAGGGUACCUCCUGACAAGACCACAGUGAUAGAACCUUUUUCUUUGUUAAAUAUAUCAACUUUUGCGAAUUUGCGUUGAUGGUUUUAAUCCUGCAUGUAAAUUUCUAUACAAAAAGUAGUAUAUGUCGUUCGUGAAUUAGUACUUUCAGUUUGAGUGUUCAGCAUAUGGAUGUACCAAACUCAAUAAAAUGGUUGUCAAGUAUGUUAAAAUUCCAUUAAAUUUUUGGAGGAGUUUGUUUGGAGACUUUUAUGUGAGUAGUUUAUCUGCUGGAUUUUAAUUUAGAUUGAUAUUGAUAUUCUACGCUUUCUAAUGAGAUUGAAAAUCAUUUAAAGUUUGUAUUUUUUUAUGUUUUAUUGAAGGAGAAUAUUAUUUUGAUACGACACUUUAAAUCCUUAAUAUCUCUAUUAUUUCUAGUAGUCACGAGAAAAAACUUAGCGACUAAAUAUCACAAAAAGGAAUACAAACAACAUGCAACGGACGCUCUCCUAUACUAGUUACUUAAAAUAUAGGACAAAAGAACAUGAUUUUAGUUUAGUACUCUAAAUUUGGGUUCAAAAUGUUUUCGGACGUGUUCAGAAAUCACCAUUGCCUGGAAUACAGCAUGUACAUGAUCUCGUUGAUAAUCAAAUUCAGUGAAGAAGUAAUUGAUGAGAGGAAAAAUCCACUUUUCGUCCCUAAAUUUUGAGUUAGGGACACAUUUCAUUGCCAAACUUUUAGAUGCACCACAUUUAAUACAUGAAUUAAUUAUAUUUUACCACAUUUAGUCGAAAAACGAUAAAUUGCUUAAUUUGGAUGGAGAAAAUCACGUGUUUGGCACGCGACUGUUAAGUAAAAAUAAUUUCUCAAUCAAAAUUAACUGCCAUGUCAGUCUUCUCCAUCCUAAUUAAAUUAUUGUGCUUCCUGGUCCAUCCUAAACUAAUGUGCAUCAACAGAAUAUUGGGACUAGUCCUUUGUAAAUUAUUGGAAGCCAGUCCUUCCAAUGCGUUCCACGUUUUAGUACAAUGUCCAUGCAAAAUUAGUUACGUUUUGCUUUCCUCAUUUUGCUCUUCACUUGCAAGCCUUUCAUUCAUGAUACCCAUCCAUUAUUCGGCCCCUGUGGAUUUGAGGUUGUCAGCCAUCAAUCAUCAUCCUUCAUUAUGAAAUGGUGUUUUUCAAUGUACAUUUAUUCUUAGGUGUGAUAGAGUUUAUUGACAACUUGUAGGUUUAGUGAUCGUUUUGUCCUCUGGUACUUUGUAAGAGCAGUAUGCUAGCUGCUACUAGCUAGCUUGACUCCUCUUGCUUUUAUUAAUAAUAAUUGUGUUGAAAAGUGUUAGAUCAAUUUGGUUACUACAUACUAUAAUUAUUCGUUUACUGUAAUUCCUCUACAAUUCCACUGCUAUAUUUGAUAUACAGAACUAGAAGACAUACAACUUGGUAAAAUGAAGUUGAAUGGUGGUGCUGGCUCAAAUUGUUUUGCACAUAAAAUUAACUAUAACACUCCAUUCUAUCUGGCAAGUAAGGAAUAAACAGAUUUUCCAGCAAAUUCAAACUUCUUGUAUGUGGCAGCUGUUGAAAUGGUUGUCACCGCUAUUCAGAUGAUUCUUGCCUCUUGGCGUGGUGUUCCUCUAGCUAAAGAAAAAUGGGAGCUUGCAUCGGAAUCCAGAUUUGAUCAGCGUUGCUUUGUUUAUUGUUCGGUAGUGAAUGUUUCAAUUUUGAUUCCGAUUGUAUAGUGCUAGAAAUUAGUGGACAUAAAUAUGAGGUAGUACCUCUCUUGUUAAACUUUACUCUCCAGCAAUGGAAAACAUUAAUUUGCCAAAAAAAAUUGUUGAAAAGAAUCUGAAGUGAUUAAUAAAAAAAAUAUUGCAGAAUCAAAAGUGGCUCUAGUUUGCGGUCAGAUGAAUGAACCGCCGGGAGCUCGUAUGAGAGUUGGUUUGACUGCUUUAACUACGUCAGAAUAUUUCCGAGAUGUUAAUGAACAAGAUGUACUUCUAUUUAUCGAUCCGUUUUGUCCAAGCAGGAUCCGAAAUUGACAGGUGCCGAACCUGUGCAAUAAUAAUUACUAAAAAGUCCUAAUUACCACCUCAAUUAAAUAUUUAUAGAACAAAUCCAAGUACUGGAGCAGGGACCCUAGGUGUGCAAUGGGUUACUUGAUUCACCCUGUUCCCGAAGAGUUUGCUUGAUCCGAUAUACCGAAUUUGUCUAUAAAAAUACUAAUUUUACGUACAAUGGCAAGUAGGGUCGAUUCCACAGGGAGCAGGUAGGAAAUUAUUUCUUUCCAAAUUAGUAGAACGAAAUUGGGGGAUUUUCAAUGGGAGGCAAAUAAAAAAUAAAAAAAAUAAACCAAACAAAAUUCAAAACUAACUCACAAAGCACAAUUCACUAAAAAUAACAAUUAAUAAAAGUUCUACCCAAAGGAUCAACUGCUCAGGCACGGUCCAAAUAAAUGCUCAUCGAUGCAAAGAUAUUUCAUCCAUUUAUCACUAGGCUGGUUAUAGCCAUCAAUAAGCUCUGACAACCAGCUCUUCCUUACUUUUUCGACAGUCAAGGUACGACCAUUGACUGCUUCUCUAACCAGAAAACAACCCUAGGUACGACCGUAGGAAUUUAAUUACCCAAUUGCAUUAAAGCUAGAAGAACCCAACCCUAACCAAUAAACACGCUAAGAGGGUUUAUUUAAAUUAGAUCUUGCGUUUCCCCAUAAUAAAUCCAAUUAUGGUGGUUGCCACGGGGUGUUAACUAAAUGAACAAUUACGGAUUCUAUUUAAUUAACGUGGCAGUAGGCUAUUAAAUUAAAUCAAAUACCUGGCCGUUGAUAUUCGAUUAAUCAAAUACCCAUGAACAAUUAAUUCAGAAAACACACGAAUAAUAACGAAUUGGAAGAAAUAAUGAAAGCUUGAUUAGAUCUCACAGGUGUGAUGGACCGCGCCCUCGCGUCAACCUUUGGGUAGAGGAGGAAAUUAGCCGCUCCUCAUCGUGUCGAUCCCGCGUGAUUUAAUUGAAUUCAUUCGAUUAUUUGCCGAAGAAUUGGGGUCGCAAUCACAAGGCAGAAAAUCAACGCGAAUUGUCUCAAGCUAAAGUAACAACUCAGGAGUCAAGCCAUACAAGACGAAAGCUAAAAGAAAAAGAAGAAAUACGUCUGACUGAAAGAGAAGAAAAAGAAAACUCAAAACUAAUCUAAUUGCGGCCGACGGAGAGCAAAAGAAUAAAAUAAAAAGCGUCUCACUUCUGAAGCUAAAGCUAGGGUCUAUUUUUACUUUUUGAAUCUUGCUUUUCUCUUUAUAGCUGCCGCCCAAAAGAAAGUAAAGAAAGGAGACGUCUGGAGUAAUUCAUCUAACAAAAGCUAUCCUUUUGGAGUUUUUAUCCCAUGCUUCUCGUGGUUCACGUGGACCGCAGUCCGGCUUUCGGUUUCGUCCACCUUCUAAGGCGUAGCCACGCCCUGAGACGAAAAGUCUUCCGGAAAUUUACCCCGCGAGAUCAUUUUUCAUGCCUACCACCUACAAUUCGCACAAAUAUCGAAUAUGAGUGCAAUUCCAAUUCUUAGCACCGUGAAUAGCCAAAAUUAGGAUAAAAUAACGGUGCAAAAUGUGCCAAAUAACCGCUCUAUCAAAUCCCCCCACACCUGAACAAUGCUUGUCCUCAAGCAUUUCGGAGCUCAGAAGUACAACCGAGAGAGCAAAGGUCAUGCAAUAAGCUAUACUAACACAAGCACCUCAGAUCCCUGACAGUAUCACCAAAGGUAGAACACACCGGACAUGUUGUAAUUCAAAGAAUCUAUAUGAAUACUAGGAACGCUCAAUUCAACAUCACGGAAUGCCAUUACCAUAGGCUUGCACAUUUAUCACAUCUCCACCACUUAAAAGUGAAUUAAACACAUAAAUCAAAAGGACUUUAAUACGGUUGUAAUGGGGUUUCGGGUGAAAGGCGGGUUAAGAAGGUGUAGAUAGGUGGUAAAGUGUCAAGAGAAUGUCUGAAACUCACCAAUAACCACAGUACUUUACCGGAGGAGUUUCACUAACAAGCCAAUUUCCAUUUGCUGUACACCCUGUACAAGUGCCCCAAAAUUUUUUUCUCUUUCCCUCUUUUUUUUUUUUUUGAUUGAAUACUGCUCGCAAGGCGUGGGCACGCCUUGUAGCCCAUAGUCCUCUGGUCAUGAGGUCUCUUCAGGAAUUUUUUUUUUUUCAGGAGAAAGUCCUAUAAGGUUUGGGCACACCCUGUAAGCCAAAGUUCUCUGGUCAGUGGCAUUUUUCCAAUUUCCCCUCCUUUACACAAGGAUAGCAUCAUAUAUCUCCUAAUCUAUCAGCACUUGCAACCCCAAUUUUGUUUGCUUUGCACAAAUGAUGGAAUUCAGACAUCCCGUGACAACACAGGGAUAAACAAGAAAGUUUAAAAAGGUCUUUGGUUAACAAACACGGAUAACAACCAGAAACGAAGGACAAAAGCUCAAAUUGGUUCACUAUUGGGAGAUAAGAUGAGGGCUUGAUUUUUUUAGAUAGCUAAAGAUGGUUAAAUCCUAAAUGCCCUUAUCAUUUCAAAUGCAUCUAAUUCAACAAAAAUGUGGCAUUGACAUGUAUAAACUAGCAAGUUCUAGAAUGCCAAUACCAUGUGUGAUACCCACUCAAUCAAACAAAAAUAGAGCAAACAAGAAUAAUAUGCUCAUAUAAGGCUCAAAAGCUCCCAAAAGUUUCAAAAAUGGGUCAAGUCCAGCGUAUUCAACACUCAACAACACUGCCAAGGGAAAACGAAAUGCAUAGCUAGUAUAUUUACCCACAUACCCACGCACCUUGAUUGUUUCAUUUAUCACAGCAACAUGCUCCAGCAUUAACAAACAUAGAAAUAAAUAAAAAGCCGACUAACUACAAUGUUUUAAUUUUUUUUCAUUUUUCCCAUUUUUUUUUUGUUUUUUUUUGUUUUUUUUUUGGAGUAACAAAGCAAAAAUAAAUAAUGGAAGCCACUCCCCCACACUUAAAACCUACAUUAUCCUCAAUGUAGAAAAGACAAAUGAAGUAUUAGGAGAAAAGAAAAGAAACUUCCUUGACUACCGGGGAGGGAAAGUGAGACACUAAGGCGGAGGAGGUGAGACGGCUGCGUGCACAAGGUGGUGUGGUGGCGGCGGACGCAAGGUGGAGUGGCAGCGAUGGACGCAACACCAACAGGAAGGAGAAGACUGAAGCUAAAACAAAGUGAAAAGGGAUUAGAUAAGAUAGGAUAAAAAAAAAAAGUAGAAAAGUGGGGCUAGGAAAAUUUUUUUCCUUUUUGACUUUCGUUUUCGGAAGGGUUGGAAGGCGUGGGCACGCCUUGGAAAUAAUAGUCUUCUGACCAUCAAUUUCAAAGCUUCAUUCCUUAGGCAUGAUCAACUAGAGUAGGCAUGUCCAACUGCCAGCUUCCUGCCACAAAACAGCAAUCCACUAAAUGACACUAACACUUAAUAAAAAUUCCAAAAAUAUAAGAAAACUAAAACAAAAUAAUCCUUGAGUUGCCUCCCAAGCAGCGCCUUUCUUUAAUGUCUUUGGCUAGACAUCGUCAUGUUUAUUCACGGAGGAUAAAAUCGUGUAGCUCGUUUCAGUGCUUCAUCUUCUAUGUAAUCCUGAUAGCCCUCGUAAAUAGAGUAAUUCUUGACUCCACGAGCUACGGUCUUCCAUGGAUUAGUAAAUGGUGCAAAACAAAUAAGUGAUGACCUUAAAUCUUCACUCAUUCCUCCAUCAAGAGCACUUAUUGGUUCGAGAUAUUUUGCCAUCGUGACUCUUAACUUAUUCCUGUCAUAAAACUCAAAAUUUUCUGAUAUAAUAAAAUCAAUCUCACUAACAGGAAUUAAAGAAUAAGGGUCAAGAGAAUAUUGAUCAAGGAAUGGGGGAGGUGUCACCGCAUUUGGAGGUUGUUCACUGGAUUCAUCCACUUGAACAAUUUGAUAUUGGGGUUCCUUUUCUUGUACUUCAAUUCUCUUUUCAACUGCAUCUUUAGAUUCUUCUUCAUGAGACUCUUGCAGUUCCAUGUCAUUUGUCAGGAUAAUUAUACCCUCAUCUUCUUCAUGGUCGAUAAUAGCCGUUGAGGGCAAUUCUUCACAAAAUGGAGAAAUCAAUUUGCUCAUUGUAGAUGCCAAUUCACGCCUUCCAUCUUCCAUCUCUUUAAUCAACCUUUGUGUCUCCUGUUGAAAUUGACGUGUCUUGAAUUUGAUAUGUGUUAGUAGCUAUUAAUUCAACUAUUUCUUCAAGAGACAUACCUGACAUGGAUGACGGUCCUUGAGACUCUAGCUGUUGAAAAUCUAUUGGCCUUUGUUCAUAAUUAAAAGUGGAAUCAUCCCACCAUCCUUGCUCAUAUCUGUUCGAAUAAGGGUCAUACCACAUUUGAUAUUGAGGUGAAAAAUCUUCAAAAGUAUCGAUUGGAGUACUUAGACCAUCUUGAAAUGCAGGGCAUAUGUCGGUUGAAUAAUUCGAGGCAAAAUAAGCUCCACAAUUUGCAACAGCACAUUGAUCAUUAGAAAAAGCAUGAGUCUCAUAACCCCUUGUAGAAUUAAAAUCCAGUCUAUCACCAAAAUACGAAAUGUUAGCAGCCAUAAUAUAUAUGUAAAAAAAUAAGAGAAAAAAAAUUGAACUAAAAAAGAAACAAAUUAAUCAGGCACUAGUCCCCGGCAACGGCGCCAAAAAUUGACAAGUGCCGAACCUGUGCAAUAAUAAUUACUAAAAAGUCCUAAUUACCACCUCAAUUAAAUACUUAUAGAACAAAUCCAAGUACUGGAGCAGGGACCCUAGGUGUGCAAUGGGUUACUUGAUUCACCCUGUUCCCGAAGAGUUUGCUUGAUCCGAUAUACCGAAUUUGUCUAUAAAAAUACUAAUUUUACGUACAAUGGCAAGUAGGGUCGAUUCCACAGGGAGCAGGUAGAAAAUUAUUUCUUUCCAAAUUAGUAGAACGAAAUUGGGGGGAUUUUCAAUGGGAGGCAAAUAAAAAAUAAAAAAAUAAAACAAACAAAAUUCAAAACUAACUCACAAAGCACAAUUCACUAAAAAUAGCAAUUAAUAAAAGUUCUACUACCCAAAGGAUCAACUGCUCAGGCACGGUCCAAAUAAAUGCUCAUCGAUGCAAAGAUAUUUCAUCCAUUUAUCACUAGGCUGGUUAUAGCCAUCAAUAAGCUCUGACAACCAGCUCUUCCUUACUUUUUCGACAGUCAAGGUACGACCAUUGACUGCUUCUCUAACCAGAAAACGACCCUAGGUACGACCGUAGGAAUUUAAUUACCCAAUUGCAUUAAAGCUAGAAGAACCCAACCCUAACCAAUAAACACGCUAAGAGGGUUUAUUUAAAUUAGAUCUUGCGUUUCCCCAUCAUAAAUCCAAUUAUGGUGGUUGCCACGGGGUGUUAACUAAAUGAACAAUUACGGAUUCUAUUUAAUUAACGUGGCAGUAGGCUAUUAAAUUAAAUCAAAUACCCGGCCGUUGAUAUUCGAUUAAUCAAAUACCCAUGAACAAUUAAUUCAGAAAACGCACGAAUAAUAACGAAUUGGAAGAAAUAAUGAAAGCUUGAUUAGAUCUCACAGGUGUGAUGGACCGCGCCCUCGCGUCAACCUUUGGGUAGAGGAGGAAAUUAGCCGCUCCUCAUCGUGUCGAUCCCGCGUGAUUUAAUUGAAUUCAUUCGAUUAUUUGCCGAAGAAUUGGGGUCGCAAUCACAAGGCAGAAAAUCAACGCGAAUUGUCUCAAGCUAAAGUAACAACUCAGGAGUCAAGCCAUACAAGACGAAAGCUAAAAGAAAAAGAAGAAAUACGUCUGACUGAAAGAGAAGAAAAAGAAAACUCAAAACUAAUCUAAUUGCGGCCGACAGAGAGCAAAAGAAUAAAAUAAAAAGCGUCUCACUUCUGAAGCUAAAGCUAGGGUCUAUUUUUACUUUUUGAAUCUUGCUUUUCUCUUUAUAGCCGCCGCCCAAAAGAAAGUAAAGAAAGGAGACGUUUGGAGUAAUUCAUCUAACAAAAGCUAUCCUUUUGGAGUUUUUAUCCCAUGCUUCUCGUGGUUCACGUGGACCGCAGUCCGGCUUUCGGUUUCGUCCACCUUCUAAGGCGUAGCCACGCCCUGAGACGAAAAGUCUUCCGGAAAUUUACCCCGCGAGAUCAUUUUUCAUGCCUACCACCUACAAUUCGCACAAAUAUCGAAUAUGAGUGCAAUUCCAAUUCUUAGCACCGUGAAUAGCCAAAAUUAGGACAAAAUAACGGUGUAAAAUGUGCCAAAUAACCGCUCUAUCAAAUCCCCCCACACCUGGACAAUGCUUGUCCUCAAGCAUUUCGGAGCUCAGAAGUACAACCGAGAGAGCAAAGGUCAUGCAAUAAGCUAUACUAACACAAGCACCUCAGAUCCCUGACAGUAUCACCAAAGGUAGAACACACCGGACAUGUUGUAAUUCAAAGAAUCUAUAUGAAUACUAGGAACGCUCAAUUCAACAUCACGGAAUGCCAUUACCAUAGGCUUGCACAUUUAUCACAUCUCCACCACUUAAAAGUGAAUUAAACACAUAAAUCAAAAGGACUUUAAUAGGGUUGUAAUGGGGCUUCGGGUGAAAGGCGGGUUAAGAAGGUGUAGAUAGGUGGUAAAGUGUCAAGAGAAUGUCUGAAACUCACCAAUAACCACAGUACUUUACCGGAGGAGUUUCACUAACAAGCCAAUUUCCAUUUGCUGUACACCCUGUACAAGUGCCCCAAAAUUUUUUUCUCUUUCCCUCUUUUUUUUUUUUUGAUUGAAUACUGCUCGCAAGGCGUGGGCACGCCUUGUAGCCCAUAGUCCUCUGGUCAUGAGAUCUCUUCAGGAAUUUUUUUUUUUCAGGAGAAAGUCCUGUAAGGUUUGGGCACAUCCUGUAAGCCAAAGUUCUCUGAUCAGUGGCAUUUUUCCAAUUUCCCCUCCUUUACACAAGGAUAGCAUCAUAUAGCUCCUAAUCUAUCAGCACUUGCAACCCCAAUUUUGUUUGCUUUGCACAAAUGAUGGAAUUCAGACAUCCCGUGACAACACAGGGAUAAACAAGAAAGUUUAAAGAGGUCUUUGGUUAACAAACACGGAUAACAACCAGAAACGAAGGACAAAAGCUCAAAUUGGUUCACUAUUGGGAGAUAAGAUGAGGGCUUGAUUUUUUUAGAUAGCUAAAGAUGGUUAAAUCCUAAAUGCCCUUAUCAUUUCAAAUGCAUCUAAUUCAACAAAAAUGUGGCAUUGACAUGUAUAAACUAGCAAGUUCUAGAAUGCCAAUACCAUGUGUGAUACCCACUCAAUCAAACAAAAAUAGAGCAAACAAGAAUAAUAUGCUCAUAUAAGGCUCAAAAGCUCCCAAAAGUUUCAAAAAUGGGUCAAGUCCAGCGUAUUCAACACUCAACAACACUGCCAAGGGAAAACGAAAUGCAUAGCUAGUAUAUUUACCCACAUACCCACGCACCUUGAUUGUUUCAUUUAUCACAGCAACAUGCUCCAGCAUUAACAAACAUAGAAAUAAAUAAAAAGCCGACUAACUACAAUGUUUUAAUUUUUUUUCAUUUUUCCCAUUUUUUUUUUGUUUUUUUUUGUUUUUUUUUUGGAGUAACAAAGCAAAAAUAAAUAAUGGAAGCCACUCCCCCACACUUAAAACCUACAUUAUCCUCAAUGUAGAAAAGACAAAUGAAGUAUUAGGAGAAAAGAAAAGAAACUUCCUUGACUACCGGGGAGGGAAAGUGAGACACUAAGGCGGAGGAGGUGAGACGGCUGCGUGCACAAGGUGGUGUGGUGGCGGCGGACGCAAGGUGGAGUGGCAGCGAUGGACGCAACACCAACAGGAAGGAGAAGACUGAAGCUAAAACAAAGUGAAAAGGGAUUAGAUAAGAUAGGAUAAAAAAAAAAAGUAGAAAAGUGGGGCUAGGAAAAUUUUUUUCCUUUUUGACUUUCGUUUUCGGAAGGGUUGGAAGGCGUGGGCACGCCUUGGAAAUAAUAGUCUUCUGACCAUCAAUUUCAAAGCUUCAUUCCUUAGGCAUGAUCAACUAGAGUAGGCAUGUCCAACUGCCAGCUUCCUGCCACAAAACAGCAAUCCACUAAAUGACACUAACACUUAAUAAAAAUUCCAAAAAUAUAAGAAAACUAAAACAAAAUAAUCCUUGAGUUGCCUCCCAAGCAGCGCCUUUCUUUAAUGUCUUUGGCUAGACAUCGUCAUGUUUAUUCACGGAGGAUAAAAUCGUGUAGCUCGUUUCAGUGCUUCAUCUUCUAUGUAAUCCUGAUAGCCCUCGUAAAUAGAGUAAUUCUUGACUCCACGAGCUACGGUCUUCCAUGGAUUAGUAAAUGGUGCAAAACAAAUAAGUGAUGACCUUAAAUCUUCACUCAUUCCUCCAUCAAGAGCACUUAUUGGUUCGAGAUAUUUUGCCAUCGUGACUCUUAACUUAUUCCUGUCAUAAAACUCAAAAUUUUCUGAUAUAAUAAAAUCAAUCUCACUAACAGGAAUUAAAGAAUAAGGGUCAAGAGAAUAUUGAUCAAGGAAUGGGGGAGGUGUCACCGCAUUUGGAGGUUGUUCACUGGAUUCAUCCACUUGAACAAUUUGAUAUUGGGGUUCCUUUUCUUGUACUUCAAUUCUCUUUUCAACUGCAUCUUUAGAUUCUUCUUCAUGAGACUCUUGCAGUUCCAUGUCAUUUGUCAGGAUAAUUAUACCCUCAUCUUCUUCAUGGUCGAUAAUAGCCGUUGAGGGCAAUUCUUCACAAAAUGGAGAAAUCAAUUUGCUCAUUGUAGAUGCCAAUUCACGCCUUCCAUCUUCCAUCUCUUUAAUCAACCUUUGUGUCUCCUGUUGAAAUUGACGUGUCUUGAAUUUGAUAUGUGUUAGUAGCUAUUAAUUCAACUAUUUCUUCAAGAGACAUACCUGACAUGGAUGACGGUCCUUGAGACUCUAGCUGUUGAAAAUCUAUUGGCCUUUGUUCAUAAUUAAAAGUGGAAUCAUCCCACCAUCCUUGCUCAUAUCUGUUCGAAUAAGGGUCAUACCACAUUUGAUAUUGAGGUGAAAAAUCUUCAAAAGUAUCGAUUGGAGUACUUAGACCAUCUUGAAAUGCAGGGCAUAUGUCGGUUGAAUAAUUCGAGGCAAAAUAAGCUCCACAAUUUGCAACAGCACAUUGAUCAUUAGAAAAAGCAUGAGUCUCAUAACCCCUUGUAGAAUUAAAAUCCAGUCUAUCACCAAAAUACGAAAUGUUAGCAGCCAUAAUAUAUAUGUAAAAAAAUAAGAGAAAAAAAAUUGAACUAAAAAAGAAACAAAUUAAUCAGGCACCAGUCCCCGGCAACGGCGCCAAAAAUUGACAAGUGCCGAACCUGUGCAAUAAUAAUUACUAAAAAGUCCUAAUUACCACCUCAAUUAAAUACUUAUAGAACAAAUCCAAGUACUGGAGCAGGGACCCUAGGUGUGCAAUGGGUUACUUGAUUCACCCUGUUCCCGAAGAGUUUGCUUGAUCCGAUAUACCGAAUUUGUCUAUAAAAAUACUAAUUUUACGUACAAUGGCAAGUAGGGUCGAUUCCACAGGGAGCAGGUAGAAAAUUAUUUCUUUCCAAAUUAGUAGAACGAAAUUGGGGGGAUUUUCAAUGGGAGGCAAAUAAAAAAUAAAAAAAUAAAACAAACAAAAUUCAAAACUAACUCACAAAGCACAAUUCAAUAAAAAUAGCAAUUAAUAAAAGUUCUACUACCCAAAGGAUCAACUGCUCAGGCACGGUCCAAAUAAAUGCUCAUCGAUGCAAAGAUAUUUCAUCCAUUUAUCACUAGGCUGGUUAUAGCCAUCAAUAAGCUCUGACAACCAGCUCUUCCUUACUUUUUCGACAGUCAAGGUACGACCAUUGACUGCUUCUCUAACCAGAAAACGACCCUAGGUACGACCGUAGGAAUUUAAUUACCCAAUUGCAUUAAAGCUAGAAGAACCCAACCCUAACCAAUAAACACGCUAAGAGGGUUUAUUUAAAUUAGAUCUUGCGUUUCCCCAUCAUAAAUCCAAUUAUGGUGGUUGCCACGGGGUGUUAACUAAAUGAACAAUUACGGAUUCUAUUUAAUUAACGUGGCAGUAGGCUAUUAAAUUAAAUCAAAUACCCGGCCGUUGAUAUUCGAUUAAUCAAAUACCCAUGAACAAUUAAUUCAGAAAACGCACGAAUAAUAACGAAUUGGAAGAAAUAAUGAAAGCUUGAUUAGAUUUCACAGGUGUGAUAGACCGCGCCCUCGCGUCAACCUUUGGGUAGAGGAGGAAAUUAGCCGCUCCUCAUCGUGUCGAUCCCGUGUGAUUUAAUUGAAUUCAUUCGAUUAUUUGCCGAAGAAUUGGGGUCGCAAUCACAAGGCAGAAAAUCAACGCGAAUUGUCUCAAGCUAAAGUAACAACUCAGGAGUCAAGCCGUACAAGAUGAAAGCUAAAAGAAAAAGAAGAAAUACGUCUGACUGAAAGAGAAGAAAAAGAAAACUCAAAACUAAUCUAAUUGCAGCCGACGGAGAGCAAAAGAAUAAAAUAAAAAGCGUCUCACUUCUGAAGCUAAAGCUAGGGUCUAUUUUUACUUUUUGAAUCUUGCUUUUCUCUUUAUAGCCGCCGCCCAAAAGAAAGUAAAGAAAGGAGACGUUUGGAGUAAUUCAUCUAACAAAAGCUAUCCUUUUGGAGUUUUUAUCCCAUACUUCUCGCGGUUCACGUGGACCGCAGUCCGGCUUUCGGUUUCGUCCAUCUUCUAAGGCGUAGCCACGCCCUGAGACGAAAAGUCUUCUGAAAAUUUACCCCGCGAGAUCAUUUUUCAUGCCUACUACCUACAAUUCACACAAAUAUUGAAUAUAAGUGCAAUUCCAAUUCUUAGCACCGUGAAUAGCCAAAAUUAGGACAAAAUAACGGUGCAAAAUGUGCCAAAUAACCGCUCUAUCAGAAGUAUCGGCCUUAUUGAAGUGUUAGUGAAUGUGCAUAUUAAGAUAGCAGGUCAGAGUUGAUAAAACGUAUCAGUUGACAAACUGCUCACUACCUAGAUGCAACGCUACAAACAAAUCAGGAAAGAGGGAUUAAUAGUCACCACAAAAAUGACUCUUUGUAUUGAAUCUCAAAUGCUCAUUCAAUUUAAACGUGUACUCGAAAUUCUAGAGUAGAGCUCUUAAAAUAUUUGAACUCCUUUUGUUUUUGGUCCAAGGCAGCGAUGCGAAGAAUGAGACAUUCAGCACUAAUUUGCCAUACAUCAGCAAUGCAUAAUCACCUAUCACUACUACAAAAGUGUCCUUUUAUGACAUUCAAAAGCGUCAUUAUAGAUCUAUGUCAUGACGUUUAGGCUCUAAUGACGCUCUAUUAGAAGCGUUAUCCAUUCUAGCGUCAUGAUAGGUUUAUGACAAUUUUAAGUGUCUCAAUUUAUCAUUAUUAUGACACUAUUAAAUAUCAUUAUCUAUGCAUAUUAUGACACUUUCAAAUGACAAGAAAUGUUGGGGUACAAUAACAUAUCAUGUCACUUUUUUAGUAUAAGUAGAUAGAAAUAUUAUGACACUUUUGAAGAGUAACUAGAUCAAGCUUUUAUGACAUUUUCUACUUGUCGGUGUAGCAUCCAAAUUAAAGUGUUCCAAAUUCCUGUUGUAUAUCAUAUGACGGCAGAAACCACAUUUCAUCCUACCACACAAGCAUCUCCAAUCCUAAAUUUUGAAGGAUUGUAACGUAGCUAGUACAAUAAUAUAAAAGAAGCAAUACAAUCAUCCAAACUUGAGCAAAAGUACAUCAUCCAAACAAUCCACACCAAAAGUGUCUACAAAUUACAAACUAAUUUAGAAUAAGGGAAGCCUUAAAGAUGGAUCAGAAAAUUUAUUAUUUGAGCCACCAGCAACAGCACCACUACUGCCACUGCCUGAAGUGAGUGAUCAUCUUCAUCCAAAGACAGUCUUUCAUAUGCUACGUUAGUGAAAGAAGCAGCAAUAACAAUCACAGGUCCAAAAGCAAUCAAAGCUCCUACAACAUUUCCUCCAACAACUUGACCGUAUCCACCAGCCAAAUAUAUGGUCAAAUUGGUGGCACCCGGUGGAGCUGAUGGUGGAAGGAAGGAGCCUGACAAUGAUAAAAUCUCGAACCAGCCAUGUAACGUCAUGAUUGAGCCGGCAGCAGCCGGUUGCCUCAAGCUCACAUUGUUGACCGUGCCACUACUACUCAAUAUGCAAAUACCUCUUUGCCUUUUUCUAACAUAUGUUGCAACUAAUUCAAACACAUCACAGCCGCUAUUGACCUCUAAUAUAUGUGCUGGGAGCGUGUUGGCGCUCUCUUGAGUGAUUAUCACCGGGAGUUUAGGCUUGUUUUUGGAGCUAGGCGGCCGGCCUCGCGGCCGACGAGCUACAACAUCGCCUGAGCUUGUGUUUGAUGUGACCAGCUCUAUAUAGACAAAAACAGCUAAAUAUCUCAAACAGAAAAUGCAUGUUCAAACUAAAGAUCUGAAGAGAAAACAUAAAGACACAUUCAACCAUGUUGCAGUAUUUCAGUUCUCUAUUCAACUCAAGAUAAGUUUAUAAAAUAAAUUUCAAGAAAAGAAGGCAGAGCCUUGGCAAAAAAUUAAAGGGUAUGCUGCUUGGAAGAAUUGAGUAAACUAGAGAGCAAAUCCAUUUGGCAAGCAAUGAAAAACUCAUUUAGUCAAUUUAUCAAACAUGUGGUGGGUCACAGAUGCUACCAAACUGAUGCUAAAGAAGGCUAUAACAUUUUUUUGGAAUCUUUCGACGGCAUCCAAAAGACAAUUAUCUUUCGACAUCAUCCAUUUAGACCUAAAGUUAAAAUUAUCUCUUAAAUACAAGAAAUCAAAAAGAAAACAACCUUGAUGUUAACAAAAAAUUGAAUCAUUGAUAUUCAGUAAACUAAACAAACAUCUUAAUCAUCAUACCUCCAUCGGUGGGAUGAAUCCUAGUUGCUUCCUCCUUGAAAAAUUAGUAGAUUGGCAAGAAAAUUGGCUAAAUUUGCCCUAAAUUGAGAGAAACAAGAGAGGGAGGGAAAAGUCACAAUACAAAAAGAGAUAAAAUGCAGCGGGUGAGGAGAGAUGUGAUGAGAUGUGGUAAGUAAGAAAAGGGAGGAAAUAUUAGAAUUUUUGGUGAAAAUAAUCACGCGCUAAAACAUAGAGCCAAUUUUCAAAAUUAAGGGUGAUACGGUGUAGUUUUGUCUAUUUUUGGCACCUUUUUAAUGACACUCCUGACUGACUGUCAUGUUAUCACCCUAUUAUGACGUUUAGGAAAAAAUGUCAUAAUACAAGUGUCACUAAAAGCUAUUUUUCUAGUAGUGUAUAAAUCCGGUUCAAAUUAACAAUUCCCAUGUUUAAGCUGUAAAAUUGAACCUUGACAAUUUGUCCACCUAACACAAAAACACGCCCAAAGUCGUGAGAAGUAGUGGCUUUCUUUUGCCUACAUGGAUGGCUUUUGUCUAACUCACAAUGCAACAAUAUCCUGCAAGCCUACAAUCAACUUUUGACCAAAGGCAAUGUUGCAGUUUUUCUAUUUCUAUCUGCAUUGGGCCCUUCAGUAUAUGACAUUGAAAUUGCCUUCAUCAGUUGCAAGUUUAGGUGUUUUUUUAGGCUGAGAAAUGUUGUUCUAGUCUUCUAGACCUGCACAUGAGCUCGCUCAAUGCACUAGCCUUAUUGCUCAAACUGAAUUCUGGUAGGAUAACCCAGAUUGGUCCCAAAACAAUGCAGAUUAAGGAUUCCUAUGCAAAAGCAAUUGUUGCCAGACAAUAGGUGUUGGAUAUUUAAUAUUCCUAAUUUCUUAGCCUAUAUAUAAGGCAUCUAUCAACCAAACCAAAUAUAUACUUUGCUAUCUCUAUACUACCUUCCACAUUUGCUCCCAGAAGCAUCAUUCCUGUUUUCAGUACCAAAAUCAUUUUAAAUCAUGUGCCAACCAAAUCACGUAUGGGGUGAUGCGCAAAUAUUUUGAAAAAUCAUCCUUAUAAAUUUUGGGAGAUGCUCAAUUUUUUAUUUUUUAUUUUUUAUUUUUUAGAUGGGAUGAAUGGUUCUCUUUUUAUUUUUUAAAAUUGCCCCAACAGGUUCAACUCAUAUACAAAAGAAUAAAAUUGUACAUACCACAAAAAAGAAGAGCCAUUGCACCAAUCUUGUUGAUUGCCAUGAUUUCCUUGUCUUCCAAAAGUUUGCCUUUGAUUUGAGAUGACUUUGGGCUCAUACCUAAAUUCUUAUAUAGACCGAGAAGGGGAAAGAGUGAGAGUCUCUGAUCGUGCCAACACCAGGAGCAAUUAUUGUGGGACCAGUCCAUCCUAAAUUAUUUUACUUCUGGGUCCAUCCAAAAUUGUAUCUUCCUUAGAGUUUUGGGACCAGUCCAUCCUAAAUUAUUGUGCUUCAACAGAAUUUUGGGACCCGCCCUUUGUAAAUUGUAGGAAGCCAGUCGGCCCAGUCUGCUUUUCAUUUGCGAUACCCAGCCAUUAUUGGUUUCUUUUCAAAUAUUCCUAAAAACUUUUGAAUUCUCAUCACCAAAUGAGCAGGGCUAGAGGUGGCAAUAUGAAUAAAUGAUUCAUAAUUGGUUUUGAUUUAAUGGAUGGUGGAUGAAAUUUAUGCAAUUCAUUUAGAUCCAUUUAUUAAAUGGAUCUAAAUGGAUUAAAUAAAAACCAAUUAUCCAUUUAUAAUCCAUUUAAAUAUUUUGGUUACUUUUUUUUGUAUUAUCAUUUCUUGUAAUAUGAAGAUACUUUUUUAUGUACUUCUAAAUUUUAGGUGUUGAAAAUGACAAAAAAUCAAUAAAUGACAAAAAUAAUUGGAACUAACCAUGAAGAUUGUUGUACAAAUAACCAUGUGGUAAUUAAUAGGGAAUUAAUGGGGACUGAAUCACAUCAUAAUCUAAGGAGAGAGGUCCAAAUGGGCCUAUGGAGGACUAAACCACACUCGUAUGAAUUUUUUUGAAAAAAUCACAUAUUGUGGCAAUUACUAUGAGGUAAUAUUUAAACUCUUAAUCUCCCACCCCAUCAAGCCUUAAUCCUUAAGUUGGCUUAAAACUAGAAUGGAACACAAGCAUUUAGUCACACUGGAAAGGUAAAGGCUGUCUUUCUUUAUUUGUCACUUCUGAGCACAGACUUAAGCAGGCAAGGCACUAGUUGCUCUCUUUAUUUUCUGUCCAAAAUUAAACUUUUUCACUGCGGUAAAAGAGUUAAAAGGUCGGAACUAGUACACCACGUUUAAGAUUUGAUGGCGGUUGCUAGUUGCCAUCAUCAUCAACGUGUUCAUAAGGGCAGUGGACUAAAUGCGGAGGAGGCCAACACUAAAGAACAGAGGAAUGAGGGGCCUGUUUGGAACCUGAGUUUUUUGAGAGUUUGUCUAAAACUUUACUGUAGUGCACUGUAGAAGUUUUUGAAAAAAUUUUGUAAAAAUUGUAAGGUGAAAAACUUUUUUGUAGAAGUUUUUGUAAGGUGGAAAAACUUUUUUUCCUUUUCUUUUUUUUUCUUUCUCUUUCUUUUUCUUUUUCUUUCUUUCCUUUUUCUUUUCUUUCCUAUCUUUUUCUUCUUCUUCAUCCCAGCAGCAACGCAAACGCAGCAACAAUGCAAUGGGGCAGCAACGCAACGCAGCCUCCUUUCAGCCCCUCCUCCUACUCUUCCGCCUGCUCCACCCCCAACUCCACCACCAGCCCCACCUCCUGCUCCUCCACCAGCAUCUCCUCCAACGCCACCACCACCACCAGCACCACCACCACUACCUGCACCUCCUCCAACUCCAGCACCACCAUCGGUUCCUCCACCAGCACCUCCUCCAAUGCCACCUCCCGCCACCCCUCUCCUCCCUUUGCCCUUCCCCCUCCCUCUUCCCUCGCCCGGCAGUCAAGGCGCAACUCCUCCACAAGCCAGUCAACUUUUUUUUUUUUUUUACAAUUUUCAGCCUUCCCCUCUCCUUACUCUAUAAGAAGGAUCACCUUACUAUUGGCUUAUUCUUUUUCUGCUACCGCUAAAACUUGCAGGAUCCCGUCUGAGCCGCCGGCGACGAGUGUGCAUUGGUCUUCUCCCAUUUGCCUCCAGCAUACGCUGCUCACAAACCCUGCACCUAUAGGCUCGCAAUAUUCCCACCCGGAAUAUUCAGCUCGACCUGGAGCCGGAGCUCCAGCAGAGGAUGGCUCGAAUCUCUUGACCCAAAUAUACGAGGUCAUCUCUUAUCAUAGACAACAACUUGAUUGUCCUCGGAGCCACAGCUAAGCAGGCCGCCGCCUCUCCAAACGGAUAACCCGACGAAUCUCCUGGCAUUGACGUGUUCCGUGUACGUCCGAAUAAGCCGAUGAUCUGCAGUGUGCCACGUCUUCAAGCACCCAUCAAUUUAAAAAAAAGGGUACAAACUGCCGGUGAAGAGAGCGGAUGGCAGGGGAAGAUGGCGUGGAGAGGGAGAAAGGCAAAAAAAAAAAAGGAAACGUGGAGGCCGCGCCGGACGUGGUGGUCGGCGACGGAGGUGGUGGUGGGUUGGGAUGGGGGAGGAAGAAGAAAAAAAAGGGAAGGGAAUUUUUUUUUUUUUUUUUGUGUUUUGGGUAUUUUGAAGUGUGUAGGUAAAAAAUUUUGAGAAGUUUUUUGGGAUCCUGUAGCAAAAGUUGUUAAAAAACUAGUAGGUAAAAAACUUGCUUAAAAACCUGACUUCCAAACAGGCCCGAGAUAGAGUUUAAAAACAUGCAACAAGAAAUACGGUUUCUUUUAUUUGGUUUUUAAAUAAAUGGAUAUCUAUGAUUUUUGUGGAUAAUUCAUAUAAAUUCAUUUUUGUGGACAAUUUCAAGUUAACUAUUAUAUUUUACAUAUAUGAUAUAUGUCUAACCCCACUUAUAUAUAUUCUGUUAGUGUAUAUAAAAUUUAUAUAUCUCUUUUCUUAUAAUUGGUAUUAUUUUUUAGUACUAUUAAACUGAACUGGCUCAAUGAUUUGCAGCGGUCAUAGAAGGAGGAGCCAUAGCAAAGGUGCCAGCCUCAAGAAAACCUACCAGCAGAAGCUGAUGCAUUAAUAAUAGAGGCAGAGGCAAAUGGAGUUGAGGGUGACCAAUUGCCCUCCCGACUUUGAGAAAUUUUUGUUUUAGGCAUAGAACUUUUGAAAAUUUUUUAAGUUGUCCUUUUUUGCACCCUUGAAAUAUUUAAAAUUCUCAUUCUUAUCAAAGUUGCCCCUAAUAUUUUUGAAAUUCUCUUUCUUGUCUAUAUUCUCCCCUCUAAAAUUUUUUAAAGUCUCUUUCUUAUUUUGACUUGGGACUUGGACUUUUAUUUAUGGGGUGCUCGUUUUUUUUAACUUUUGUGUUCUAUCAAAGUCCAACAACUACAACUAAUUCUUUGCUACUAUAAUUAAGUUGGUUGAUGGGGUUUUUUUUUUUUUUUGUCAAAUUAAAAGGAACCUUAGUUGGUUCAACUUAAAAACAAAAUGACUAAUCCAACUAGAAACUAAAGUAACACUCUUCCUCUUCUAAGAAUCGUCACCUCCAGCAGUCGCUCUACAAGUUCUACUCAUUUCCUCUUUUUUUCUCCUCUUCUCUUCUAUCCCCUUUUUUUACACUAUUGGUGGUGAAAACGAUAAUGAAGUUAUGCUUAGUAGAUAAAGAAACACACUUGUUUUUCCCUUCCACUUCUACCUUUAGUUUUCAUAUCCAUGAUUUUUUCUACCGUUUCCUUGCACUUAAUUUUACAAAUCCUAUCAGAUUUCUUUUUGAGUUGGGAAAGUUAAACUCUUCUUUGUUCAAUUUUAGAUAUUGGAUAGAUUUGUUCAUAAUUUUGUUGAUUCUUUAUUUUUUUAGGAAAUACUUUUUCUUUUAUUUGGUAGAUGAAUUGGAGGGUACUAGACCAGUAAAUCUUCCCUAGAUAACAUUAGAAAAUUUAGGAUUUUUGUGUUGAUUUUACACAUUUUUUCUUAUUUGGUAUUUUUUAUUUUAAAAAUAAAAAAUCAAUGACUCGGGAUUGAACUGAUUGAACCUGAUCCGACUACUUUACUAGUUUAAUCUUUUUUUUAUUUCCGGAAACGAUGGAAGUUAACUACUUUACUAGUUUAAUCACUAGUUUGAGUUUCAAAACAAUGGUUUUGUAUGAGUCCAGGCACAUUAUCAUUUGUGUCCCCACUCUUAACACGGAAGCCAAAAAAAAUGAAAUUAUUAUUGCUGGUUCACCGCCACGUCACAUUAUUAUUUUGGGAUCCCACCCCUAUCAAGGAAAGGAAAAAUGAAAUUCAUUGAUGCUUUAGAAACCAAACCGCCGUGCCCAGAUUUUCUCAAUGCUCCGUUAAAGUUUAGGCUUGGUCAUCGACAAAUGUAGGGCAAAUUCCACUUUAUCACCUGUGAUUUAGUGUUUUUUUACAUAACCCCUUUAUAACUUUAGAAACUAUAUAUAACUCUCUCAUGAUUUAAAUUAAAGUGUCAAAAUUAUGAAAAUGAUCAUUUGUAAUGGAGUCACCUAAAAUAUUAAAAAUAUCCUUACAUAAAGUUAAAAAUUAUUUAUUAACCAAGGAGGUUUAUGUGUAUAUUUUGAAAACCUUAAGGGAGUUAUAUGAUAAAGUUUUAAACCAUAAAAGAGUUAUAUGGUAAAACAUAAAAACCAUACGAGAUUAGUGUAUCAUAUAUUUAUAAGGGUAAUUUUGAUAUUUUUAGAAGUUCUGCUACGAAUACCUAUUUCCGUCACUUUGACACUUUAAUCUAAAUCAUAAGGGGCUAUAUAUAACUUUUGAAACCCUAGGGGGUUAUAUAAAAAAUAGUUAAUCACAGGGGAAUAAAAUGUAAUUUGCCCAUAAAUGUAAGAAGAAUUUACAGUUCUAGAAUACAAAUUUUUUCAUAAACCUAGUGAAUGCAUGUGUUUUUGGCGGCGCCAAUCUCGUCAUGCGUAGACUGCCCGGAAUUAAAAUAAUAUUCCCUUAUGUCACUAAGAAAGCAGUUUAUCCUUUUUUUUUUCCACCACAAGUUCGUAAUUUUUUUUAAUCUUAUUUUUAAGGAAAACUCUAAAUCUUAUAGAGAAAAAGGAAAAUAAAAAGUUUAAUAAGCCUGUGUUAUGUAAUUUGCCCGGAAUUAAUUUAGUAAGAACAUAUGCAUCAAGUAAAAUGAAAGGAUCGUCAAGUUCUUGAAACUUUUGUCGAACAUGGGUUUCUUGAGUUGAGUUUCAUCCAAUUUAGCUUGGUUGGCAUAAUAUUAAUCGUAAAUUAUGCUCUGAUUUAUUUUUGUCGAACAUGGCUGACAAAUUUUAAUCAUCCUGAAAUUAUGUUAGCUUACAACAUAAAUAUUGUAGGAAUUACAUGAAUUGGACAAAAUUCAAACCCAAGGACCAUGCUGAUAUAUUACUUGGCAUGGUUAUAUCCCACCCUCGAGGAAACCGAAAUACAUACUAAAAAGGGCGUAUAUUAAUAUUAUACCCAUUAUUUAGUACUCGUUUAGAGUACUAUAUCCCACCCUCGAGAGAUGGGAUGAAUGGUUCUCUUUUUAUUUUGAUAUAAAGAAUAAAAUUGUACGUACCACAAAAAAGAAUAGCCAUUGCACCAAUCUUGUUGACUGCCAUGAUUUCCUUGUCUUCCAAAAGUUUGCCUUUGAUUUGAGAUGGCUUUGGGCUUAUACCUAAAUUCUUAUAUUAUAUAGACCGAGAAGGGGAAAGAGUGAGAGUCUCUGAUCGUGCAUGCCACCACCUGCAGGAGCAAUUAUUGUGGGACCUGUCCUUUCCGUUGAUGGCUUUAAUCUUGCAUGUGAAUUUCUGUAGUAUACAUGUCGUUCGUGAAGUAGCACUUUCAGUUUGAGCAUUCAGCACAUGGGUGCACCAAACUCAAUAAAAUGGUUGUCAAGUAUGUUAAAAUUCCCUUAAAUAUUUGGAAGAGUUUGUUUGGAGAGUUUUAUGUGAGUAGUUUAUCUGCUGGAUUUUAACUUGGAUUGAUAUUGAUAUUCUACGCUUUCUAAUGAGAUUGAAAAUCAUUUAAAGUUUGUAUUUUUUUUAUGUUUUAUUGAAGGAGAAUAUUAUUUUGAUACGACGCUUUAAAUCCUUAAUAUCUCUAUAAUUUCUAGUAAUCACGAGAAAACACUUAGCGACUAAAUAUCACAAAAAGGAAUACAAACAACAUGCAAACGUACGCUCUAAAUUUGGGUUCAAAAUGUUUUCGGACGUGUUCACAAAUCACCAUUGCCUGGAAUACAGCAUGUACAUGAUCUCCUUGAUAAUCAAAUUCAGUGAAGAAGUAAUUGAUGAGGGGAAAAAUUCACUUUUCGUCCCUAAAUUUUGAGUUAGGGACACAUUUCAUUCCCAAACUUUUAGAUGCAUCAUAUUUAAUAUAUAAAUUAAUUAUAUUUUUGCCACAUUUAGUUCAAAAAUAGUAAAUUGCUUAAUUUGAAUGGAGAAAGUCACGUGUUUGGCAUGCGGUUGUUAAGUAAAAAUAAUUUCUCAAUCAAAAUUAACAGUCACGCCAAUCUUCUCCAUCUAAAUUGAAUAUUUUAUCAUUUUUGGUCUAAAUGUGGUCCAAAAUAAUUAAUUCAUGUACUAAAUGUGAUGCGUCUAAAAGUUUGGGAACGAGACGUAUGCCUAACUCAAAAUUUAAGGACGAAAAGUGGAUUUUUCCUUAAUUGAUAUUCUUAAAAUGAGCUAUUAGAUUCUUUUGUUAAAGAAUAAGAGACUCAACAAACAUCUUAGUUAAGAGACUCGACAAACAUCUUAGUUAUGCACAUUUUCUUUUCGCUAGAUUCCUUUCUUUUCUCCUUCGAAUGAUGACUCAAUUUGACAUUAACAUCACCGUACCAGUACACCCAAAAUAUAAUUUUUUUUUGCAUCUGCCUCUUCUGACUGGGAGGGGUGGCGGCCUAGCAAGGGUGGGAGAAGGGAGAAGAAGAAGAGAGGAAAGAAAAGAAAAAAGAAAGGAAGAAAGAGAAAGAGAAAAAGAAAAGAAAUAAAAAGUUUUUAUUUUAAAAUUUUUUCUACAAUUUCUGUGGUAAGUUAUAAUAAAAUUUAGGCAAACAUUUCAAAAGAUUCAUUUGCCAAACGGAUAUUUGAAUUAUUAUUUUACUUUAAAACUCUAGAGCAGAAAUUUUACAAUAUUUGAAUUCUUAUUGUUAUUGGUCCAAAGCAGCAAUGUUAGAAUGCGACAUUCAGCGCUAAUUUGCCAUGUUUCAUCAAUGCUCGAUCACUGAUAAAUCCGGUGAAAAUUAACUCUCGAAUCAGGCUCACAAUUCCCAUGUUUAAACUGUAAAAUUGAACCUUGACAAUUUGUCCAUCACCAUAAACUAGUAAAACGAAAAUACCCCAAAGCCUGAAAACUAGUGGCGUUUUUUUGUAAGGAAUCAUAGAGACAUGCACAGCGAAUAAUUUAAAAAAUCAAUAAAAGUUUAUCAUGUAAUUAAUAUUUUUUUGUCACACUUAUCUUAUAUUAAUUUUGAAAUAAGUUGUACUUAUUCUAUUAUUUGAUUGAUGUUCAUUUCUUAUACCAAAAGAUGACCCCAACGAAUAAAUACCUAGAAACACGUUUUAAAACUCUUUUACUUAACGCUAAGAAUUUUGAGCUAUACUUCUUCAAAUUGCCAGACAUGAUAUAACUCCUUUUUCAUCAGAGGUGUUAAAUCCUUAUAAGUUAUUCACCAUCUUUUCAUGCUUUAAGUAUAUACUUAUAAGCUAAUGAUGUAAACAUUCUCUAUUACGGGAGCAAUCAUAUAUCAAAACAAAAUAUAACCUUCCAUACUCAAGAUACCAUAAUAAUCUUAAAUCUAAGAAUUAAUUACACAAAUGUCAUUUAGAGAUUAAUCCUUUGGCACUUAAAGAAUAUCCAUAUACGGAUCAAUCUAGUAAAUUUGAUUAUCCUAUCAAACACUCAUAUACUAGUUUAGGUGUCUCAAACACUAUAGUAGAUGAGAUCCAAUACUUAUUAAAUAGAAGCAGUAUAGUAUGUGUUAGUUUAACCAUAUUAACAGUGUCUUGCCUUGUUAAUACUUUGACUAGAGAUAUUUAAGAAUAAACAUUAUUUAUAAUCGAAUGAAUCACAUCAUCAUAACUCACAUGAUUUCAUCGAUUAGGUUUACUCUGAGGACUUUAGCAUACUUAUGUAAAUAUAAGCAAUCAAUAUUAUAAAGAUGUCACUUAUUAUAACAUAAAUAGUUCAAGUGAAUAUUAAACCCUAGAAGUUGAUUGACUUUAAGGGUCCGUUUGUUUCGGAUGAAAAUGUUUUUCCUAAUUUCCCGUGUUUGGUUGCACAAAAGUUACCGAAAACAUUUUCCUAUGUAAAAUAUUUUCACUCAUCUUAUGGAAAACAACUUCCCUUCCAAACUUAUUGAAGUUGUUUUCCGAAAUGCAUGCAUUCCGCCUGUAGUAUGUUCCAAACUUACUGAAAACAUCUUGUAGUAUGUUUUUUUUUUUUUUUUUUUUAGUGUAAACAGGAGAACUCGAACCCAAGACCUCUUCCUUACAUUUCCUCCCCUGUACCACCCAACCCAACCCAACCCUCCCCCUAGUAUAUUCAAAAUAAAAAAAAAACCUCAUUCUGCUCAUCCUAUACUAGUAAUUAAUUAUAUAUAAUAGGGACAUUCUUUUCCAGAGAAACUUUCAGCAGUGAGAGUGCAAGAUAUAUGUCACAAUAAGCAUUGCAUGUGAUUGAUAUUUGACACUAAAUGGCCAGCAAUUUGUUUAUUGCUUAAGGAGAUAUUUUUUAUUCAUAUAUACAUUUCUCCAAAAUUUUUUAAAGUUAAACAAUGAGAUAAAUUUUCUUAUUUUGCAUGGGAAGAAGUAUGUAGUUAUAAUGUGUAGAAAGUAAAGAUAGAGAUAAAAGUGAAAAUAUUUCAAAAGUUAAACAAACACCAGAAAAAUAAAGUAAGAAAAUAUUUUCAAUAAGCUAACCAAACACCUGAAAUGAUGAAAGGGAAAUGAUUUUCAUGAAAAAUUACUUCCACGGAAAAUAUUUUCCCAAGAAAAACAUUUUACUUCCAACCAAACAGACCCUAAAGCAUUUACACUUUCAACUCCCACUUACAGUAAAGCCGAUCACUCAUAAGUCAAAGAUCAAAUGAGUCUACAUGACUAUCAUAUUUCCUUUAAAAUAAGUUUUAGUAAAUGGAUCAACUAUGGUGCUAUCCGCAGGUACUCUUUCUAUUUUCACAUUUAUUCCUACCAAUGAUUUUCACCAAAUCAUGUGGUAGCAUCUUAACAAGUCUAUGGGUAUAUAAUGAGACCUUGGUUCCUUCACUAGAGCAAAUUUUCUUUAUAGUCUUAAUACAGGAUAAAGGAUUUAAAAUGAAAAGAACCAAUCCAAGUUCUAUUUGAACUUAUAGAUCCAAAUGUUUCCUUUGCCAUUUCUCAAGUAAUAACUUGUUACGAUUUAAUUGUAAAAAUUUUAGUUAUGUUUCACUUGAAACUAUUUCAACACACAAUAAUAUUAUAAAUAAAUGUAUAAUUAUUUGCAAAUCAUCUUUAUAAAAUUGUUUACAAGUAUAUUCUCAAACUUCCAAUUUAAAUUUUUCAUGAACAAAAGGAGAUAAUAAGUCUAGUAUAUCGAAAUGAUUAAUUCUAUACAAUAUAGACAAAACUUCUUAUUGGAUCACUUCAUCUUAAAUGAAUUUAGCAUCUCACCUAUGUACAAGGGAAAAUUUGCUAUUAGCUAUCGGAAGAUUUGAUAUUCGAGAAUGGAGCAUAGCUUUGUCCAAAGUUGUUAGUAGAGAAAUCUGGAUUCUUUUAAUGGGAAUGAAGCUAAAAUGAUCAAUUUGCGGAUUGAAAGUUUUGCAUGAAUUUAGGACCUCAAUUGGCCACGUUGCAUGGUCCAAUUAUGCGCGUAGACAGUUUUGCAUGAGUCUUGGACCACGUGGUAACAUUGUGGGUCCCAUUACCAUGUCACAAUAUCAAUCGGGUCCCAUCCUUGUCAUGGAAGGCAAAAAAUGAAAUUGUUGUUAUGGAUCACAUCAUUAUUUGGGUCCCACUCUUGUCGUGAAGGAGCUCUUGUUUUCCAACGUGGACGAGCAAUCUCUUUCUUCCCUCCUUGAUUUUUGUUACAGUUUUUUUGGUUCAAGUCACAGGAAUUUGCAUUUGUGACUAAUUUUAUUCAAGCCAAAUCGAGCCUUACAAAAGGAAACUCUCUCAAAAUUAUCCUUUUCAUUUUCAUGAAUUUCAAAUUUGAAACCUCAUAAUUAAAGGAAUGUAAGCUCCUUUCACUUACACUAACAUGCAUCUGCAACUAAUCCGCUUGUUACAUUAUGUAUGGUUAUGUGAGUGACUUGUGGGACAACUAUAUUGUAUGGUAGGAGUGAUCUUUAUCACAAAAUAUCAUCGACUAACGAAACCACUAUUGUCAAAAUCACUUUCUUUCGGAUAGUUUUUAGAGAGAAAAAAAAGAAAAAAUGGGACAAAAUAAACAUGCAAUCCGCUGAUAUAAAGUUGCAUGUUUAGAUUUUGCAUAGGCAUGGUCAUUGCUGGAGACAUAUUGGAUAGUGCAUAAUUAUUAAUGUGAAUACCCGUGUUACGCACGGCACUGACAUUAUUAAAAAAAUUAAAAGAGAAGGUGAAUAAAAAAAAAAGUAAAAAAAUUGUACCAAUAUAAUUAAAAUUAAGAUUUGUCUAGCAAUAAUUCAAAGUAUGAUAAAAUGUAUAUAUCAUUCAAGAACUACGUUUUUGUGAAAGAUGGAUCUUGAAAUAAUAAUAGAAAUUUAUAUUAGAAAAUGAAUGAUAUAUUGAUAGAAAUGAAUAUAAUCGCAUGUUUUAUUUGAUUUCAAAAUGAAAUAGUUACAAACAUUAUGCAUUCAAUUUGACAAUCUUGUAUGAAAGCAAUAUUGGUAGUUUAAUUAACUCCAUUGAAUUUUGUGAAAUUCGUACUACAAAAAAAGUUCAACGAAACUUGUCUUUCUUAGAAGUGAACUUGUUGAAAUCAAUCUUACAAGUUUGUGAUCAGUUGUUAAUUCCAAACUUGGUGUAGACUUCCGUUUUUUGAUUAGUUGUUUGCUCCUUUACAAUUUUACAACUUUGGAAUUGAGACGCUAUUGAAAUCAAUGAUGGAGUCAAGAGGGGCUGAUGGGAGGUCAUGACCCCCUUAAGUUUUGAAAAUUUUAAUUCAUAAUGCAUAAAUAUGUGUGUGAAAUAAAUUUAAUUCAAUGACAUAUUAUUGUGAAGAACGUUUUAAACAAUUUUUUCAAAUAUUACACUAUGGAGAAUUCAGAAGAACUAUACUAUCUCCGAAAAAGUUCAGAGAAACUAUGGAGAGGAAAUGCAGACAACACAUUUCAUAACUCCCAGAAAUUUAUCCCAAUUCCUAGGAGGCUAGGACUGAACGCCACUUUUUCGAACAUGCAGUGGUCUUGUCCUAGUAAGUUAUAUUUUCUAUUAACAAAAUUUAUUUUAGCAUGGGUCCCAACUUUCAAGCAACCUGUAUGAAUUCUUUCUUCCAUGGUGGCUUCUCCCAUCACGCCUCUACUAAAACCAUGCUCAAUUUAGUAAUUUCUUACAUGUCGUCUUGUGAUUGGUAACUCUUAACUUUACCACAAAAAUAUUAGAAACGGUUUCACCAUUUUGUGGAAUUCACCGUAACUUGUGCUCGUUUUUGUAUAUAUAUUCAUUACGUCCAGCUAAUCUUGUGCUUGGAGACUGAUGAAACACUUGAGUUAUGAUUGUGGUUGAUGAUUUUUUUUUUUUUGUCAAAAAAAAAGGAUCUGGUCCCACUUCAGGCCCCAACCCUUAUUCGGGUUGUUGGGUUACCCCAUUUUUGUUACUGGGACUCGAACCGGUGACCUACGGGAUACUACCGCAUGUGGUCACCGGCUGAGCUACCCAGGAAGGGCAAUGAUUGUGGUUGAUGAUGGUUGAUCUCAUUGAUGCAUUGUGCUUGACUUUUUUUAUUUAUUUGGCUUUUAACACUUAGGGUUGCUUGAUCACAAACCUUAGGUCACACUAGUUGAUGUAUAGGCAAAAAAUUUGGCAAUUCAUUGAUAGAAAGGAAAGGAAAUAAAUGAAAUCGAAGGAGUAAAUACACCAAAGUAGCGAUACACUUAAUUAGGUAUUUGCUUUGCAUUUUAUGAAAUAGAUGCACCAUUUACAUUGGAUCUCACCACGAAAGUAGGGGGACUUUAGGAUUGGUAAUGCCGGGGGCGAGUCUCAGUUACCAUUGGAAAUGACACUGAGCGAGGAGCUUUUCUUCUUUUUACUUGAAUAGAAUCAUAUCCUUCAUUUUCCUCUUAAUGCUUUCACUUUGAAUAUUCAAUAUAUGGAUCUACCAAACUCAAAAAAGUAGUUGUCAAGUCGUUAAAAUUUCAUUAAAUUUUUUGAGGUAUUUGUAUAGGGAGUUUGAUGUGAGUAGUUUAUCUUCUUAAUUUUAAUUUGGUUUGAUAUUGAUAAUCUAUGAUUUUCAAUCUAUCAAUUAAAGUUUGUACAAAAGUUUUUUUAUUUGUUUCGUUGAAGAAAAAAAUUAGGCUUUGUUUUAAUAAUCCAAUUCAGCACUUAAACUUAAUGAAUUAGAUCUUCACAUGUUAACACGCGUUUGAUAACGAAAAAUUGAAUAUCUAAAUUAAUUAAAUGACACUAAAUUUUCUAGGAAAAACUUGCUCUUAAAAAUAAAUGAUAAGUUAUUCAUUUAUUACUUAAAUGUGAUAUAUACUCAAAUGUAUCAGAUUUAAUACUUAACAAUUCAACAUUUUAAUAGAUUUAAAUUUUAGAUUUCAAACUUUAAAUUUCAAUUUUCAAAUUUCAAUUUUAUCAAACGCACUCUUAGUUUACAUCACUUUACAUCAAUUUACAACACUUUACAUACUUAAUAUCUCUUUUAUUUUUAGUAAUCAUAAGAAAUAAACUUUGUGACUAAGUAUCACAAAAAGUAAUAGGUAUAAUGUGUGACGUACAUUCUCCUACACUAAUUACUACCUAAGUACAGCACCAAAAGAGCCUAUUUUUAACAAUAAUACGUACAAUGUGCAACACACAUUAUCUUUUUUUUUUUUAUUUAACAAAGUACAUUUUUGGAAUUAAUUUAGUAAGAACUUAUGCAUGAAUUCCUGCUAUACGCUUGUCAUAUUGAAUAAAGCUAAUUUUUUUUCCUCAUAAUCUUCUAAUGUUAAAUAGAGUCAAAAGUGGUAAGGUGGAAGUGAGAAAAUGUGACCUGCAUCAGUUGGGGUUGAUUUGUGAGUAAUUAGUGCACAUGUCAAGAGAUUAGAAUGUUGAUAUCAUGGAGAUAUAUAUGAACAUUAUCGAUGACGGCCAUACUCCAUAAUGCUACUCUGGAUAAUACUGAACAAAUGAUGCACGAGAAGUUGGUGGAUCAAGUAAAAUGAAAAAAUAGUUAAGUUAUUGAAACUUUUAUCCAAAAUGGUUUCUCAAGUUGAGUUUUAUCCAAUUUAGCUUGGUUGAUAAAAUAUUUAUAAUAUUCGGUGUAAAUUCAUACAAUUUUAGUAUAAUUGUAAAAUUUUGCUUUAGCUUAAUUCUAUGAGUUUGCAAAUUUCAAUUAUCCUAAAAUUAUGUUAGUUUAUAACACAUAUUGUAAGAAUUAGAUCAAAUUGGAGAACCCGUAGAUCCAUUUUUAACAGUCUUCUUUACCUCUCUGCCUCUUUCCCUCGUACUUUUGGGAGAAUUAGGUACGUAAUUAAUCAAUCCAGAUGAUGCAACAUGAAUUUAGUUAUGUAUGGCACGUUGUUUCUUGUAAGAAAAGUACUCAUUUAUAUACUUCCAUUUUAUUGAAUGUGAUUCACUAUCUCAUGAAUCACUGAUAUACUACAUAGUUACAUUCCUCUCUCGUGGGAACUGAAACACAAACUAAAAGGGGCAUAUAUUUUACCCAUUAUUUAGUACUCGUUUAGCCUGAUAUUGGCUGUCUAGAGCACAAGCACUAAUCAUGGAAUUAAUAUUUAGCCCAAGGCCACUCACAAUAUAGUGAACUUCCAUCCCCAAAGUAAAGAGUGCAGCCGUCGUCGAAGCAACAAUUGCCGCAGUCUGUGUAGGUCUUAGUUCCAUUACAGAUCUUGUACGCCGUCAGUAUGCAAAUCGGUACGCACGGCCUGACAGCCAUGACUUCCACAUUUGCUCCCAGAAGAAUCAUUCCACAAAUCGCUUGGACUUAUACCUGUGUUCUUAUAUAGACGAGAAGAGUAAAGAGUGAAUUCAGAUUUAUUUAGCCCGCCCACCUGCCCUCCUGCCACUGGGUGCAAUUAUUCUGCUCAUUGUGCUUCCACGUAAUCGUGGGAUCAGUCCAUCCUAAAUUAUUGUGUUUUUGGAUCCGUCCAAAAUUAUCGAGUAUGUUUAGAUAGGAAAUUAUUUGAAAUAAAUAUAUUAAAAAAUAUUGUCAUACUUUUUGUAAUAUAAUGUUUAUAAAAUAAAAAAAUAGUUGGAAAGAUAAAAAAGUACUUGAGAAAUAUGUUUAUGAUGCAAUCAUAUAAAUUUUUACAAAUAAAAUGAUAUCCAAACAAACCCAAUCCUCCUUCGAAUUUUGGGACCAGUCCAUUCUAAAUUAGGGAAAAUAUCAGGAACCUCCUCUAAGCUUUCUCUUAAUAUCAUCUAUCACUCUUAAGAUAUUAAAAAUAUCACUUGCCUCUUUUACUUUUAUUAUUUGGUGAAAGCCCUAAACUGCCCUUUUGCUCAUUUUGCUAAAUAAAAAUACUCAUAAGCCACUUUGUUUACGCCAAGAAAAAUCAUCACCUAAAAAAUAAUUUCUUGUAAUACCACCAUAUCACAAAACUAUAGUCCAUAAAAACAUUAAUUUGGAAAACAAAAAGAUGUUAGUAGAAAUAUAUUAACAUCAAUUUAACUCUAUAUGCUCAAAAUCGAUUUCUUAUGAACUUUAUAUAUUUUUUUCCAACUUCUUCUCAACUCAUGGUCCAAUCCUUUAAAUUGUACUAAUCAUUACAAAAAUCAACUCAAAAUAAACAAAGAAAUCAAACCCCAUUCUACCAUAAUCACAAAAGGUAAAAGAUAAACAAAAUUUAAAAAUAAAAAAUUGCAUAAUCAACCAAAAAAAUGAGUAAGAGAGGAUGUUGGAGAAAUGAGAAAGAAAAAAAAAGUGACUUUUGUUUCCUUUUUUUUCUAUUUUUUUAGCUCUUUAUUUGAUAUUUAAAUUAUGUAUCAAGCGAGGGCUAAUAAAGUCUUUUUGUAAUUAUUAUGAGAAGUAAGUGUUGUUUUUAAAACCUUAAGGGUACUAAAUAAUAUUAGGCGAAACCUCCAGAGUGGCUUCUGAUAUAAUCCCCCUAAAUUAUUGUGCUUCCAGGUCCAUUCUAAAUUAUUGUGCUUCGACAGAAAUUGGGACCAGUCCUUCGUCAAUUAUUGGAAGCCAGUACUUCCUGUGCAUUCAAUGUUUUACUAGAAUUCCCAUGCAAAAUUAGUCACGUUUUUGCAUGCCUGUCAAUGUCAUUUAAGAUGCGAUGCACCUGUGUUUGAUAUACAGAGGACGUGCGACUUUUUUCAAAACACAUAGGCCCACCAAUUGUUUCUAUUAAAUGAACAGGGCAACGUUGAAAUAGAUUGAAAUGUAUACAAGGCAUCCUUUGCCCGCGCUGGGUUGGUCUGCGGGUAAAAGUAACCUCCUUAGGUGAGUUUCACCUGGGUUUGAUCCCGUACAGCAAUUCAAUUGUUAUCUUCUUCAGUAUUGAUCGGGCUCGCUCUGCUGGAGCGUUGUGGGAUUAGUCGAAUGUAGAUCCGGAUACCCAUAGUGAUGAAAAAAAAAAAAAAAGUAUAUAAGGCAUCCUUAAUCGUCUUUGAUCAAUGUAUUUGGUUUCAACCUAAUCUGUUGAUAGUUUUGUAGUCAUGCAAAAUUGGCAUCUCCCAAGGAGAGAAUCUUGUUUGAGGUUUAGACAUCUCCAAAUUGCUACUCAGUUUAGUUAUUAACUUGAAUACCUACUUUAGAUUUUUUUUGGAACUUGAGCUCACAAGGUCAAUUUUUGAAGUGGGAAAUGCAAUCUUUGUCCCCUAUUUUUAUUCCACCCACCAAAAUGAUGGCAAAUGUUUCACCAGAAACAAAUAAAAUUAUCCCUUGAAAUUAUUCUGAUAUCCACCAAUAAAAUUAUUUCAAUUUCUAAUGGAACGAAGCACUUGAAAUUCACUGGAAUUUUUCUAGACGUGCCUAAUUAUCACCAUUAAUUGUAUUGAACACAACAUGUAGAUGGUUCUUUUGGUAACCAAAUUGCUUGAUCAAAUGCUAAUUAACUUUUUGGAUGGAUACUAGAUUCUUUAACUAAACAAUGAGAGACUCCACAAAUAUAUUAAUGUGUUUGAAUUUGUCAACGGGGUGCUUUUCUUUUUUCGCUUGAAUAGAAUCGUAUCCUUCAUUUUCCUCAUAAUACUUUCACUUUGAAUAUUCAGCAUAUGGAUGUACCAAACUCAAGAAAAUAGUUGUCAAGUCUGUAGUUUAUCUUCUUAAUUUUAAUUUAGUUUGAUAUUAAUAUUCAAUGAUUUCCAAUAAGAUUGAAAAUCAAUAAAUCAAUUAAAGUAUGUAAAAAAGUUUUUUAUAUGCUUCGUUGAAGACAAAAUUAGUCUUAGUACAACACUUUACAUACUUAAUAUCUCUUCUUUUUUUCCCUAGUAUUCAUGAUAAGAAGUAGUACGUACAAUGUGCAACACACAUUAUCUAGGUUUUUUUUUUUUUUUAAGUAAGUACAUUUUUGGAAUUAAUUUAGUAAGAACUAACUUAUGCAUGAAUUCGUCAUAUUGAAUAACGCUAAGUUUCUUCCUCAUAUUCUUCUAAUGUUAAUUCAGAGUCAAAAUCAAGUAAAUCUCCGUAGAGCCAAAAAUGUUUUUUGAUUUUGAAUUAAAAAAAAUAUCUUCUUUUGUGCUGCAGAAUUGGUAAGGUGGUAGUGAGAAAAUGUGACUUGCAUCCGUUGGGGUUGAUUUUGAUUUUUGAGUAAUUGGUGCCCAGGUCAAGAGCUUAGAAUGCGGAUCUCAUGGAGGUAUAUAUGAAUGAGUACUUUUCUUAUAAGUUCGACAAAAGUUUCAAGAACUUGACGAUUCUUUCAUUUUACUUGAUCCACCAAUUUCUUGUUCAUUAUUAUCCAGAAAAACAUUAUGGAGACGUUAGAGUACAACCCUCAUGGAUAAUGUUCAUGGAUAAAAUUGGGGUUUCUGGAGUUGAGUUUCAUCCAAUUUAUAAGAAAAGUACGUCGCUUCUUAUAAGAAAAGUACUCAUUCAUAUACUUCCAUUUUAUUGAACAUCAUGAUUCACUCUAUCUCAUGAAUCACUGAUAUAGUACUUGGCAUAGUUAUUAUACCCAUUAUUUAGUACUCGUUUAGACUACUAUAUCUUGUAAACUCCUUUACCAAACCCCAAUUUUUGCACAGGCGGCCAAGUACAAUACACUUCCCUUCCACCAGCAAAGUGAAAAGUGCAGCCCUUGUAGAAGCAGCAAUUGGUGCAGUCGUCGUAGAUCUUCUCUCCAUCACAGUCCACGUACUCGAUCCCAAUUAUGCAUAAGGUUGGGCAAGCCUUGUCAGGCCCAGGCCUGACGGCCGUGACCUCCACAUUUGCUCCCAGAAGGAUCAUCCCUGUUUUCAGUACCAAAAUCAUCAUUUUAAAUCAUGUGAAAAUCAAUUGAGAGAUGGGAUGAAUAGGUUUCGAUAUAUAUAAAUAUAGAUGGGAUGAAUAGUUCUCUUUUUAUUUUUUGAAACUGCCCCAACAGGUUUAACUCGCAUGCCAAAGAAUAAAAUUGAACAUACCACAAAAAAGAAUAGCCAUUGCACCAAUCUUGUUGACUGCCAUCAUGAUCCCUUCUCUUUGUCCUCCAAAAGUUUGCCUUUGAUUUGAAAUGGCUUGGACUUAUACCCAGUAGGUUCUUAUAUAGACGGUGAGAAGCGUAAAGAGUGAGAGUCUAUCAUGCUACUAGGUGCAAGUAUUCUGCUUAUUGUGCUUCCACAGAGUCGUAGGAUCAGUCCAUUCAAAAUUAUUGUGCUUCCGGGUCCAUCAAAAAUUAAUCUUCCUUAGAAUUUUGGGACCAUUUUUUGACAAAUGAAAUGACAUCCAAACAAACCUAACUGUCCUUAGAAUUUUAGGACCACUCCUUUGUGAAUUAUUGGAAGGCAGCCGGCCCAGCGUACGUUUCUUUUACGAUACCCAGCCAUAAUUUGGCCCAGUGGAUUUGAGGUUGUUAGCCAUCCAACAUAUUGUCCUUCAGCAACUUGGAGGCCGGAGGAGGGUUGAUCAGGGCUGUUACCACAAAAUGACUCAUUGGAUUAAUUUAUUUGGUUUCUAAAAUUAAGUUUAGUUUAAACUUUUUUAAGUUUACGCUUCAUCUCGGUACAAUUUUUUUUUUUGUUUUUUUUGUUUGCACUGAACUAGUUUUGUUGAUAAUGGUCAACCUAAUUGGCGUCUUCCAAGGAGAGAAUCUUUUUUAAGGCUUGGCGUUCAUGAGAUUAAUUUUUGAAUUGGGAAAUAAAAUUUUUGCCGCCGAUUUUUAUUCCAUCCACCAAAAUGAUCCCAAAUGUUUCACCAAAACACAUAUCUGGUGCCUCCCAAUUAUUCUAAUAUCCACCACUAGAGUUAUUCCAAUUUCUAAAUGAGCAAAACACUUGCAACUCAUUGAGCAAGCCCCAAGAUGGACAAUUAAGAUAUCAAAUUCAGAAAACCCUCAAAUUUUCAGGAGUAAAUGAAGAAGAAGUAGUAGCUGCCUUCCUGGCAGCUGGUAGCUACAAGCAUUGCUGAAGCAUUUAUGCGUUCAUCUUCAAUAUCCCAUCUCUCAAUUCUGAUCAAAGCUUCACUGCCAAUCACCCAAUUAAUUUCACAGAGAAAAAGAUGGUGUGGAUCAGGGUACGUAGGCUGUGUUAGAGAGGAAGCCAAAGAAAGAGAGAUGGGCAGACGUACAACGCAUUGCAUUGCAGUUGCAUGUGAAGACAAUAAAUGAGACCAUGCAGGGCUGGGUGGAAAAGUCGGUGAUGAUGAAUUUCAGAAUUGAUGUAGCGGUCCCAGACAUCUAUUAGACAGUGGGCUCCGAGGUGGGGAUGCUAAGUGCUAACUGGUGUCAUCACGGUCUAUCUUUGAAUUUCAGCCAACACAAGCUUGCUCAGUUUGUCAGCUUAGGUUACUUCCUAAUAAAAAAAAUUAUGUGUUCGAAUCCUGUUGCCGAUAUAAAGAUUGUAUUGAUGAGCGAUUUAUAAGAAUCUCUAUAACUGAACUCUGGUCUCGAAAACAUGCGAAUAUAUACUUUGACCUGUAAUGGUGAUCGGAGUUGAAUUCAUUCAAAUUUUUUUCCUAUAAAAAAAAAGAAUUUCAGAAAAUGCCGAGAUUUGUAACUCAGCCAAAAAUAAAAUAAAGUAAAACCAACAAUUAAUCAUUCAUUCACAGUAGCAAGUGUUCCUCAAUCUGAGGAUAAACCUCAAUCAGACACCUUGCACCCAGACUGGAUAUACUUGGCAGCUUAAAUCCAGCAUCCACAAAGAGUUUUUCCCGUUCCUUCUCAGUUCUUUCUGUAGCAGAACCGAGCGUGAUCAACAUCUGCAUGUCCAUGUUGAUCUGUGUUUGAAGUUGUACUUUAUCUUGUAUCUGGCUUUCCAUUAGACUAUCUAAAAUGAUCACUUUACCACCAGUCUUUCUCUGGAAUGGCCUUUCUGCAGUUCUUUUGAAUUUUCAGUCUUGAUCACUCCUAUCAUGGAGGAUCUACUGUUCAUACCAUAAAAAUCACACGUUACCAUCUUGGAUAUAUACUAGUUCGAGAUCAUGCAAGCAAAACAGUUCCGAAGAGAAUAGCAAAAAGGGAUGCAGAAAAUCCUAAAAUCCCCUAGAAGAGUGUCUUUUAUUACCUUGAGUAAGAUUCCAUUGGCAUAGGGUACACUUUCAAACAAUUCUCCAGCAACGAAGUCCAAGUUCUCAACUCCUUCUUGAUUAGCAAUUAUAUGUGGGGGAUCAAACACAGUGCAGUUGAUGCUAGGAAAGCUUUGGGCAAUGGCCUUAGCAAUUUUGCUUAUGCCACCCCCAACAUCAACCAAAGUUGUCAAGCCCUCAGCCACAAACUUACGUUUGGUCCUCACAGUCUAUAUACACAAAUGAGAAUCACUUGCCAUGACUUCAUUAAACAAUUGCCUAAACCAGAGGGUUUCUAUACCAGGGGUGUGUUCGACCUCAUCACGUACUAUUUUUUUAGAGUUCAACCUCGACUCAAAUACUAUUUGAGCUCAAUUUUGAGUUCAAUUGUAGCAGUCAAAAAUUGGUAUCUAUUUUUCAUGAUAUUAUUCAUGGAUCGGGUAUGAAUUAAAAUAGAAAAAAAUUCACCAUAAUUUUUUAAUAGUCAAUCUGAAAAGUAGAAAUAAGAAUCAUAUAGAUAUAUAAUAAAGUCGUAUUCUCAUUGUUAUUCCUUCAUGUUUUUUCUUUUCUACGUGGCUUAACGAGACGACAAGUAGUUUCCUAAUAGGAUUCUUAAUAAAUCAUAUAUAUAUAUAUAUAUAUAUAUAUAUAUAUAUAUAUAUAUAUAUAUAUAAUAAAGUCUUAUUCUCAUCCUUAUCCUUUUAGUUUAUCUCUUUCCUACGUGGCUUAUCGACAUAGCAAGUAGGUGCAACGCGCUCUAUUAGUUAACUCCCUCAUAACCUACGCUAUUCUAUCUCUCUUUUUUCUCUUGACUUUACAAUUCUAGAUUAUCCUUCCAUAAUUAUCUCUUCUAUUCUCUCACCUUUUUUUCCCUUAACCCUAAUCAUCAAGCUUAAAUUUCCAGGGGAUUAGUAUAAAUAAUUUUGAAUUAUGUUUUCAACUCUCUCUCAUCUUCAACUCAAAAGUUUGAAAUAUCAAUUCAAAUAUUAGAUUAUCUUUAUCAGAUUAUCGCUAUCGAAUAUACUCUAUAUUUUUACUCAUAUAUAUGAUUAUCGAUCUAUUACUCAUCACUUUAUCAAGCAAUGCAGAUGUUUACACUUUUCCACAAUGUUUUUGGAAAUUUGUUUUUUCCAAUACAAGGACCGAAUUUGAAAUUUCGUUUUUAUUCCCUUCAAUGCAAGGACCGCAUUUGGACUUUGUUUAUGCUCGCUAUAUGUGGUCUAUAAUUUCCUACAUCUUUUUCAUAGCUAGGUCAUUGAAUUUAAAUUUUCUAAGUCUUCAAAAGUUACAGAUUGGUUUUUAUUUCUGGCAAGGUUUUUGUAAUUAAUUUGUUAUUUCAAUUUAUGAAUUCACUCUUCAAUUCAAGUAGAACACAUAUUGCUUUUUUGGUUAGUGAUUUAAAAGUGGCCUUUUAAACUAUGUGUUUUCACAUGAUUUUUUAAUUGCCUUUGACAAUUUAUUAAUUGUCUUCAACAAUGUAUUAAUUUUUUUUUUAUUUUCUAGGUUUUUGGGGUUAAAAAAAUUUUGUGCAGUUUUCAAUAUUUUUUUUUUUGGACUUUGAUAGAAAACUUCUAAAGAACAAGAAGGUGUCAUUGAUUACAUAAAUAGCAAGACAUCAAGUUCAUUGUCAUACAGUAAUUCACGUUAUGCAAUAUACAUUAGACUAUUUAGAUUUUUUAUGUUUUGACUUAAUAGCAAAAUACAUCUUAUGUUUUCAUUUUGGUUUCUAUUAGCCAUGAACAGAUUUAGAAGGUUGCUAUGUUCCCGUGACUUGAUUGAUUUUGAAUUCUUAUCUUUUAUUAAUAUUUCAUUCAACUUCUUUUCUUUUCACAUUAACCUUUAAGCCAUUUAUAUUAAGUACCAAAAUUGAUGUUUUGGUAAUGGGUUGGCCAUUCUUUUGUUUACAAAAGAUCAGCCAAGAUUUGAUCUUCCAUAUUUUCAAGUUUUUGAAUGUCAUCAUAUUGUCGAUUUUUUUUUUGCAUUUCGAAUUAUUAAUCACUGAAUUAGAUGUUUAAAUUUACAUUAUAAGACUAUUUUUGAAUAACAAUGUAUUUAAGAAAGGUUAUAAUAGAUUAUACAAUAAGUUUGUAUUUUAUGAAAAUAUUUUUAUGAACUACACUAAAUAAUUUAUUAAUUUUAGACAAUUCCCAUUCAACGAAUGGGUACAAAACUAGUUUAAUAAGAGAGCAAUUUCAAACACCUAAAAAAGGGGGAAAAAAAAGAAGCAAACUUAACAGAACACUUUUUCCAACUUUUCGGAUGAGGCUCUAAUAAACAUUUUCACAAGAGUACAAAAGAAUUUUCAUUCUGGAAAAAAUAAAUAUAAAAAGGUUCCAUUUAAUUUUAUUUUUAAAAGACUAACAAAGAGUUGUUUUACUGAAUUUAACUAAAAGAGUUGACAACCUUUGAAAAGAUAAAUAUACUUGUAAAAAUUAAAGAAUCUAGAGUCAGUAACUAGGAAACUAAAAUAAUACAGAAAGAGACAAAGGGAAAAAGGAAAUUCUGAGUUAAAUGAUAAAGAGAUACAGUUACAAAAAAACGAAAAACAAAAGAAAAAAAAUUAUCAAACAUAUAAACGGAAGACGGAAGAAAUAAGCAACCCUGCAACUAGUUGCAAAAGCAUCAAUCACUACUUCUCCCUGCUGCCAAGAAACUCGCUGCAAACUUUCAUAUUGCUAUCCCCUCCAUCACCAUUCUCUCCCUCCUAGACCCGAAUAGAUGCAGUCUCUCUCCUUUCAAUCAAAGUAUGCAUAGAUGCAUGGAAAUUUUUGACACCAUCUCUUGAUAGGUAAUUGCACUUGCUGAUUUCAAUUUGAUUUCAUAAGAAACCUGAUCACAAUUCAAAAAUUUUGCUGUGAUACUUUUUGAAUCUAAUUGCUCUUGACAUCUAGGUGAGGAGUUCAUAAUGUUUUUAAAAAUCAGACCGAAUUGACUGGUUCAAUCGAUUGAAUCGCAAACCGAUUAUGCCUUUCGUCUAGUUCAUAGCUUGGGUUGACAAGAACUAGUCAAAUUUGGAAAAAACUAGUUAAUUCGUUCAAACCAUAUCAAACCGAGAACCGCGGUUUUUUUUUUUUUCCAAACGAUAAAACUUUCAUUACUUCAUCAAAGGAUUACAAAAUCUGGAGCAAAGGCCCCUACAUCAUUUUUGGCUAUACUACUCAGCCAAUUUGGAAAUGAAUCCAACCAAGUUAUCUCAGAAACUAAACUUAAGGCAAAUUUUGCCAGCUGAUGUGACACAGAAUUCCCUUCUCUCUUAAUAAAAGAGAAAAAACAGGAACUAAAACUUUUACUCAGAACCUCUAUAUCAAAAAGGACAGCUCAUGCUAAGUGAUCAUUCAGGUUCCCUUCCCUAAUCUGAUCAAUAAUUCCCUUGCAAUCAGAUUGAAUGAUAAUGUUCGUCCAGCCAUUCCUUUUGGCAAAAAUCAGAGCUUUCCGGAUUGCCAUAGCUUCUUCAACAGCAGGAACUCCCUCUCUCCCUUCACAACCAGCCCAAGCACCUCUUAACAUUCCUUUACUGCAUCUAGCAAGAACUCCCCAUCCUACCUUAGCUUCAUUCUUCCUAAUAGCUGCAUCAGUAUUUAAACAUAAGAAACUCCCAGAUGGUGGCUGCCAUCUAACCAUCCUUUCUCCUGUUCCCCUCCCAACAACUACCUCAUCUCCUAAUGCCAUGUUUGCUACCUGAAACUCUAGCCACUCUUGCACUGCCUUGUUUGCUGUUACACCAGGACAUCUUCCCUCCCUAUUAAACUGUAUGUUAUUCCUGGAUUUCCAAAUCUGCCAUAAUACAUUAAUAGUCAGCUCAAUAUGCUCCCUACCUUCCUUCCUAACCUUUGCUUCCAUCAAACCAUUCUACCACAGCCAGAAAUUAUGCCUGCAGUCCCUCAACCCAUCCCAACUAAUUGGGGCAGCUUUCCAUAUUAGCUCAGCAUGCUUACAGAAAAAGAGCAUGUGCUCCAAUGUUUCUGUCCCUUCUCCACAAACACAGCACCUAUCAUUACCUUCUCCAAUUCUCCGCUUAAUUGUCUCAUUAACUGGCAAUAUGCACUGGAGACAUUUCCAAAUAAAAUGCUUGAGUUUAUGCUUAAUGUUCAGUCCCCAUAGAAACUUCCACACCCCUGAAUUAAUGUCGUUUCUGCUGCUGCUUUCCUGCUGUAGGCUAUCCUUGCUACCCUUGUUCUGUAUUUCCUUUGCAAUCACAUAUCCAGACUUCACAGUGUACUCUCCUGAUUUAGACAGCAUCCAAACUAGUCUAUCCUUUCCCCCAAAAGCACUUAUUGGAAUAUUAAGAAUUCUUUGGCAGCCCUCUUCUUCAAACAGAUUCCUUAGUAAGUCCUUAUUCCACCUUCCCUCAGAAAUCAACUCAUGAACUCUCUGGAUACUACAAUGCAGAGGCUUUUUUGAUCUUAUUUUCCCAUCCUCCAAAUCAAGCAACCACUUGUCCUUCCAUAUCCUAAUUUGCUGACCAUCUCCCACUCUUUUCCUAACCCCUGCUGCUAACACCUCCCUUGAGCUCAGGAUACUUUUCCAUAUCCAGGAAUCCCCUGCAUGGCUUCUCAUGUUCCAAAUGGAGGAUCCUCUAAAGUACCUUCCCCUGACAAUCUUGCUGACUAACAGGUUGGGCCUUGUCAAAAUCCUCCAAACCAGCUUAGCAAGCAUAACCGUAUUAAAUUGUUGGAGAUCUCUGAAGCCCAACCCUCCUUUCGCUUUUACCUCAGACAACCUCCUCCACUCCAUCCAAUGGAUUCUCCUGUUUCCCUCCCUAUCCCCCCACCAAAAUCUUGCCAUUUCUUUAUAGAUAUCUUUACAUAAACCUUUAGGCAAUUUGCAGCAAGUCAUAGCAUAUGCAGGAAGAGCUAGUAUAACAGAUUUUAGAAGCACCUCCUUACCAGCAUUACUCAACAGCCUCUCUUUCCAUCCCCCUAGCCUGUUGCAGACCUUCUCCCUGAUGUAGUUAAAAAUCUGCCUCUUUGGCCUUCCAAUAACCAUUGGUAAGCCCAGAUACUUACUUUGCUUAGCUUCUUUCAUACCACCCAAGAUAUUAAGUAUUUCACCCUUUACUGCAUUCCCAGUAUUCUUGCUAAAGAACACUGAGGACUUCUCAGCAUUUAUGGCUUGUCCUGAGGCUUCCCCAUACAGCUUCAGCAGAUUCAUCACAUGAUCAGCCUCCUCCUUAUUUGCUCUGCAAAAUACCAAGGUAUCAUCUGUAAAAAAGAGGUGAGACAAGGCUGGACUCUGCUUAGCAAUCUUAAGUCCAGAAAUGUCAUGGUUAGUCAUGGCUCUCUUAAACAAUCCUGACAGUCCCUCAGAAACAAGAAAAAAGAUGUAAAGAGACAGGGGAUCUCCUUGCCUGAUACCUCUUGUAGGUGUAACCAAACCUCUUUCUUCUCCAUUCAAAUUAAAAGAGUACACCACAGAAGACAUACACUUCGAAAUCCAGUUUCUCCACUUUUGACAAAAACCCAUCUUUUCCAUUACUUUUAGCACAAAAAUCCACUCCACUCUAUCAUAGGCUUUGGCCAUAUCAAAUUUCAAAGCCAUGAAAGCAUUUGAUCCACAUCUUCUGUUAUUCAAACAAUGGAUGGAUUCGUGUGCAAUAACAACAUUAUCAAUGAUCUGUCUUCCUGGGAUAAAAGCUGACUGGUUUUGGCUAACACAGUGUUUUAGGAAAGGCUUAAGUCUAUUGACCAGAAUUUUAGAGAUUAUCCUAUAGACAACAUUACACAGGCUAAUGGGUCUAAACUGAGAGACAGAAACUGGGGACUCAAUUUUAGGAAUGAGAGUUAUGAUGGUUUCAUUGACAGCCCUUAGUAAGUACCCAGAAUGGAAGAAACUAGCAAUGGCACUUACUAAAUCAUUUUUUAGCACACUCCAGUACUGUUGAAAGAACACAGGAGUCAUGCCAUCAGGCCCAGGAGCUUUGUUGGGUUGCAAAGAAAACACAGCUUUUCUGACUUCCAUUUCAGACACAGGUCUAACUAGCAUAGCAUUCAUUUGGUCUGUGAUCAUUGUGGGGAUCCCACUCAGAACAGGCUCAAACUGCUGAGGAUUACUGGUAGUAAAAAGCUUCUGAAAGUAACCAUCGAUUUCCUCCUCAAUAUCUGGCUCAGAGUCACACCAAGAUCCAUCUCCUCUUUGUAAACUGGAAAUAUUAUUCCUUCUUCUCCUCUCAGUAACACUAGCAUGGAAAAAUUUUGUAUUUUUAUCCCCCUCCUUCAACCAUUUGACUCUAGCUUUCUGUUGCCAGAACACCUCCUCCCUCCUAUAGGCCUCUUCCAGUUUCUUCUUAAGUACUCUCACCCUCCCAACUUUAUUGGCUUGCCCAUCCGUAUUAGCCUCUAUGAUCUUCUGCUUCAGCUCUACAAUUUCUUUCUUUGCAUUCUUACCCUUUUGUCUAUUCCAGUUCAGAAGAGCCAUUCUGCAAUUUCUGAUUUUUUGAUGCAGUUUAAAAAAUCUAGAUCCCUCAUGCUGUUUCUCCCAUUCCUUAGACACAAUCUCCCCCACUUCCUUAUUAUUGAUCCAAUUCCUAUCAAAAUAGAACCUCCUUAGCCAUUUCCUACCCUUUGGCUCAGUGUCUAGCAGCAGCAUAACAUGAUCAGAAGCAUUAUUUUGGAUAUGUAUGCACUUAGCCUUCUCAUGCUCACUUCUCCAUUGUUUACUGCAAAGAAUUCUAUCUAAACGCUCCUUAACUUCCCGCCCUUCCUCCCAGUGAUUCAACCAGGUCCAUGGUAUCCCUUCAAAACCAAUGUCAACAAGCUAAUUAGAGAUUACAAAGUUCCUAAAAAUUUGAAAACUACUCUCACACCUCCUACUACCCCCCACUUCUCCUCAUUUGACAGGAUGUCAUUCAUGUCACCUGCCAACACCCAAUUCUGACCCCACAUACUCAUCAUAUUUUAUAUAAUCCUCCAUUGUUUCUCUCUGAGCAGAUCCUCACUACUAGCAUACAAACAAAUCAGCCACCACCUGUCCCUAGCCCCAGUCUUUUCUAGCAACACUUCAAUGGUAAAGUCAGUACAAAGUACCUUACAGACCUUCAAAUCAAUCCUCCACAUUACAGCCAUCCCACCAGCUAUACCAAUAGGAUCCACCACCACCAUUCUAUCAUAUCUUAGCUUAAGUCUUACCCUAUUCAUAACUUCUUCUUUAUUUUUUGUUUCUGAUAAGAAAAUCAACUCAGGGGAGUGGAGUUUAACACUCUCCUCUAUCUAGGGAACUGUCAAGGGGCUCCCAACAUCUCGACAGUUCCACACCAGAGCUCUCAUAGGGACCUGGGAGCCCCAUUAAGGUAGGACUCCACCACCCCAGAUGCUAGGUCCACCCCAGCCACACUACACACAGUCUUGCCUCUCUUCUGACCUUCCUCUUGUUCACUAAUAUUUUCCUUGUCCCCACUCUCACUCAGCUUCCUUUUACCCCCUUCAUGCACUAUGACCAUACCCCCAUUCUUGUCCUCCAGAGGAAUUCUUCUACCUACCUCCCUAACCAACCUCUUCCACCCCCUAUUCCUCUUAUACUUUCCCCCUCUUAGCUCCUUACUACCAUCCAGCUCCUGUUGUGCUGUCACAGGAUCACUCCCCUUAUCCCCUCCCUUCCUCUCCUUACAAUCAGUAUCAAUGCCAUCAAUCAACAUAGAAUCAAAUAGUUCCUGCUCCUUCAGCUCCCCUCUCUGGCCACCCUCCUGUAUUUUUUCCUCAGUAGUGAAACUCAGUCCCUUAGUAACUUUACUCUUUCCCUUACCAGCAUCACCCUUCUUCCUAUGAUCAGGCUGCACACUUUCUUCCUUAAUGACUUCCACCACCACUCCCUGGCCCCCAUUCUUUCCAGUGUCUUUCAUCAAAACCCCUGGAUCCCUCUCCUCUCCCUCAUUCCCUUUGACUAUAGAAUCUCCCUUUACCUCUACUAGCUUCCAGGGCAGGCAGAGUUGUUCCUGCCCCCUGUUCCCCCAUUCCUUAUCCAAAUGUGGCCCUUCACUAACCUUCCCCUCCUCCUUACCAGAAGAAUACUGCUUCCUAAUAGGACUCCUCGCAUUACUUGCUCUAAGCCAGGCUCCAUACUGAUUCUUCUUAUCCAUAUUCCCCCUUCUUUCCCUGCAACUCCUCUCAUUAUGCCCCAUGACCCCACAACAGUAACAAAAAUCAGGGCAUUUCUCAUAUUUAAACUCUAUCCAUCUAGAACUGCCCCUCAGCUUAACCGUGGUUCCUCUCAGCAUAGGUUUAGUUAAAUCCAUCUCAACCAAGAUUUUUAGAUGUUUCCCCUCCUUCCCACCACCACUAGGAACAAUCACCUCCCUCACGGAGCAGAACACUCCCCCAAUUUUCCUACCAAUAUCCUUUGUAAUCCAAUGAAUAGGUAAGUUCCAUAGCUGGACCCAAAUCCAAGUCCUAUUAAAGGCUUCAAGGUUCAGUUCUAUCCCCUCUUCCCAGGGUAAAAUUACCAAAGGCAAAUUAUCAUAAACCCAUGGCCUUCCCCUCAGCACCUUAUCCAUGUCCUGUUUAUUACUAAAGCUAAACUGGAACAAAUUAACCCCUAUCUCAACAACCCUUAGAUUUCUUGCAAACGGCCACAUAUUACUGGCAAAGCUCUUUAUACCAGCAAUGUUCGCAGUCUUCUCUCCCACCACCCUCCCGAUAAUGCUCAAUUGACAUUCCACUACUCCCUGAGCCAGAUCCUUACUAUCUAACUCUACACCCCCAGCCUCAUCCUCAGUUAGAGCAAAUUUCCUCAAAAUUUCCUCCAGAUCCUCAGUCAUCCUGAGCCAAUACUAGUAAGAACCCCAGCGAAUCACAGACCAAGCGAACAAUACCAGUAUCCAGACCAAACAGAAAUAGAAGCCACAAAAAGCUAAAGAAGCUACAUAACCAAAACGCAGGAAAACACAAAGACAGGAACGCAGCCAAACGAACAGCACAAAAGAAGAAUAGGAAACUUAGAAAGAUAGCACAAGGCUACUACGACUACUACAAAGGAAGAAGUCACCUGUAAGCAGAACCUAUAUCGAUGGAGAAAAGACUCUGGAGUAGAAAAACAAUCGCGCUAGCAGCUGUAAUCAAGUAGCAAGCUCAGCCGAGCUCAUCAGAGCGUCGAAUCCAGCUUGAGAACUCAAACUCGCAGACACCACAACCAAAACUCAAUCAGGAGUAGGAUGACAGUAUCAUGAUAAUGAAAUUAUUCCACCAAAUGCACCAUUGAAGCACCGGCAAUGUGGAUCAAAAUGGAAGAAAUAGCUUCAAUUUGUCUGAAUUGUAUUUGUUAAUUGAAGGUUUGAAAUAAGAAAAGUACGGGAAAAUUGAAUUUGAAUUAAAAAGUAACUACCCAACACCUACUAAAGGUGAAGUUGGCUCCCUACUUAGAGAGAGAAAGUAACCACCUACAGGAGGGACUGCAAAAAAAUUGCUAAUUCAGAACCGCGGCUUUUAAUUUUUAAAAUAUUUGAUUUCUUAUUUCGAUCAACUAUCUAGUCUAACUAACCUGAAGUCUAACUCCACAUUCCACAAUCCCAGCCUUCUCUUCUCUUUAGUCUUUGUACUUCCAUCUUUUUUUUUUCCUUCUUAAGACAAAAGUCCCAACUUCAAUUCCCUUCUUCGAUCUCCAAUUUUUUUUUUAUUUCAAAAAUACAAUCUCAUUGCUCAAUGGCAGAGAAUCCUAACUUCUAACCAUAUUUUUUUCUUCAUGUAUUCUUGCAAAAGUUGAAGCGCACGGCUUAGCAGUUAGCUAGUUAGCUUUGAAAUUUCAAGCUAUUACCAGGUUAGCUUUACAUUUUCUCUCUUUUUUUUGCUCAUUGUUAGUUUGCUGUGUAUAUGUUUUUUAUGGUCCGUAUUUUUUCUAUUUAACUUAGAAUUAUGGGUUAAAUUAAAUAUUUUGAGUUGAUUUUAAAAUAUGUCCACUAUUGUUGUAUAAACUUUAGAAGAAAAAAAUCCAAAUUUUACUAUAUUUCUUACAAAACUUCAAUAAUUGACGAUGUCUUUGUUGGGUCACUGGCUAGAAACAUUGCAUUUAUUUAGUGAAAUGUGGAUGUCUCAAGUCUGCUUACCAGUUGUUUGAUGAAUUGCUUGAGAGGGACACAUUUUGUUAAACGUUGUAAUGAUACGGUUAGAUAGCUUGGAGUUCAUAGUCGGUUUAGAAAAUGAAACUGGAGUGGUUUCCGGAAGAUGUCAUAGAUUCAUAGUUGCAGCCUUAUCCUAUUUCUUUCUUGUUUUGGUGAUAUAUAAAGCCUUUAUAUAUUUAUGUAUAUAUGUCCUAAGCAUCUAUAUAGAUAUUCGUGAAUCACUUUUCUAGUUCUCAAUUCCCUUCAUAGCGGUGAAGACCAAUUUCAUGACCUUGUUGUUAAUUAGUUGGUGAAGUCCAGUUUCAUGACCUUGCUAGUUCUCAAUUCACUAAAUUUUUGCUCAAAUUGUUGAUUUCGAUUUUCUGCAUCAUUUUUCCUACCCAAUAUAAACUUGCUAAUUUGAUUGACUAAUAUAAAGACAACAGGUUUUUGUCAAUGUAUUAAUUAAAUUUUGCUCAAUUUAGAACUAACCAUUUAAUUAAUUUAUUUGUUUGACUAAUUGUAUUUAAAUAUCUCAUUUUAGGAUGUAUGCUGGUAGUGGUAGUAACUCACAAUGUUCACCAACUGUUUAUCAUGUUAUAUCUAUGGGAUAUCUUAGUAUGUGCACAGGAGGGUGUGUGUAUAUAAUUAUUGAACUGGGGUUGAACCAGUUUGAUCGGUUGAAUCUCGAUCCGAUUACUUUAUCGGUUCAAUUAAUGGUUCGAAUUUCAAAAUAUUGAUUUGGAGAGGAUAAAAUUGGAAGAAGAGUGCUAGGCCUUUGAUGGGUAGCUUAGAACUUAAGCUGAAGGAUGGACUUGUAAUUGGCUGAAACUUAAGAGAGGUAUAUGUAAUUAACCCUAUAAGAAAAAUUAAAUUUUGAUGUAUGUUGCUGUAGAAUUUAUAGAAAAUUUUUUUUGAGUUAUAUGAAAAUUUUUUCCUUUUUUCUUUUCUUUUCUCUCCUCUUUUUCUUCCCCACCUCACCAUUGCUCUUCCUCCUGCCUUCCCGCUACCAGCCGCCAUUGCCAACACCUCUGCCGGCGAAGGUGUUAUGUGAUCGGAUAGGGGGGAACAAGAAGAGGAAAAAGGGAGGAGGAGGAAACAAAAAUGGAGGCUGCCGAUGGAGCAGCCAGCUGGCGGCACCGACACUAGCGUCAGCAAAGUGCCGAGUGGCGAUGCUUUGCUAGAUUUUAAAUGAUUCUUUCACACUGUUGAUUACAUAUACCACAUAGUAUCGGUGAGGGUACCUCCUGAGUGGACCAUAAUGAAAGAACCUUUCUUUUUUUUUUUUUUUUGGAUAAAUCUAUCAAUUUUUGCGAAUUUCCGUUGAUGGUAUUAAUCUUGCAUGUAAAAAUCUAUACAAAAAGUACUAUAUGUAGUUCGUGAAUUGGUACUACACCGCAAUGUGGCAUAACUGGUCCACUUAUUUGUUAAUUUUUCCCCGCUAUUAAUUUAAAUUACCAUCAUUAUGGUUUUUGAAUUGACGUUUUCUGCGUCAAGAUUAAUUAAAAUUUUUUAUUUUUUAAAUAGGAAAGAAAUGGGAUUUAAGAAACGAGAACGAAGAAAAGAGAUUUAAAUCUAGAACCUUCAAAUCUAGGGGCCUCAAUCUGAACAAUUAGAGCAAAACUUCUUCAGCAACCUCAAGAUUAAUUAUUGUUUCCACUCAUGAACCCCAUUUUCAAGGCCGUACCAAAGGUUGAUUAUCAAGCCAAAAUCUUGUAGUUGUUUUCAAAUUUUGCCUUUAUUUAGCAAAAAUGAAAUGACCAAAGCUAUAUUCAUCCUGUUUAUUUUCAUUCGGGGCAAAACAUGUUUUCAAAGACACUAUUGAAUAGAUAAUAAAUUAAGUGUUGUGGAGUGAAAUUAGUCCAUCAAAAGCUGUGACCAAGAAAAACCCCUGUGUUUGGAUGUGGAAUAUAGCAAAGUUGACAUGCACAGAAAAUUGAUUUUCUAAAUCAAUUUCUACAGAUAAUAAUCAUAGAAAAGUAUGGUAGAGCGUGUUUUCCAUGCAUUACCGCAUUAUACUGUAUUUCUUGGAUACUGUAAUCACAUGGGCUGUGUGUUAGUAAAAAUUUUUCAGUCCAUCACAAACCUAACUAGCUAGGGUUGAAACAAAUGAUUUUCAAUGAUUGACAACUAUCCAGCACACAGAAAGGAAACGUCCCCAGUAGCACCAGUGAGUUUUAUGGUUCUUGCCUUCCCCUAUAUAUAUUAGUCUCCGAAUUGAGACCCGAACCAUCAAACUUGCUCAGGAGAUAUCUAGCCGGUGAUUUGCUGCUGAAAAAUUCAGCAUUGAGAAGAAAUGGAGAAAGCUUCAAAAAUGCUGAAACUAUUUACUUUUCUUGUGAUUGCUUCAAGCCUCUCUCCUGCACGCACAAAAAAAAAAGUAAGCUAAAAUUUUCAACAUCAAUCCCCUUAAAAGUUAAAGUUCUUACGUUAAUGUCUUUGUAUAAGUCAAAACUUUGCACCGCUUAGGAUUCCAAAAAUUUUCUUAUAUCCCACAAUGAUCUUAGAAGUUCUCAAUUAUAUCCUCGUAAAUGUUGGACUUCUUCAACCCGAGUUUUUUUUUUAUUUUUUUUUUUACAAAAAUGUAAGAGUGUCCCCCUAAAUAGUACCAUUUUUACUUGCCUUGCCCAGCAAAUCUCAACUUCUGGUUUCAACACCGCCCACAAAUACAUUAAACUGGCACGGACAAGUUGACUUCUGAGUUCAAUAACUAUUGAGACCUAAUCACCAUUAUUAAGCUUAAUUUUAUUUAAUCUUAAAUUUUUAAAUCUUAUCGAAUUUUACUCCAAACAACUCUUUACUUUUGAAAAUUUUUGUGUGAAGACAUAGAAACAGUUCAUGCACUACAGGGACAUUGGACAUUUCAAAUUGUUGAAGUCUCAACCAUUGACAUAUAGAUCUCAUUUGGACGCACCAAACAAUACAUGAGUAAAAAAUGGAACUUGGAGCAAAACCAAUUUGCCCUUUCCCAUGCUCUACUGAUAUCGAUUGUUGGAAUAAACUUUGUGCCCUGAGUAGAUGUGACCAUGUCGGCGAGAGUCACGUCAAACGAUGUGUCUAGCUUCUCCAUAAUUGCCCCUUAAUUUCAUCUAUUGUAGAACCAAGGGAUUUGUAGGGUGCUUUCAAUAAUGAAGCAUUUAAGGAGUCAUAUGCAGUGGUGCCAUGUAUUAGGCUGAUUUCGAUUUUUCUUGACGUUGUUCAUUUUAUUCUGUUGCUUGUAUUCGUCAUUCAUCGUCUAAUGUUUGUUCAAUUUGUGUCAUCGUGUAAUCAAAUGUGUCGCUAUUUACAUGGCAAAUUAAAUUGAAAUAUGUGUGAGGCAUCCUUAAUCUUCAUUUGAUCAAUGUAUUUGCUUUCAAAAAUUAAGUUCAAAUUAAACUUUUUUAAGUUUAUGCCAGAUGAAGUUGUAAAUCAAUGGACUCCAUCUUAGUACUUUUCUGUUUACAGAACCAAUUUCAUUGAUAAUGAUCAACCUAAUCCGUGGAUAGACUUGUAAUUAUACAAAAUUUGUGUCUUCCAAGGAGAGAAUAUUGUUCAAGGCGUACACGUCUCCAAAUUGCUACUUAGUUUAAUUAUCAACUCAAAUACCUACUUUAGAUUUUUUGCAGCUUGCACUGACAAGGUUAAUUUUUGAAGUGGAAAAUGCAAUUUUUGUCCCCUAUUUUUAUUCCAUUCACCAAAAUGAUCCCAAAUGUUUCAAUAGAAACAAAUCUGGUACCUCCUAAUUAUUCUGACAGAUUGUGGUACCUCCUAAUGAUUACAAAUGUUUCACCGCAGUCCACGAACAGAUGGUGGGAUGGAUUGCUCCCCUAUUCCUGCCAAGAAUCCGCAAGUCCCAGUGCAAUCUGUGAGUCGAUCUGCGGACUUGAGGUCCGCAGAUCCAUCCACGAAUCUGUUCUUUGGCUUUAUUCUUCGUGAGUUUUCAAUCUUUGCAUUUAAUCCAUUCCUGAAUCUGGUUUUGGGAGGUUAGAAUCCGUCAAUGGAUUGCCCCAAAUGCUUUUUUCUUCAGGAAUCUUUCCUUCCUUUGCUCAAGUGUCGCACGCAUUGCAUUUCUUUAUUUCUACACUUCAUAAUCAUUUUAAAUGCACUUUAAUUCAUCAAGAAUCAUUCAAACUGCUACUCGCUUCAUUCUAAAUGAUGAUUGAAUUGAUGAAACCUACAAAAUAUAAAAUUUUAAUUACUUAAGUCCAUAGAAAUGCAAUGUUUCUCCUUUUAACCACAAAAUGCAAAACUCAACUAAAAACCUUGUUAUUGGACUCAAACUUAAUUGAAAACACGACAAAAUACACAUAAACAACUACAUAAAAACAUGCAAAAUAAGCAUUUAUCAAAAUCCAUUAAUAUAUUUGUGGAGUCUCUCAUUGUUUAAUUAAAGAAUCUAGUAUCCAUCAAGAAACCUAAUUAGCUUUUGAUCAAACAAUUUGCUUACCAAGAGAACCAUCUGUAUAUUGUGUUUGAUACAAUAGUGAUUAUUAGGCACGUUUAAAAAAAUUCCAGUGAAUUACAAAUGUUUCGUGGCUGGAUUUGUGUCAGCAGAGCAGCGCAACUUGCACAAUAAUUCAACCAUCCUCUUCCCUAUAGAAGGGACUUCUCAUGGAUGAUUUUGCAGAGAAAAAUAGAGAGGACAAGAGGAAAAAAACCACAACAAAAUGUUGAUCUUUGGCUAGAAAUUAGUCUCUAGUUUAGAUUAGGAAUAGUUUAUGAUAGUUGUAGUCCAUUCUAGUGUUGGCUCAACAAAGAGGCCAAGGAUUAAGAAAAGUCCUGUGUAAUCUUGAUGCAAUGGAUUAUAGGAUGUGGAGUUGUUGGAGGAACUCUUAUUUCUUCAAUAUGAAUGAGCAAUUUCUUUCCUUCCCUCUUUAGUUUUUGUUACAUUGUGUAUGAUUACAUGAGUGACUUGUGCUUAUUUUUGUACAUACUUUCAUUAUGUCUAGCUAAUCUUUUGCUUGGAGAUGGAUGAAACACUUGAAUUGUGAUUGUGGUUGAUGCUGGUUAAUCUCAUGAUGCCUUGUACUUGACUUGUUUAUUUAUUUGGCUUUAACACUUAGGGUUGCUUAACCACCAAUCUUAGCUCACACUAGUUGAUGGAUAGGCAAAGAGAUUUGCUAUUCAUUAAUGGAAAGAAAAUAAAUAAAAUCUAACGAGUAGGCAGAUGAAAGUAAUCGUACCUUUAAGUGGUUAUUUGCUGUAAAUUUCAUGAAAUAGAUUCACCGUUCACUUUGGAUCUCCCUACAAAAGUAGGAGUACCUUAGGAUUGAUAGCGCUAGUUAGUUGUGAGAGCGGGUCUAGGUUAUAAUUGGAAAUGACCCCGAGCGAGACAGAAGCCAUUAGGGAGACCCUGGCCAUUUGAUUACCGAUUGCGAUUAGGCUGUGGAUUCUAUACUCUUGAGUCUUGGGUUAGUCGGUUUCCACCUUUCUUAACCUGUUUUUACUGUUUGCAUAGUGUACUUUAUUUUGCUUGUCUUAAGAUUUUAUUUGGCAGUCUAGAUAAUAGAGCAAUUUUAAGUCCUUAAUAAUUGCGUCUAUGUGCUCAUUAUGGGUUUGACUCUUUAUGUUCCUAUACUCGCUUAUAACUCGUAUACUUUUGAAUAUGUUGUGAGGGGUAUUUAAAAAUUUAUAUAUAUAAAAUUUGACUGUAAAUUUGAGCUUAAUUUUAUAUGCAUACCUCAUACACAUCAGGUUUGAAUUUAGUAACAGGGGGCUAUUCUUCUUUUUGCUUGAAGAGAAUCAUAUCCUUCGUUUUCCUCUUAAUAAUUUCACUUUGAAUAUUUAGUAUAUGGAUGUACCAAACUCAAGAAAAUAGUUGUCAAGUUUUUAAAAAUUUCAUUAAAUUUUUUGGAGGAGUUUGUUUGGAGAGUUUGAUGUCUAUAGUUUAUCUUCUAAAUUUUAAUUUAGUUUGAUAUUAAUAUUCAAUGAUUUUCAAUAAGAUUGAAAAUCAAUUAAAGCUUGUAAAAAGUUUUCUUUAUAUGUUUUGUUGAAGAAAAAAUUAGUCUUAGUACAACACUUUACAUACUUAAUAUUUCUUUUAUUUUUAGUAAUUAUGAGAAAAAAAAAUUUGUGACUAAGUAUGACAAAAAGUAUACGUAUAAUGUGCAACACAUAUUCUUUUAUGCUAGUUUCUCUAAAUAUUGGACAAAAGGGGCAUAAUUUUAGAAAGUAAUAUGUACAACGUCCAACACACGUUAUCUUUUUUUUUUUUAACCUAACUACAUAUUUGGAAUUAAUUUAGUAAGAACUUAUGCAUGAAUUCCUCCUACAUGCUUGUCAAACUGAAUAAAGCUAAUUUUCUUCCUCAUGUUCUUCUAAUGUUAAUCUAGAGUCAAAAUCAAGUAAAAUAUCCGUAGAGCCAAAUAUGUUUUUUGAUUUUCAUUUAAGAAAAAUAUCCAAUAUGAAAGGAUGUUUCUUUUUGUCUUGGAAAAUUGGUCAAAGUGGUAAGGUGGAAGUGAGAAAAAUGUGACCUGCAUCAGUUGGAGUUGAUUUCUGAGGAAUUAGUGCACUGGUCAAGAGAUAAGAAUGCUGAUCUCAUGGAUAUAUAAAUAUAUAUAUAUAUAUAUAUAUAUGAACAUUAUAAAUGACGGCUAUACUCUAAAGGCUCCAUAAUAUUAUUCUGGAUAAAACUGAGCAAAUGAUGCAAAAGCAGUUGGUCGAUCAAGUAAAAUGAAAGAAUUGUUAAGUUCUUGAGACUUUUAUCUAAAAUGGGUUUCUCAAGUUGAGUUUUAUCAAAUUUAGUUUGGUUGAUAUCAUAUUUAUAACAUUUGGUGUACACUUGUAUAAUUUUACCAUAAUCAUAAAUUUUUCUCCAACUUUGUUGUAUGACUUGAUAAAUUUCAAUUAUACUAAAAAUUGUAUUAGUUUACGACACAUAUUGUAAGAAAUACAGCAACUGGAAAAGUCCCGAUCCACUUUUAGUUCUAGUUUCCACCUCUCUCUCUCUCUCUUUCUGUUUCCCUUGUAUGUUUGGGAGAAUUAUAAUUUUUCGAGAUGUAACUAGUCAUUCUAGGUGCUGUAUCAUUAAUUUGGCUAUGUAUGACACGUUGCUUCUUGCAAGAAAAAUAUUCAUUUAUGCUUCCAUUUUAUUGAACAUGAUUCGCUGUCUUACGAAUCACUGAUAUACAACAUAGUUACAUUCCACUCUCGUGGAAACUGAAAUACAAACUAAAAGGGACAUAUAUUUUUCCCAUUAUUUAGUACUCGUUGAGCCUGAUAUUGGCUGUCUAAAGCACAAACACCAAUCAUGGAAUUAAUAUUUAGCAUAAGGCCAAUCACAGUAUAGUGAACUUCCAUCCUCAAAGUAAAGAGUGCAGCCGUCGGAGACGCAACAGUUGGUGCAGUCUGUGUAGGUCUUCGUUCCAUUACAGACCUUGUACACGGUGCCCCCUAUGCAGUUUCGUGGGCAGGGCCUGAGGGGCGCUUGCCUGACAGCCUUGACUUCAAUAUUUGCCCCCAGAAGAAUCAUUCCUGUUUUCAGUACCAAAAUCAUUUUAAAUCAUGUGCAAACCAAAUCUUUUAAGAGGGGUGAGUGCAGAUAUUUUGAAAAAUCAUCCUUAUGUGUGUGUACGUGUAUAUAUAUAUAUAUAUAUAUAUAUAUGUAGAUGGGAUGAGUACUUCUCUUUUUAUUUUUUGAAACUGCCCCAAGAGGUUUAACUCGUAUACAAAAGAAUAAAAUUGUACAUACCACAAAAAAGAAUAGCCAUUGCACCAAUCUUGUUGAUUGCCAUGAUUCCUGGUCUUCCAAAAGUUAGCGUUCUGAUUUGAAAUCGCUUGGGCUUUUGGAUAGGUUCUUAUAUAGAUUGAGAAGAGUAAAGAGUGAGAGUUGAUCGUGCUAUUAGGUGCAAUUGUUGUGCUUCCGUAGAGUUGUGGGACAUGUCCAUCCUCAAUUAUUGUGCGUCGGGGUCCAUCUAAAAUUAUUUUAAUGUGUUUGGAUAGGAAAGAUUUGG